GGAUUCUUUACCUUACUAGCGAACCUCUCUAGCUCACCUAUUAGUUUCAUUCUGAUCUUAAGUACUUACUGCUGAGUUUCAUUCUGUAACCCUAGGGGUCGUUGCUUGGCCUUUCACUCCCUUGCUUCACUCUUUCUCCUAGACUGAACGAGCACUUAAACUAGUCCUUUGACAACCUUUGAUCGAAAUGUAGCUAUAGCCUUACACUUAAAGGUUUUCAUUCUGACUUUCUACCUUGAACUGGAAUCUCAUCUACCACUACUAGACUUAACCAGGGCAGCUAGGUCCAAGCAAUCACUCCACUAACGAAGCUAGCAGCCAAGGCCUAAAACGAAACUGGGCCAAUCCACUAAGACCCGAGAAAGAAGGAUACCGACAUGAAAGUGGUUGCCACCCGCGUGAUGGCUCUCUUUGGCUACAAUGAUGCUGACACACUGGUUAAUAGUGCCUGUAAUACGACCGACAAUGACCUCCUCAGUGAUAGAAGACCUAGAAGGAGUGGCAUCCGAUCGAGACAAAGUGAGUAGAAUGUACUUACGGUAAUUAUAAUGCUCCUUAGGAAAAACAGAAGGAAUGCUUGUGUUCAUGGUACCGAAAGAAAAGAGCCAACUCCAAUCUGACUUCCUCCGCUCUGGUUGGUAACACCUCUGCUAGCUUCCUCGGAUUGAUUUCUUUUCUUGUCUUCCUUUUCUUCCACCCUAAAAGAUGGAUCGUAGUGAUGCGGUAACUACCCAAACUAGUAAGUAAGUAAAGUAAGUCUGCCUACCCGAGCCUCAAAGAUGGUACUCUCUUUUCUUUUGACUACCCCACCCGGAGACAAAGUCACUGAGCUGCCUGCCCGAGUAUUGGAAUGAAGAGUGAAAUCUAGUUUCUUUAAUAAUAAUAGAUACUCUUCUAGCGCCAAGUAACAUAGUAAGUGUAGCGGCGGGGUCAAAGAUGUGUUUUCCCGGUAUUUUUCAUAGCAUUGUCAUUUUCCCUCCUGGGCCGAUCAAGAAGAUAGAGAAUUUGACGUUUUCCCGAGAAAAAAGGUAGCGAAGUCUAGAACUCCUGCCGCGUAACAUUAGCAGUUACUUGGCCCUUCCUGAGGCACCUGAUUGAUAUUAGAAUUUUACCAAAACCCGUGUUUUUGGGUAGCCAAGUCCUUUUCCUUCCUGACGAGAUCUAUUUUGAUGCAAAGUUGACGUUUUCCCGUGUUUUUUGAUAGCAGAUGCUUUUUCCCUCCUGAGUGACCUUAUGGAACUUCCCAUUUUCCGUUUUCCCGGGAAACAGCGCUGGCGCGUAACAUUAGUAGUUACUUGCCUGAUAGCAAAUAGAGACUUUCUUUACUUAUAGCUUAGCUUCCUUCUGACUUAACUGCAUCCUCGGAGAAAGAGAAUUCAUGAUAGUUCUAAUUAAUAUAGUAUAGUAUAGUGAUGUGUUAAUUAAGGGCACGUUCGCCAAUUGUUCUAGUGAAGUAUAGAACUUCUCAGGUAAUCUUCAUAAGGCCCAGACUCAGUGGAAAGAGAAUCUGAUGCAAAAGCCAUAUCGGGAGUAGGCAAAGAAUCCGGAGUUUUUGUGGAGUUCGAAAGGGCCAAGCGUAUACUAGUAAAGGAGUCCGGAGUGAAAGAAAGGAGUUAUUCAGUACGAAGCCACUACUCAUAAGAAUGAAACUCUUAUUACCAAUCUUACGCAAUUAGGCAAUAAGCUAUAAGGCUGUUAGUAUAAGGAAACUCAGUAAGGCAAUAAAGAAUAUAAUGAAUACCUUAGCAACAUAACUCAUAAGCCACAUUAGCUACAGUAAGUUGUAUUACCUUUGCAACAGUAGCAACUAGGCAAAUCGACCAGAGUAGUCAAGAUAAAGACAUAGCAUCCCUUCCCUUCCCGUCAACUACUAAAGUUAGCGCAGGGCAAGCAACGACUAGACAAGACGGCAAGUGGACAAGCUAUGUAUAGACAAGUAACUACGGAGCCAGCAGGGUGAUCCUAACUAGACUUCCACUUAUGCUCCGGGCCAAGCUACUAUUCUAAUACCCUAUAUUGCUAUAAUAUUCAUUCAAUGCGCUAGCAAUUAUUAUAAGGGCCCGCUUCUUUCUUAUCCGAUUGAGUUAUAUUAAAUACUUGAAUGCACUAGCUGAACCCGGUUAAUCCAACUGUUUAUUCUGUCGCAAGGGGUAAUUAACCAGUGCCUCUAUCUCUUGUGCCUCGUAGGAAAGUAAUCGGGUAAAGAGAAAGGCCCUUAAGUGAAUUGGGCUUGUGUUCCGCUAUGAGGGUAGUGUUACCAGAUGGAUUCGAUUUCUCUUUGAACCCUGCUGGCUCUGCUGGGCUUCUGGAACUAUUCCUAUAAAGUCACUUACAAACACUUCCCAGUUUAGAGGUCAAUUCUUCACUGAACUGAGGAGCCCUGCUUUCCGGGGAAUUCUACACUCCCCGCUUCUACGUCAACAACACCCUACUUUCUCACUGUCACUGGGGAUUAUCCACUGUAAACUGGAACUUUCCGUAAUAUAAGUAAGGCAACUCUCCCCCUCUCGUUAUUAAACUAGAACUGGAGUCAGAGCACUACGCAACAACAAGAGUAAGCCUGAGCUGAGCCUCUGAUAUUAUGUAUUUCUUGUAUCAUUCUGAAAUUCCCUCUUUCCUACUUUAGAGGGAAAUUCCUACUAUGAUAAGGGGCGGUAAGUCAACUAGUUCAAUUAGUAUGCUUGCCUACUUGCUAUGUGUUUCUGGACUACUACUUGUCCACUACUACUACAAAUACGGAUGAAACAAAGAAUUCUACUAUCAACUCUAAACUACACUUUCAACAUUACCUCGAACUGGAUCGGUAUUCCACUGGGGAUAUGCAACUGGGAAAGCGCUCCUUCCUAUUAACUUCAUGAGGCUAAUCUAACUCAGGCUACGAGACUUCUUGUUCAUCUCUGCUAACAGAAUGAGGCUCCUCGGCUACUAAUACUUCCUCUUUGAACUAAGGUCUGGCUCCUAGUAUACGCUUGGUCGCUCUUCAAUGAAAACCAAAACUCCUAUUCUCACUUUCCUACUUGCCGACCUCCGCUCUGUCAACUGAUCAUUCUUUUCUUUCUAUUUCCACUCCUUUAUUACUCUACUACUACUACUACUCUCUAACUAAUGAUCCCAAGGCUUACUCCCUCUGAACAGCCUCAAGCGACUACUACUGGACUGGCACCCGACCCGGCCUAUCUUUCUGAUCCUGCCUCGGAUCCUUCUCUUGCAACCGAGAGCACAUGGCAAGUAUCUCGCCCCUACCGCUGCUUUAGUGUCAUUCUUAUUGACAUUACCCUCUUGGAUCCUAUCCCCGGAUUCUGAUAUUGACUACCGAGCUGCUUUCUCAUCUACCUCUCCUAUGUCUACAGCCAAGACACGACUACUGGACAACUACUUGAGAUGCAACUUUACUUUACCACUACUAUCGGUGGGCUUCAUACUGACUAGUUGACUUAGGGCUUACUACUUGGUGCUUUAAGGCUUCUAACUUACGGGUUGCUUUCAUUCCUAUGAGUUAAGUAUACAAAGUUGCUAUAUUCUUUCUUGCCUGACUGAGGGCAAUCGGUGCACUGGCUUCAUUCUUUGACUACGCCGUUCCAUUCUGAUUCUUAAGUAAACUCUCAAACUCUAUUCUUUAGAAAGAAACUAAUAGCUUGCCCCCGAACCGACUUCUAAUCUCAUGUUUGAGCACCUGACCCGACAGCAGCUGACCUUGCAGACCUCGACUCUGGCUCAUCCCAAGCCCAGCUUUCCUACUAGCUCACCUCUCUAGCUCAUCUACUUCUCCUAUGGCUACAAUAACUAGCCUCUUGCUCAUAUACCAUCAUUCUUCUCCUCUGUCCAACUAAUACAGAUGCAAAUGGGGAUGCAACUCGAGCAGGACUACUACUUUAGAACCAUAACAGUACUACAAGUCUGAAACUCUUCCUCGAACGGGACUACUACUACUGGACUGACCUCUAUCUCUCGCCAACAACGACUUCUGGAACUAUACUUUCUAUUGUACCCGGAACUAUACUUUCUAUUGGACCUGGGCUUGUAUACCCAAACUAUGUCUGAUCUUUCUUCCGCAACUCUCUUCUUUAGUUCAAUGCCGAGCCUGUAGACUUCACUCUCUCUUCUUGACUCUGUCCAUCUCUCUGUAUAGCUUCUGCACUCUUUACUUAAAGUGACCAAUUCCAGUAUUCCACACUUCUCUUUAAGAACUGCAAACACCUUACUUUAGCACAGUAGUUUUAUACCAGAAUUAGGACUUGCUCUUGGAUACUGAACUUGCUCCGGACUCUCCACUUGAAGAAUCACUGGCUACUGACUUUAGCACCAACAGGUACCUCGAAUCGACCUCAGGCUAUUAAUACGGGGAAGGACAGGAAGACUGCCGCUACACAUUAGUAGUUACUUGGCAUUGGAAAAGAGAUCUUGUUUUCUGGUUGAUUUGUGAUUGGAUUGUUUUGAUCAUUUCUUUUCUUACAAUACCCUAGCCCUACCCUAAAAGAUGGUACUCUCUUUUUACCACCCCUCGCUGCAAAGCCAACUCGUACACUUCCUACUGCCAUGCCAUGCCCGGUCAACUCUAUCACUUCUUACAGCCUGGUCAACAGCCAAGACAUUCACUGAUUCCACUCGGUACUCGGUAUUCCACUGGAAGAACUUCUUCUGUUGGUCCUGUACCCGGCACCCUCCACUAUACUUGCUGUAAACUUCACCUCGUCUCUUUGAACUCUGGCUCACCACUUUCAACAGGCUCCUGCCGCGCUUUAGCUCACUGACGCGUCACGUUAGUAGUGACUUGUCUAUCCGUUGCUUGGCCCUUACCGCUUCUAAGCCAACAAAUACGGAUGCAACAGGACAACUACUAGUUUCAUCCCCAACAAGCAAUGGGAGAGAGUCGAGAAAAGAAGCAAGCUACCAAAGGGUUUCCCCGGAUAAUGACCCAGAUCUAGCUCCGACUCUUGUUGAAAAAACUAUACCUUAGCAGUUCGAAUGAAGUCUACAACAUAAUAAGUAGUUGAGGGGGAGUUAAUGACGAGUUCACCCACCAAGCUUAGUUGUUAGUAGCGACCAAGCAACAGGCCAAGCAACUCACUACCCUUGAAAGGCUGGAACCCCAACUAGUCAUUACUCAACAAAUAAAGUCAUUUCACUGUUCUACCAUAGAAUGACACAGGGCUACCCCACCAAGUCAGUCAACAACACUACCCGAGCCUAGUUCUCUUUCCUCUGAUCUUGCCUCGGAUCUUGCUCUUAACCAACCCGCACCUCUUUCUCAUCCACCUAUGGCUCAUUCAACUAACCUAACUCUGUCAACUAAGCAAAGACAGAUUCCACUUGAACUGGAUUGCAAACCUUAGCUUAGGGCUCUCCUCCUCGCCAACACCAGACUUGAGAUCUUACGUUUGAUACCCGAAUGAUUCCCACUUCUGUUCAAUGGUUUACAGGCUAUGCUCUAACUGCUUCCCUCGUCUACCGAUACACCCUUUCUUGACUGUAUUCUCCUGUCCUUCCCGCUUCUAAGCAAGUACUUUACCGAGCCUCAAAGCCAGUAAGAUAGUCUGCCCCGACCCAUCCGUAGUCAACAAAGAAAGUGGUUGCUCCUCUCUGCUAACGGAAUUAGGCUCUCAUCUCCAUCUCAUCUAACUGUAAACUCAUUCCAUUCCACUCUGAAGGUCAAAGUCAGGGGUUUCCUAGGUUUCUUCUCAGUAAUGGAGACUCCUUUGACAGGGGAUAAUUGCCAGUUACAGUUCAUUUCAACUCAGCAACUUGCCAACGAAUGCAUUUGAACCAAACAUCUUAGGCGCUGUAACAAAGAAACUCUCCUUUAAGAAUCGAAACAAUUACCUCUUUCGUCACCAACUCACACCCUUAACAAGACAGAGAUGCUUGCACCACCUCUGCUUCUCGCCAAGUAGUAGUCCUGUGUAAGGUAAGGGCAUCAUUCAGCCAACAAACAUAGAUUCCACAUAGAUGAAACUAGUGGUGUCGACCUCAACAGCCAAGACGAAAAGCAACUAGUUAACUUCUUAUGGUUCCUUCCCCUCUCUCCUUCGAACCAACCCUAGAAACUUUCCUAGACGCUGAUUCACCACUAGAAGAAAUGUAUGUAUCAUUUGACUCAUCAGUGCAUCUCCUUGAUUAGCAGUAGUAAUUGGAAAACCCACUAUCAUAGAGAUAUAUAGAGAUAUUGGAAGACCCACUCUUAUAUAUAUUGAUAGAUAUAGUAAUACUCAUAGAGAUUGAUCAUAGAUAUUGAUAGAGAUAUAGUAAUACUCAUAGAGAUUGAUAGAGAUAGUAAUAUGAAGCUACCCUACCGUAACAGUGCAGUGACGCAUAGCAUCUUUGCCGGACUCUCUCUAUGACUUAGAUACAAGACUGGAAGAACUGCUUGCAGCCGGCUUCUCACUUGUAGCUGACCUCCUACUAGAGAUGAAAAAGUCAGUAAAGUCUCUUUGUUGAGUUAGAUGAGCCUCAUUCUUUGAUAAUUGAAUUGAACUGUAACACAAACAUACCUCGCGGGGAACUCUAAUUAUGUGUUAUAUAAGUCAGAAUUUCCAUGGAAUCUUGAGAGCACCAAGUAUAGAUCCAAGUAAAUGCACUCCUUCCCGCUUCUACUCUAGCAUCCGAUUGUGGAUACUUUCCCUGCACUGCUUCCACAACAUCUUCUCUAGGUGCCAAGUCAACAACAAGAUACCGAACUGCAUCCUAUGUUUCAUCUGCUCCUGACUCUGGUCUCAACUCUAAAGUAAUAUUUUCCGAAUGGGGGCCACUGGGGUAGUGACUUUUCUCUCUAAUACCCUCUUUCUUGCCUAGCUCUGAAAUUGAUUACUAUAGGUGAUACUACUGGUCCGGAUCUUCAAGCAAGGGAGACACAGACAGGACUACUCUCUUUCUCCACUUUCUCCUUAAUAAGAUCAAUAAUAAUAAUAGUAUGGAAAUAGUAGUGAUCAGAGCCCAACUAAUCUCUCUUUGUUUUUCAUUGAACUAUAGUGAUUCCUACGGUGUUAAGUAAACUCUCCAACUCUCUUAUUUAGAAAGAAACUACUAGAAGUCACUACUACUGAUGAAGCAGGACUAGACUACUACCCUACUAGUGAAACAGAACGACUCUACUACUGGACUACUCCACUCUACUUGUUGGGGCUGUCAAUCAGGAUUCUAGCGGGAAUGCACAAUUUUCACACAGUGAGUCUUAGUUAGCAACAAAAAGAGGGAGGGAUUGAUUAGGUUCCGGACAAAACAUCCGAAGAUACAUUUGCUUCUGGACAAAACAUCCGGAGAUACUUUUGGAUUCCGGACAAAACAUCCGGAGAUACCUUUUGAUUCCGGACAAAGCACCCGGAAGAAACACUUGGCGCCGGACAGAGAACAUCGGACACAGAUAGGCAUAAUUAAUCAUCACUCUCCGUAGCCCAGCCUUCAUGAUACGAACUAGCUUUCAUAACAGCCCUAUUUCUUUUCCACUGAGUAGCACGAGAGGUGCCGCCAUUGACUUUCAAGGAAACGCUGCCUUGGAAAGUGUGGGUGUUCAAAGCAACGAAGUCCCCCGUAUUUGGAUUCGAAGGCGCAUUCGAGAGAGUACAGUCAUCAUAUGUAUAGGUCAGACCCAAGCUGCAGGACAUGUCAAAGCCCUUUAUACACAUUUGAAGCGGUCAAGAAGCAUAAUAAGCUAAUGAGCUAGCAGCUCCUAACUCAUCUUCCUCGCUUUGCAAUGGGUCUUGGAUGUGGUGCCAUGGAUAAUUCCUUGACUCAGUGUCGGAACCAAAAAUGCCAACGUUGAAAGCACGACUUUCGCUAUUUAGCGUCUUGAACUGCUUCCACAUUACGGGUUUACCCCUAUGCUUUGACACAGGCUCAGACUGAGGGCGUAAAGGAAUGAACACGAAUUCCAGCAAAGAGAAGACCUCAUCCUUGUGCAGCAAGUCCGUUGGGGCCUUUCUUACACUUUCCCUAAGACUUGCAGUGUUCAUGACACCCUUAAAAUGAAGUAAUUCCUCAUAUGACUUCGCAACACCGCGUAAAUGAGAAGCCACCACUAUGUCCAAGCGAUGACCACUACGAGUUAGGAUGAAGCCGGUGUCCCCUUCUUGCAACAGAGACUCACAAACGCGGGGGUCCGUGAUAAUCCGGCCUUGCCUUCUGCACUGAUAUCCUCGGAAGGGGUUUUAAGACUAGGGAACAGUGUGAUAGACCCUAUUUCUUCGUUAUACUUCAGUAGAAUCAGAGAACCGUUUUCCCAAGAUACUUCUUUCUGCAAAAGACGGCGCAAAAAACAGCCGUACAAGGUUGCAAUAACCCUUUCCUCUUUAAGAUCCUAAAUAUGAUUCUUCAACUUAAGCCUCAGAAGCCUUUCAUGGAAGGAGACUCGUAUCUACUCUUUGGAUUACUACUUGUCAACUGAGGAGAAGACUCGGGCUCGCUACCGCGCAACUAACUACGUAGCUUGGUGGAUGCUACUCGGGAUGGCGCCUAGACUAUUACUACUGAGGUCAAUUCUGAGUCUACUACCUAGAUGCCUGGUCUUCAACUCUGCUAUUACCAAUAAGGGAAUCCAACCCAACCCGGUCUGAAACUCUCACUCUCACAGGAACUCUACUUGAUGACUGGACCACUACCCAGACUUGUCUAUCCGCCUAUCUGUCAGUUCGCCUGAUAUACCAGUUCCAUUCUUCUACUUACCAGGGGAAUUCUCACUUUCCUACUAGCUUACCUAGCAACAGGCCUAGUAAAAGACUUCCUAACUACUAACUGACUUCGGGCAAUAAAUAAAGAAUACAGCUGACAACUAUGAACUUAAUGAGGCUAAUCUCACUCUUGCUCAUCUACCGGAGUAAACAAAGACUUCUUGAAACAAGCCCAGCAGCUGGAUACUAAACCUCUUGCUCCUCCCCUAUAGAAAUACCUCUGCCAAGCGUAUACUCGGUGCUUUAGCUACUGACUAGUUUCUUUCUGAGUCUACGGAGUUGCAUUCUUUGACUACGGCUGCCUAGACACCGCAUCAGUCUCGCUACCCUUACUUUAUACCCUUACUUUAGCCAACACCCGGGGCGUGGAACAAGAAUGAUUCUUUUUAUGCGGAUCCAGUAGUUGAUUAGAAAUUCCAAUUCAUAUUAGAAGAAAACACUGACUCACCUAGACUCGACUCUCACUCAAAGAUACUCCCUAAUCGUUGACACCUUUUGGGCAAAGAGAAACUCCGUUCCUUACCUAUCUCCUUUCCUUAGUCACCACUUUCUUUCUAUAAUACCUAGGCGUGGGACAAGUAUAAUAUAGUCAAGUACUUUCCUAUGCGGGUAACAAGAAUUCUUUCCGUUGCUUCUCUAUCUUCGGCAACGACAAAGAAAGGACUUGGUUCUAAUUGGAAUUCCCCGCUUCAAUCUAUUUCAUCUUAUUAAUCUGACCAACUUAGAAUAGAAUAUUUCCUGCGCUAACACCUUGACUUCCCGCUUAAGAUCUUGCUCUAGACUUUCCACUUGAGAAGACCUUAACUCCUAACUCUCUUGGGGCGCUAACUGGAGCAUCAUAAGGAAUUGAUUUAAGCGCUGAAGCCACAAAUACUCAAAAUGAGGAAUCUCUAAGUGGGGUAAUCCUUAAUGACAUGAUUUACUUCAAGUCGAGGCCGGGGAAGUAGAUAGUACUGACUUACGGUGAAAGGGGGAAUCCAACAAGCAUAGAUUUGUUAUAAGGAAUUAGUUGGUUGCCAUUACCGAGUGAGCUUGUAUAUAAAGGAAAGUCACGUAUAACCAAGCAGUAACUACUAAACAAACAAGAAUGGGAAGGAACAAGCAGACGCCAAGUAACUACAAAUAAAGGCGCAACGGAGACUACUAAGAGCCAGAUUGGGAGUCUACACACCUCAGGAAAACUCCUGACUCUUAUGGUCCACGUAGCGGUAAAGGACAGGUUUAAACGUUGCUAGGGUAAAGAAAAAGAAACCGACUUAGACCACUACUCGGGGCUGGAAACCGGAUUGAGAUGAGAGUCGACAACACAGUAAACCUACCAUACUCUAGGCAAAGGCAAAGGUUAAGCCAAGUUCAAUAAAGGAAUAGUGGGGACCCUUUCGAAAGCCCCUGCGCGUUAUUCAUUUAUUAUAUAUGAGUUCAAAGCGAAAAGCAGGUAUAGCUGGGCCAGCAGUCAUAGGUGUAAGGUUCAAACCCACUUCUACGAUUGUACCUACAUUCCAUUCAACAAGUCCUGGACAAAUUGUCCCGCUGACAGCACUGAUAAUACAUACGAUUCAACUCAUUAACCUUAACUGUCAACUCAAACACAUUCAUUUAUUAUCUUUCCCCCCACCUGUUAUGUAGGAAUAAAUGGAAUCAUAGGAAGGAAGAUCAAAUGGAAUCAUAGGAAGGAAGAUCACAGGACUGACUGAGCUUGAGUAAACUAGUACUUAAAGCUAUAAUGAACCUGCUUUUGACCUUCCGCCAGUGCUCACUUUUGUAGGCUAAUGUCUUGUCUUGUCCCGUGUGGUUCAGAGCUCACUAAAGGAGAGGCAGGCCACUUGCUAUCAAUAAUCAAUACAUAAAGAAGUCAAGUAAGGGUUGAGUUAAGUAGUUGGAUUGCCAGUUGCUAGUUAAGAUCUUAUAAGCACUAGGUUGAUUCUUUCCAUAAGUGAAACAUACUUUAGCUACACUCUUUUCGGUAGAGAGUGGCCGUGUUAGUAUCAAAAUCACAGGUGUAAUAUGGUUUAAAGGGAAGUAGUAAAGCUUUGAAGUCCGUAGUAGCAGACCGUAGUCACAGACCAAUAGGCAGGAAUAUCAGAUUUGAAGCGAGUAAAGGCAGCUUUGUUCUCGGCAGUUAAAGAGGACCCUAGAUCGAGUCCUGUUAGUAUUAGUACUAGGUUCAAGCCAAACAAGUAAGGAUCCCCGGACCAGAAGCUAAAGCAUGUAAGUAAGGUUCAUAGACAAUAAAGCAAGGUUCGAGUUGCCCUAUUUCAGUCUGAUUAGCAGUGGUGCAAUUCCGAGUUACCAGGUUCCUUAUUCUAGUUAGUGGGGGUGACUUGGGAACACUUGUUCCAUUAUAUAUUCCUGCACCACGACUUGGAGUUAGCCCCGGUUCCACUCUGUUAGGGGCCCGUUCGAUUCCUGUAUGCCGGAGAAGUUCCCCAUUCUUUGAAUUACCUCUGUCAUUCCUCUCUUGGGGGCGUGCCCAGCCGCGGAGUUCCUAGUUCAAGCCCUAUUAAGUAGUGUUUCCAUUCUCUCCGGUAGUGAUUUCACUCUUUCCAGUGGUCAUUGGAUCUCCGGUUUCGAGUUAACAUAUUGGAAGUAGUAGGCUUUCAGCACCUAGGGAAAAGAUAAGGAUGAUUAGCAUUGAUUCAAUUACCGUUAGCAGCAGUAUGGGUCUUGUCAACAGUGAUUCAAUUCCAAGUUCUAAGUUAUCAUAUUAGAAGCACUAGUGAAAGUCUGAGUUAGUGCCCAAAGGAUUAUUAUUAUAGGUUGAAAGCAAAUAGAGCAAGUAGGUUGAAAGCAAAUAGAGCAAGCCUUGAGCUGUGGGUAAGGUUCGAGGACAAUAGGGAAGUAAAUAGAAGGAAGAGUCAAGGGCAUAAGAGUGAGGGCCAAGCAAGUAGUAGAAGUAAUGGUUCAAUUACUCUGUUAUAGGGAUUAGGCUUAGAAGCACUAGUUUCUUUCUUGAGAAAUAAUAAUAAUUUAGAUAAGUUACUACAAGCGGGUAUCUCGGGCGAAAGGAUGCUACCAGUGUUGGAGGCUUUGAAGCGGGGGAAUAGAAGUAGUAUCAGAAAGUUUUCUCAUCAAUCAUAGCGGGAAGCUAUUCUUCACAGGAGAUGCAGGUCACUUCCCGAGUGUUGCUGGAACAAUAGCAUUAGGGAGUUUACCCCGUUAGAUGAGGAUACACCAGUGGAAUCUAUCUCUUUAAAAUAGAUCAUAUAUAUCAUAGGAAUUGCCCCAAACUCUAUCUUCCAAAGCACUUAGUCGUAGCCAAACACUUGAACUAGCACUAUAGGCAGUUUCAACAACCAAUCUCUCUUCUCUUCUUGCCAACCCGAACUAACUCUAUCCUGCCUGCCGACCUAAACUCGUCUGUCUGUCUUUCUUUCUUAUGAGACCCCUCAGGACUACUACUUGUUGAGUCAACUACUCCCUGACUAACUCUUUCACUAGGGUAGGGCUCAACUAAUACAUAGCUCUCUGUGGGCAGUCUCUUACUAAUACAUACUUCAUGAACUCCCUUACAAACUCUUUCACUCGAAACUCCUCUUAUUUAAUUACCUGAUGCUAUACUAGAGUCACUAGAAACAUUCCAUUCUUCAAUUCAAACUAAACCAAUAACUCCUAUAGUGCAUAUUCAUUUCGCAGAUCAAUUGAACUGUAACACAACUAUAAGCCUUAGCGCAACUAACUCUCUUAAAGACUAAGAUCGGUAGGCUAUCCUAACUCUCCUUUCUGAACCGACUUCACUGUCUACGCCAAUGUCACUUACCUCCGCGAGUCUAGUUUUUGGGAGUUACAUGGGCUACUCAGAACAUAGGUGUUACGACGCAAAAAGAAGUAAAGGGAUCUUGAAUCCAUUAUAUAUGUAGAAUCUUCUAGCUAUAUUAUAUUCAAUAUGAAAGAAAGCAGUAAGCUGUCUGGUUACGAUCUUAUAUUAGCUGUCGUUCCUAUCAAUACUAUAAGCAACGGAAUAAACAAACACUAUUAUUGACACAAGCAACAGAACAACUAAAUGCGUUAGUGCGCAGAUAAGGGGUGUUAACGUCAGUUAGUAUAGUGUAGGAGUUUUUUGACUCAAUGUUCUAAAAUGUGUCUAUUUCUAUUCUUUUAUUAGUAGUUUAGAGUGUUUUUCAUCUCUUCCUCCAAUAUUAGUUUAGUUAAGCUAUCUUCUGCUCACCAAGCAAACAAUAAUGUUUAUGACAUGUAUCAAAAGUGUAACACCGCUUACUUGCAUUCGGCUUAUAUCGGCUCGAACAUAGGGAGACUCAUAUUCCAUACUUAUAGGUUCUGGAACCCCACUUGCACUUGUGGAUUUGCUUGUUCCCCGAGAGUAAGCGUUAGCACAAGUUCAAGUAAGCCUUAGUGUAACGGCUUAGCACCCUAAUAAAUAAGCGUUAGUGAGUUACAACAGUAAGGUUAAUCAAUGACUUUAGUUGUGCACUCAUAUUCAAAUAGUCAGGGCAGUCUGGUUUAUAUCUUACAUAAGUUGUGCACUAUCAUUCAACGCGCGUUAGGCUUAUAGUGUUGGAUGCUUACGCGAGUGACUACCUAUAUUCCUUCUUAAAGGAGGCCAGCCGUUAGUUUACUAUUCCACGAUAUCUUAAAGGAAGCCAGCCGUUAGUUUACUAUUCCAUCAAUGAUAUAUGAUGAUAGUUCAAUUAUAUUCCGACUUCACACUGGCCUAAACAGAACUGCUUAACUCUGAUUGUCCGUGCUUUCCCGGUCGCAGGAACAGAACUGCAACUAUACCUUCCCUCUAGAACACCUAUGAUGGUAGUAAUAUACUCCUCUUAUGCUCUUAACUGUAUGUAUACGCCUAUAUAGCGAAUAAGACUCGCGCCCACCUUUCCUUUCUAAAGCCUUUGCUUGUUACAUUUCAUCUAGUGCACAUCAACAAAGAAAAUAGACAUAAAGUCAACUAACAGAAUAAAGUCAACUCACUCUUUACUCUAAACAAGAAUCAUUCAUAUCAGAGGAAGAAUCACUCAUAUCAUAGACGCAUCCGCUAAAGUCAGCCCUUCGCGCAACAACCAAAAUAAGUUAGCGCCCCGAAAGCUCACGUAAGUACUAGUUUGUUCCGUUGCUUGGCCCUUAUUUGAUAUUAGAAUUGGGUUUCUCAUAUGUUUAUUUGAACCUAUUUUAGGGUAGUUCAUUAGCUAAACUAGGGCAAAAACCAGCUAGCUCAGCUCGAGUUAUUCUCUUUUUUAGCAAACAACAGCAAGUUCUAUUCUCCUUUUUAGAUGUUUGUGCGUUACCCCCAAAGACGGAGCAUACCUUUCAGCUCACAAAGAAUUCAGGGUGCUACGACAAGACCGAGUGGUGGAUGGUCGCUUACAGAAUGAGUUACCCGACUUGAAGAAUAAGGACACGCCCCAGGGACAAUGAACAACAAUGCAUGAACGAUCGUGUCCGAAGACUUAUUGCUUGUGCAUGGUCGCUUACAGACUUAUUGCAUGAUCGCUUACAGAAUGAGCGGGUGCAUCAGAGAAUUAUAGUAUUGCAUUCAAGUUAUUUUAUAAGAGAUUCUAUAGUAUUCUAUUAGGAAAAUGUGGUAUCAAAAGGACAAUUGCUUUUCUCAUUUUGUAUAAAAAAACCAGCUUUUCCAAUUGUAUUUUAGGCUGUUUGUGUGGCAGCGAUGUACCUUCAAUGAAUGCCCCGAGGUACCUUCCACGCCGGGGGAUCUUCUUUCUAUGCACGACCGACCGACCACCAGAAGACUUACUGAAUGAAUGGACCUACUAUGCUUUAUUGAUUGAAGACCGAGUGAACUACCCUGUAUUUAUUGUUGGCCCCUAGCCCUGUUGCCAGACCCCUUCGAUGCACGACCGAACGAACAAUGAACGAGGUACGUAGUUGACAGGAGAGGCUUAGUUGCCAGCUGCAGGGCUAGUUGAAAGAAGUAUUUGAACUCAGGCUCCUCCACCGUAGUAAACAAAUGAAGUGAAGUUCGCUACCUGUGCUACUACUACCGGGCAAAAGUGUGCUACCGGGCGAAAGUCUGCUACCAGUCUGAUUGGCAAGCGCAACUCUUAUUUGAAAGAAUGGAGCACUAGGGAGUACUAUCCGGGUUUUUGCCUUACUACUAGCUUGGCCCAUGACUUAUGAUAACUCUAGCCGGAACCCAGGCUUUCACUACGGAUCUCGAAACCUGCUAUCAUUUCUUGCUUUACGGCAUCUAAGAAUAGAGCUGUGCGCCAGGGAACAAUACCAGAACCCAAAACAGGGAAUUGACCAGUACCCUAAGGGACUGAACUCUCAAAAGGGAAUUGCACCCGAACCACUGAUAACAAGAACUCUCCCACCAACACUCCCUAGUUAUUUAUUUCGAAUUGCAAAACUAGACCUUUAGCUACUGGCCUCGAACCUUGCUCUACUGGGGCCUAUGCUAUUACCUUUCCCACUGGUUCAGUCUUACUUGACUUUGUUUUCAUUCCCUUGGAUACGCACCCUAGGUCUGCUACUACUUCAUCUCAAUCUUAGCAUUCUAUCUUGUAUUCCAUCUUGUUCAUUUCAUUAUGGAAUUAAGUAUUCCUUCAUUGUAUAUAAGAUUCAUAAGUAGGCUACCCAUGUCCGCCACUAAACAAAAUAAGGCUUAAAUCGCAGUUAACAGGGCUAUAUCUCACAACUAACUAGGAAGUCCGCUACUACUUCCAAGACUUCCUUUCCUUUCUUUUAUUUCUUGUACUGAUGCCAACAGCACUAGUUUUCUCAUAACCGGGGAUCAAACAAAUAAGUAAGAGAACGAAACCAAUAUACACCAGUAAUAGAAUCACAAAUCACUUCAAAACUAAUAAGAGAAUAGAGCUGCUGGCAAACUGGCCUACUCGACUUUCUUUUGAGUCUGUAGCUGCUGACUUCUAACCUUACUACUUGGAGUACCUUGCCUAUAUAUCUCCUCUACCUAACAGGUUUCGAACUUUUACUUCGCCUCUUUAGCAGCUUACUUCUUUUUCUUGCCGUUCUUGCCAUUAUUGCCUGCCGUUUCUUAUUUGUUCCUAAGAUGUUUCGUUUCUUAUUUGUUCCUAAGACGACCGGUUUCUUAUUUGUUCCUAAGACGACCGGUUUCUUAUUUGUUCCUAAGAUGUUUCUUUAUUUGUUCCUAAAAGAUAAUGUUUUUCUUAUUUGCUCCUUAAGACGGUUUCUGACUUUUAGUCGCCGUUACUUUAUUCUUAUGAAUGUGAGUGCAAAAGAAUGGAUUUAGGCUUCCAAGCUGUAAGUUGUUUGCUUGUUCCUAAGCUUGUUCCUUCCCCUCUUUGUAGUUACGGACUUAUUCUUCAGUUGACAAGUAGUAGUCCAGGUUGACAGCCCGUUUACAGCACCAACAAGUAGAAAUGCCCCAUAAAGUAUAUGUUUUCACUCUAUCUUAUAUUAACUCUAUGGCUCCUUAAAUGAGGAAGCCCCUUACUGGAUAAAGCCCCUUCCUUAUAGUACUAGAGCCAGAAAUCAUAAGUAGCAAACGAAGCUAAUCUUUCUCUGGCAACUAGCUAAUCUUUCUCUGGCUAAUGAUUCUCUGCAGUACUACCGGUAUUCCACUGGCAUAACAUCUUCAGAUUGAAACAAUCAAAGGAAAGCGGGAAUAUCAAUAUCCGUUUUCUCAGAAGCGCCCCCGGAAGUAGCGAAUUGUAGCAAGUUGACAGUAGCAAGGGGGAUAGAUCUAGCUGGUACGAGGGCAGGGUAUCGAAAGGGAGUUCUUUUCUGGUCUGCCCUGUUUUGUGGAAUCCUAUUUAGAAGCAGUUCGAAAGUAAGGUUAAGGCAUGGGAAGGAAAUCAAUCAAGAAAGAAGGUCAAUCCAGAAAGCAAGAAAGAAGGUUGGAAAAGGGGGUUCUUGUUUUGAAAGAAAGGAGACCGGGUUCAAUUAAUUGUAUCCAUAGGUAUUGUAGCUAGCAGGGUGAAAUGCAUUGUUGCGAGUUAGCUGAGUCUGCCUUCUUGCCAUUAACCUUAUUAGUAGUAGUUCUGGUUUGAUUCUUUUGUUUUAUACCUUCCCUUCCCGAUCCUGUCUCUGAUCCUUAUCUAGUUGAUGCUUAUGAUACAAAGCUAACCUCUGAUCGAGUAGACCUAACUAACCCUUUGUUUGCCUCUGCUUUCUUUUACUCCGCCACAACAUUUGUUUGAUUCCCUUAGUAACAGUGGUUUUCAUUGACCUCUCCCUCGCAUCAAAGGCAAUAAUCGAACAGUUCUGCUUCCUCGCCUCGAAUCAAAGCCAAUAAGACUUGUAUGCCAGGUAUGCCAGGUUCAGAGGCUUAAUCAAGUUAGAUUACAUGCGGUAGGCACGAUAGGAGACAUGUAGUGAGUGACUGGAUGUAGCUUUUUCGCCUCUGAUACGGAUCUCAGGUAAGCCAACAACUCAGUUGCUACUGGACUUAGGGAAGAAAGGAAGGAACCAUAAAGAAGGGAACCGUCCAGAUUAGGAUUUCCUAUCAACUAGAGCAGCCUGAAAGUACCAACAUAGGUAAUUUGCCAAGAGUUCAAUCAAUAGUUAUACAUCAAUAGUUCAAUCAAUAGUUCGGUGCCCUUACCGAGUGCUGUCUUCUGCUUACGUAAGAGUGAGUUUCAAGUCCAGUGCCCCAUUAAGAACCUGCCGAGCGUCAGUCAUUGCCAGUGGUUUCAUCUGUCUUUGUUGCAAGAGGGAUAGGAGAGGUUACUAACUAGUUGAAGUAAGUAUAAGUCAGUUUCGAAUACCGCGGCAAAGCCAUGACUUUCUUUCUUACUGCCCGGCACACAAGCACUUCUGGAAGUUACUUUAGAGGCGAGGGCAGCGUCAGCUGCGAUGCCGAGUAGUUAUUGUAAACCUUGCCUAACAAAGCACUUAGUAUAAGCUUGGCCUCUAUUCUGUAAUUGAACCUUUGUAGUAGUGGCUUUGCUCGAGAACAAGUAUAAGAAAACAGUGAAGUGAGUUGAGUAGUUAAACGGAAGAAGAUCUGAUGCCGGGCCGGGUGUUGAAGAAUAAAGAUCAGGUACGAGUAUAAAGAUCAGGAUCAGAUGCCCAAUCGACUUCUGUUUGAGCAGUAACUCGCUAACGGAGCUUCCAAUUAGAAAGUACUGAGUGCUGGUAAGGGGGAUUCUAUAUCCAGAGUUGCAUCAAGAACAUUCCUUAUUCUAUCUAUCUUGGCUCUGAGGCGGGUGAGGCAGCUUUAUCAACAGAAUAAGGGUUUACAGUCCCAACAAGAACAAGAACAGGAGCAGAACUACUUGCUACAGGCUCCGCUCUAAGAGCCGACUUUAGAUUGGAUUUAUACCUUCCUUUUUGCUCUGUUCCCCGGGCAUGCUCCUAAAGAUGGGUUUCGGUGUCAGAUUAGCGUGAUAAGCCAAUAAAUCCUUCUAGCUUCUUUUCUACUUUCACUAUUAACUCAAUUAGAAUUGCACUCGGUAGGAGGAAGUGAGCUAAACGUUAGCGAGUCCGGGAUUCACUGGUUCAAUUCUGAGUUACCGGACUCGUGCUUAGAAGGUUCGUGCAUCGAAUGUACCUCGGGGAUUCAUAGAUCAAAUAUACAAAUAGUAGUCCUUUUUGACUUUACUAGGAUAACAUCUAUUCUUUUAGGUACGAGUCGGAUUCUUUAUUAAUAGCGAUAGCCUUGUGAUCACACCAGCAGGAUUCUACUCCUGGAUGCACAAAGAUCCUAUUCUCAAUAUAAGCUAACUAAAUAAUGAAUCAAAUGCAAUAACAAGAGAAUCAAAGACAAGCUUAGAUGAAGUAGUGGCAGAAUAGGAGACAGGGAAGUAAUACUAAAGGGUUCAGGCAGUAAGCCUUAGAGACAGGAAAGGAAGGCGCUAACAAAGGCAUGUAAGGCAGGAGUUUAGUACUGAGAUAUAAGGUAUAAAGCCUGGGUUCCUCGCUCAAGUAGUAGUGGGAAGGUCCUUAAGCUAUGUGUUUGAGGUUCAAUUCUUACUGAUAGUAUAGUGAAGGUCAUUAGCGAUUCGAUUCCUGUUAGCGGUAGUGCUAGUGUAUAUUUCCUACUUUUCAUAAAGGAGAGGCAGCCUUGGCUCCAGGUAGAGUCGUACUUAUGUUCAAGGUAGUAAGCAUGAUAGCUAGUAGGGAAAGGAUCGGUGUCAGUAGGGGGGAUAAGUUCCAGUAUUGCCGGCACCAGUGUGAGUUUUCAAGUCAAAAGAGUUAGGCUUGGGUUGGGGAGAGGUUAGUAGGAAUGAGAUCGAGUAAUGGCAGUUCCAUCUAUUUUGGUUGUAGUCAGUACACAUCGAGUUCAAUCCAUUGUAAGUAGUGUUCAAAUCUGGUAGUCGUUAGUUUCGUUCCCGCUCCUAGUAGCCUAAGGUUGCGGGUAAGGAGACAUAGGCCGAUGUGUAAAGUUGUAAGAAUCGGAAACUGUAGAGGCAGGCUUGCUAUCGGUGUUUUCACUCUCAUCAGUGGUGUCACCGUUGGGGUCUUGCCGGCAGUGGUUCCAUUUGUUAUCAUAAGUAACAGGACGCUCUAUUCUUUCCGCUAUUGGCAUCAGGCUGAAGUAGCAAGCAAGCAUAGUCAGAAUCACAGUAAGUAGUUAAAGAACGGUAGCCUGGAUAGUAAGCUCGAUAGUAAGUAAAGCAAGGUGAUUAUAGGAGUAGUUAAGUUGGCAAGUAAGUCAAGUCAGACCUGGAGUUAAGGCAGGUAUGGACAUACAUAAGUAUGUUGUGGGGCUAUUUAGUCUUGUCGGGUAGGUAGUAAGCCCCCUAUUAGCGCUAGGUUAAGUCUGUUCGCCAGUACAGUAGUUCCAUUCCAUGUUAUAUAAGUCAAAGGACUAGAAGCACUUGUCGAAUUCCCUAUUAUAAUCAAGUAUGAAAGCGCUAGGUUAAGUCCCAUAAGUACUAGCUCAAUUCCGAUACGAUAACAAGGUUCGAACAGAUAAGUACGAGAAUACAUCUACAGCUUCUAAGCAUUAAGCUACUGACUCGGAGUUACACUCUACUAUCAACAAGAUCGGAAUGUCACUCAACUAUCAAUAAUAAUAGUACUGGUACCUAACCUAGGAGGCUUAACCCACAAACCAACUCUGUCUUUCCUUGUUAUUAUGCUUACCACUUGGGUUCUGAAACUCCAUGCUUGAAUUCCGUAUUUACUGCUCGAUUCUUCCUUCCCGGGAGAAGUACUCAUUCUUCUGUUCCUGAUGUAAGAGUUACUUUCUUAUCAGUAAGGGGAUCAGACUUCAAAGAAGGAGUAGCCGAACGAGGGUGAUUCACUAGUAACAUAUAAUAAAGAAGGAUAACGAAAGUAACAACACAUGAUAUAAUUAAGUAACCUCCCUGCGAUACUCACUUAUUUAUUGCUGACAGAUUAACUACGCUUACUCACUUAUUGAAUUUAAGUAAGUAGCAAGCAGAGGAUACUCUUUAAGACGACAAGACCAGACGAUCGGGACCAUAAGCUAUUUAAUCUGGUGUUUCGGAAUCAAAUAAGUAUUUCGACUUCUUCUUCCAAUGCAUCAAAGGAAAGGGCUGGGCUCGCGCAGGAGCUCAACUGACACGACACGCUUAAGCGCUCGCUAACGCAUCAACUUAAGAAUAUAUUAAGGCACCCAUUGAUGCACCUUCACCCGGCCUUAUAGUAAUUCGCUAACGUUAGAGUUUUGCUCCUGAAAAUAGGACUUGUUCCAUGUAUAUUAUUGGAUUCUAUAUUAUAUUAGUAUAUGGAGCAAUAGGUUUCUAAAUAGAGCAAUAGGUUUCAAGUUGGCUUACGUUCAGUUCAUCUCUGAUAGACCAGUUAUCGUUGGCAGUAGUUCAUAAUCAGAAUCCGUUUUGCUAGAAGCGUCGGCUCCAUCAGGACAGGAAAGGUGUGUGUGAUUAUAGCUUGAGUCAGACCACAGGUAAUAAAAGAUGUAUUGGUGCUUUACUUAUCUCGUACUUUACUUAUUUCUGACUGAACUUAUUUCGUAUCUAGGUGCUUUACUUGCUUGCAACUUCGUAUCCUAAAGCAUUAACAACAACAGUAAAGAGCAGCAGUAGGGCGAGUUAGACGUGCGAGUGGCACUAUUACUAUACUGUGAACUCAAUUCCAUUCUUAAGUGCAUGUCGUAUAUAAUAUAAUGUAUUUUGAUUCGCCCCUUGUAGGUAAGCAGUGAGUUUAGUUUACAAAUAUGAUUCUAUAAAGGAAAGGGUGAACUCAAUUCCACAAGGGUAGAUAAAUGACUGUACUAAGUGAAGCGAAAGAAGGAAGUGUUGUAAAUUGUUUUGUUACUUAUUUCUAUCAUGUGUCCUACUUGACCUUUAUACUGUGAUAUGUCUACUUCACCCCUGUCUACUUUAUGAACUUAACCGCUGAUUCUAUCUAUAAUUACACUCGAAAGCAACCCUGAGAGAAGGUCGAGAAAUCUUAAUUAAGGGUAGACCUUGAAAGCCUGAUUAAGGGUCGCUGUUCUCUAGCUUAGCUUCUGAUUCGCUAACAAGUCCCUCGUGGCAAAGAGCCUUUGAGGUGAGACCACUUUUGAGACUUUCCAUCCUAUUACCAAUAACAAGAAGUAUAAUAUAGUUGAGUAUAAAAUCCAAGAGUUCGGUACCAUUAAUGAAAGGUAUAGCUCGGUGCCACCAUAGUUGAUAGACCAUAGUUGAUAGUUGGAGUUAUUAUUAUUAUUAUAGUAGUAGUCGUGUCAUACCAAAAGCAAGUAAUAUAAGACCACUAGCCGGGAAGGUAAUACUGAUUGAUAGGCAUGUCAAGUCAGAGUUGUUCCCGGGGUAUUUAUUUGUAUGUCGCUAUUCUUUUUUUUAGUACGAGAGACACGAGCUCAAUUCUAGUAGUCAUAGUGGCCUUUCUUAUUUCUUAGUGCAUUUCUUUUUGAUACUAGUUCCGUUAUUUGUAUUGGCAACUCCAUUCCCUUUCUGGUGUAAUACGUAUUAGCAGUAUAUAGUCUGUAUUUCCACUUUGAUUCCUUAAAAGCACCUAGAGACCCUUAAAAGCACCUAGAGACUAAGUAGUUAGCGUUGGUACUUCAUUCGCGGACUACCCAAGGGAAUUCUGAUUAUGGAAACUCAACCUAUGGCUACUCAUUCGCUUUUAGUAGGUGCGCCACACAGACUUCAUUUACUUAUUCCUGGGCUCGAGCGUAAGGUCGGGAUUCUUAGACCCAAUCUUCUUAUGGCCUUUUGUACUCCUUAUUUACUAUCUCAUUAUUUCAUUUGAAACACACACAGUCUCUUCCUUUUGGGGUUCCUUUAGUUUCCUUAUUGCAUCUUCACUCUUCUACUUCUUAGGACAAAUCUGGAUUUCCUAAUUCAAUGUCUUAAAGCUAUGCCAGGCAUCCUUACAGUUGAGGUUGGUUCUAAUACGUAUUUCUAGUAUCCUGACUUCUGUGUUUAAGUCAACCACUUUAGUUUAGGUAUUCUACUUAUGAGAUGAGUGCAAUUCUGACUGCUAGUAAGUUCAAGUCCCGUCCUGGUCUUAUCGGUUUUAUAGCAGUACUGGUAGGCUGACUUUAUAGGUGACUUCUUCAAUUCCUAGUGUAUAGCUUCAUUAUAAGUUGUCCAUUUCUUUCUUCUACUUACCUAUCUUAUACUGGAGCUUAGGUCUUCUACUUGUUCGUUGGAUUCCCUAUAUUGACUGGGGAUGCCCUACAUCAUACCAAUACGACUAUUAGGCUUCCACUAUCCUAGAUCAGACCCUACCCAUAGAUUCUUCUUUGUUCGGAAGCAAGCCGGUCCGAUUCUUAUUCCUCUUCCAUUGUUUGACUAUUUGACUUACUUGUUUGAUUCCGACUUGCCCAAAAGUGCUAGGUUGUCGAGAGGGAGGUGGUGACUUCUCCUAUUACUUAAUGCACUAGACCACACCGAUUCUAUAGGCUAUUGACUCCAACUUUACAUACAGUUUGAGUUAGCUUGGAAAACAGCGUGGGCAGAUCAGUUUGAGAGUUCGGAUUGGAAUACUCAUGAUAGAAACAUAGGAUCCGGACAGGAGUUAAAGAAUCACAGAUAGGCGUUUGAGAUCAGUGGUUAAGAAAGAAUGUAGCUGCUACGCGUAUGAGUGAAAGACAGGAUAGGCAUACUUAGAGUUAGGAGGGUGAGGCUGAUAGCUUGGCGGGGGCAGGUCCGUUUUCGAGCUAGUGGGGGAUAAGGACAAGCGCAUAGGCAUUUCCGUCAGUAGGGUCUGUUUGAAGCUGGAUUCAAUGCAGUAGCUCUGGUCUUAAAAGCAGUAGUUCUAUUCUAUUAGUGGCGAUAGCCUUUCUUUUAUGAUAGCCAGUAAGGACCCCCGAGAGUAUUCUCCAUAGUAGCUUCAUUCUAUUAUUGCUACUGAUUAAUCCGGAUCUGUAGUAUUAGUCUGCUUCUCGCCUUAUAUCCUUAUUUGUAGUGAUAUCAGAGUGAAAGAAGCAAGUAAAGGGCUUUAAGGCAGUGGCGAUAGGCUCGUUCUUGUGUUGACAUCCUAUAAUAAUGGAGGCUCCUAGGUUGUAGUCAAAGAAUGAAAGUGAUUAGUAGUAUUGAAGUAAGUUAUUGAAGUCAGCAGCGGUAGGUUGAAAAGAGAGAUAGAUCAAGUUUCAAGUAAGGAAGAGCUGGCUAAGAUACAGUUUGGAAGCAAGGUAGGUCAGAGGCACAUGGAUAGGAGUAAAAGCCUGGGUUCUUUCUGCAUUAAAGUAUAAUCGGUAGCACAAUAGUGGAUUUCCUAAUAGUAAGUUCAAGUAUCAUUGUUAUGAGUUGGAUUUCAGUGAUCCAGUGUCAAUUCUCAUUGGUAGUGAUUGUAUUCCUGUUAGUAGUAAGUUGAGAUCAAAGUAAAGAUAGUAAGCCUGGUUUCUAUUCUUUUCAGUAGUGAUUUGAAUCUCUUAGUAGGUGGAUACAUUUCGGGUCUUGUUACCAGCAGUUAUAGGUUUCAAGCUAGGAUCAGUGUCCAGUGAUACAGAGUGCAAGCACGGAGCGGAGGGCUAGCUUCUUUGUUUCAUUUUUGGUUAAUCAUAGUUGGAUUCCUUAUUUUGAGUUUAGUUGGCGGGUUGGAUAAAUCAGAAUCACAGUCUUAGGGUCGGGAGCAGGUGAAGCAGAGUUCAGUUAGUAUCCGGACUUUUGCAUUUCAUUCUGUAUUUCUGACUCUUAGCCUUAGAGCUAUUAGUUUGAGUUUCCCUAGCCGUGGGUAUCCUUCCAAAUAGAAUAUGAGGAGUCGACAGUGAAGUCUCUACUACUAUACUAUAGGUUGGUUCAAGUAUAACUAAUUACAGGACGAGAGACAGGAGCGUAGGGGCUCAUAGUGAGUAAAGCAAGUCUGAUGUGUUAGUUAGUCAUUCCUAUAAGCACUUGUUUGAGUCUCUUACUGACUUGUUUGGGUUCCCUUCGAUCUCACUGACGCCGAAGACAUCACGUAGUAAUAACAAGCACAAAACGAAUUGUAUGAUAGGCGGUAGGGGACUUGGUCGCAGUGGUUUCAUUCCAAUAUAGUAUGGGACUGAUCUAACCUAAUGGGGUAGUUCUAGUGCUUGAGAGCAAGGAUAGUUAGAGUUUCAGCAGGAAAGGGCAGCUUUAAACGGCUCGACAGAAGGAGAGGAAGGGCAGUCUCAUAGGUUCAAUAAAGAAAGAAAGUACACAAUGUAAGGCUAAGACAUAGGAAAGUCAGAAUAGGGUUUCGGAGUUUCUUUCCCACUUAUAGUAGUUAGAGAUUCUAUUAAGUAGUGUGGUUUCGGUCUGAUAGUAUAAGAUUCGAACUUAGAAGUCAGAUGUGAACCCGCGCAGGGAUGAUGGGCUAACAGUAAGGGCAGUGAGACUUAUAGUUGGGAUAUAGAAUACAAGUGGAGUCGUGAGAGUUGAAGCAAGGGUUAGAUCCGAGGUAGCUAUAUAGCCUUAAAAGCACUGGUUGAAGUCCUGUGUAGUGGGCGCUGUUACCUACUUUGAGUUAAGGUAUUGGUUUCCCCGGUUCGAUUCUAUCAAGCAGUGUUUUCAGUCUAUUAUGGGUGGGCUGGUCUCUCCAUAAGUUUAGUCAGAAUGGCAGUUCUUAAAGGCAUACUAUGCUACAACAUAGGAAUUUAGGUCAGUAACUACAGAACCAAAGGAAGGAUAGUCAGAAUCAUAUUAAGUGGAGCAAAGACCCGGAUCGGAUCAGUGGUUAACGACUGAAUGAAAACCCGAGAGAGUUCAGAGACUUUAAGCGAAGAAGGGAAGAGCCGAUAUAAGAAAUGGAGGUAUGGGUCUGUGAGGAGUAGAGACAGCAAAGCAAGGGUCGAUUACAUUGAGUGGCCCGUAGCGGCAGUAGAUAAGUAAUAAGAUAAGUAAGGACAUUGGCGGAGAGUGCCCCGUUAGUGAAGUUGUAAUUCCAAGUUUCCAGUUAAGGUAUUGCUAGCAGCGACUCAAUUCUUUGACUUACUUGCUCGAUUCUAACUUGGCCUAUAUGCCUUUUCUUCUAGAUGUGCUAGCGUACUUAGUUCAACUCUUUCAGUUGGUCUUAAUGGUCUCAAGCACAUGGGUAGUGCUAAAGAAUGAAAUUCGAAAUAAGGAACUCUACUAAUACUAUCAGACCUUCGCUCUAAACUCAGGCUUGCUCCACUGUUUCCUAGUCUGUCUCUACUUACGGAUCCUAGGAAUCCCCAACUACCUAUACUUAGCUUUAAGUAUGACUUUCCUGACUAUUAGGCUGACUCUCCUGUCUCUAUUUCUUAUUAAUAGCGGUUUUGCUCUUGUACUUGACUUAUUGGUCUGUUGUACAGGGGUCACUAUACUUUAUCUGAUAGCUGCCUAACAGGCUUACUAACCUAUCUUUCAUUCUUUUCCUACUGAUACAGAUCUUUACUGCCAAACGAACAUAACUUCUUUUUCUUUUGUAGCUUGAUUGUUAGGCUCACUUUACUUCCCCUAUUAGUAUGCAAUGCGCCCCUCCCUUACCUUACUUCAGUCUACGGUUUGCUUUAUCUCAUUCUCCAACUUACUGACUAUUGGGCUUAACUAUACUACCCAAUGGAAUGGAACUGGUGCUUAUGAGAAUGAAACCAAACCAACAAAAGAAAGAGUUUCACUAUAGAGUCAGGAUACCAUCGGAUAGGAAUAGAAAGAAGGCUACCAUACAAAUACUAAUAUACAAAUAUCGGAAUGAAAACACUGCCAGCAAGAAGUCAACUGCUGUUCCCUAGCUCUCAAGUAGGAAAGUAAUAAUCCAAAAGCCAUUCUUUAUCUCCUCGAUUUGGGGCUUACUCUCUUUGUUUAUAAACCUCACUUUCCUGGCUAUUGGCCUGUUACUUGCUCUUUUCAUUCUCAAAUGUCAGUAUUCAAUUACAAUAUGUUAAUUUAUAUGAUAUUUGGGAGUAGUUCAAGGCCUUGGUGGUAUGAUCUAAGGCAUCUACUAAUAAGAAUGGACCUGCUACUCGGAAAUCGACCGGGGCAUAUGAAGCCCGCCCUGCUUAUUACUUAUCCUAGUAGAGGCACCUCAACCCUUUUUGAUCUUACAAAUAAGGAAUCCCGCUAAUUGCUAUUAGCCUGGCAUCCCUUCUGUAUUACCGGACCCAGCUUCACUCUGACCUUCUUUGCCUUUAGUCCCACUGUACUCUCCUUUAGCCUUAGUUUCCCGGCUAAUUGCUUUGAUUUCUAUCUUUGAUUAUUAUAUCAUAUUAUGAAAUGCACUAUUCUGUUAACUUACGUAAGAUUGAUUCGUAUGCUGCUCGGUUCAGUGCUAUUCUCCCUUCACCAAUAAGGAGAGAUUUGUGUAAAUGUUACUAAAGCAUAUAGCCUCUCGAACAGAGGAAUAAGAAUAAGAAUCUUAGGGUGAACUAAAGAAUAAUAGACAGGAUCCGCAUACUCCAAUUCAUUUACUUAGUACCUUCCUUGCGGGCAACUCUCACUUUUUCGGGUGCCAAUCAAUAGGGGUGUUUCGACGUAUCCGGAUUGGAUAUUCUAAUGCCUAUCCACCAAGUAACUACGAAUCAAAGUAGGGCAGGGCAGUCUCAUAGUUAGUGAAGUAAGGCUCCGGAUCAGUAGUAAGGUAAUUCAAGUAUGGAUUAGCAGACUUAUCGACAGGGCAGUCAGAGUGAUACCGAAGUGCAGACUAACAAUAAGACAUAGGAUCCGUACACCGAGUUCAAUCUAUUAGGAUAGUCGUCAAUUCUUAGUUGCUUUUUGAAUUCUCAUAAGUCGUAGUUGGUUCUCUCUUUUUUGCUUUACUUACGUUAGUGGCUUGAUCAACUAGUAUGGUUUUUCAGUCUCCUAAACAGGGCAGUCAAAGUCUGAUAGCCCCGAGUUAUGUUCUAGUAAUUAGCACAUCCCCUAGUUAUCUUAUAGUAAUGAGCACGUCUAUAAUCAAGAGCUAAAGCAGUCAUUCAUCCUUCGGAGCAGUUCGUUGCUCGGUCGAUUUGCCAUAUAAGUUCUUCUUAUUACCAAGUGCUUUCUAUACAAUACUGUCCAAAUAAUAACAUCCACGCCCAUACGAGUAGAUCUCGCCCAGUAGGAAGGAGUUAGAGAGUUCCGAGUUCGUUGAUUCAAAGCGGCAUACCCGACUAAGGAAAGUCAACCUUUUAGCAGUAUGCGUAUUGAUCAAUUCAGAGAAGAAAGAUGGCAAAAGAAGUGUGCAGGCGAAGGCUAAAGGAAGCUACCCUAUAUAUCAAACCUUUAUAUGCAUAUGCCAGUGAACUGGAAGAGAUAGUAGAGAAAGCCCUUCCAAACCAAUAGAUCGAAAGUACAGAUCUGGAUUUCCUCCCGCCUCUGUUUUACUUGAGCACAACGGAACUGGCCGUUGAAUAGCUUGCUCCUCUUGCACAGGAUCCUUCAAAGAGCAAGAUUGAGCCCAAAGGUAAAAAGAAAGCUUCUACAGAAGUUAAGGCUUUCACUUUGACCGAGCGCAUUAGAUUAGUAUUAGCAAUAGGGUUUCUUCAGCCUUUACCGAGCACAUCGUAGAAUGAAGUAAACAAACAGAGCAUCGCAGGCAGUUUGAUAUCCGAGGCGCUUAGCAGUUCUAUAAAGAAAGGUGCGUUGAGCCUCCAUAUCAGGCUUAGCACUAUACCUUUGAUUCUUAUGUUCCUCUUUCACACCUCAACCACCACCUAAGAGCCUGUGUUCCAUUAUUAGUAUUGCAAUCUUCACUAUUGGACUGCCCUUACUGUCUCUUAAACUGAAGUGAGUAGUUCCUUGGCAAGUCAGAAUGCUAAAUGGUAUCUCCGAGACUGAACUACUUACACAAUAAGGAAAAAGAAUUCUCUUUAGGAUAGAACACCAGCCUUAUUGCCUCAUCCCUUGCUCCAACUCUCACUAGCCCCACUUUGAUCUUUAGCUACUGGCUUUGGUUUUGACUUGUUAUUUGAUUAUUCAAUAAGUUAUUAUUCAAUGAACUAUUCAGUUACACCUAUAUUAUUACGAGAAAACAUAUUCUAAUAUCUGGGCUGGGUGAAAAGAAUAAUGAAACUAAGUAAACAGAAGAACCCAAAUAACAAACAGACAGGAAUGCUAGUAUAUAUUUUCAGGUGGGAACUACCUACCGCACAACUUGUUGUUUGGUGGAUCCGAAUCAGCAGUCACAGAAUUGAAGUUAGUAGCACGGGAACGAAAGCAAGGGACACAUAGGUUGAUAGCAAGGGGAUAGAGAUCCGGACCUGAGACAGUAAAGGAAGGCCAAAAGCAAGUAAAGACUGGUUUGGUUCCCCAAUAGUAGAAGGCUUAGUUUGUGGGAGUUCAGUCAAGAAGUAGUCGCCCGGGUUCGUCUCCUUUAUUCCCUUUGAUGCAGCCCGGGUUGGUUGGUUCUGAAAGAUGGGACUUCAGAAUAAUUACAACUAACCCAAUAUUCUAGUUGUUCUUUACGGCGAUAAGUAUUAGUUUACAUAGGAUAGGUAUCCCUCAUUCAGUUCAUAGUUGCCAUCAAGAGUUCAAUCAAUAGGCUUUCACUUUAGUUGUAUUCUUUGUCGAGAGUGAAGAGGUUCGUAUCGGAGUAGAAGAAUGGAAUGGAAAAGUCGUUCUUGUGAGCCUACCUUUAAGGAUUGCUGUUUCAUCCUUGUUGGAAUAUGAUCUAAACUCCCCACGUAGCUCUGUAAGCCUCUACGUAGUCUAUCUACAUGCUACCUUAAGGUCAAGUAGUCCCUAUCAGUCAGUUAUCUCUAAGAAGGAUGAAUAUUCCUUAUUGUCAAAUUGUACACUUAGAAGUGCUCGCUCUCAUAUCGGAUUAUCACUCUCUCUGGUAAGGGCCUUUUCUCUGACUUUGUCUUAUCUAUCCUCUCUGAGUCGUUUUCAAUCUUGUUUCAGCGGGUGAUAAGUCUGGGCUAAAUCAACCUAUCUCCUCAAGCAUGGAACUCAAGUCAUCGCGUAUGGAAAGGCAGGGUUAGCUUCUUCAAAAGGGUCUUGUCUUGGUGUCCCAGUUCAUUCGGAUUCUCUGAGUGGAGCAUAAAUGAGCCUAGCUUUACUGACCUCGCACCGAACUCUAAUAGCGUCUUGAGAUUAGCCCAAUGCCCACAAUAAAUGCGCUCUGGCAAACCACCUUCUGGUAAUGACUCGAUCUCUUUGUCUGUCGGAGCCCUUUCUUUCUCCCUAACGAAAAACACUUGAUUAGGCCUCUCCUCUGGUCUUCUUUCAUCUUAUAUUAUCUCUUUCUAACGUUGGUCAACAUUUGAUGAACUCGAUAGUGAGAUAUUACCAGAACUUUAUAGAAACACACUAUAUCGAGCUCCAUACAGAAGAUAGUAGACUGCUAUCGGCGGCUAUACUUCGAGCCCCCAUGGUAAUGAGUCACAGGAAGAUGGUAAUGAGUCACAGGAAGCUAGUUCUAUCACUUCUGCCCAAGUUCACUUCAGGCCUAUAUCAGAUAGAAAACACUUUUCAUUGUUUGACAAACCUAAUGGUUUAGAUGAAUGCAACGAGUAUAAGGGCGGCUUUCUGCUCUCCCCCGAAUUGCAAACCAGAACGCUUCGAAGGGCAGUGGUCCAAGGCCUCUCAUAUCCAUCAAUCAAAUAAUGUAGCUCCUUUACUUAUUGCCUGGCGGGUAACUACUAAUCUGGAUUUGAUAUAGUACGCCAGCUCAUAUACUAUCUGGCGAGAACUGGUGCGCUGGGCGAUCUCACUCUCUUCGCUUCGGGAUACUUUCUUUCAAUGGAGCCCGACUACUUCCUAAUCUUGUUAACCUCCGAAUUGAUUGAACAAUCUCCAAUACAUGUAGGUCCAGGGAAGUCUAAUCAAAGGGGGUCUCUUUAGCCGUCAACCGCUCCGUGGGUGUCUAAGCAAAGAUCUUCUCACUUUAUUGCUAUUCCAUUUCCAAUGGACCAUUCUAUUGUGGAUCCACCAUGAUCUUGGACUUCCCUAAGAAAGGCAACUGCAACUUAAGGUCGACAUCUCCAUAUCUCGUUCACUUGUGAGCUCGGUUCGGAAUAGUAUACUUCCCGGGCUGUCAAUGAAAAUAACCCAUUUCAAGAACUUAAGGUGCGCUCCGCCCUGAGAUAGCGCCAACCUCAAGUCAAGCGCUGGCUUUAGCUCCAAUCCUUGAAUGUAGAAAGCAAUGCUUCCAUCUGAUCCACGUUUCCGGGGAUAGCUCUACUGAUUCAAGAGAAGAAAGACAUAAUAUAGGCAGCUUUUGAUUAUCAUGAAUAUUCAGCGGAAGUGGAAUGUUAUAUAUUUCAGCAAUGGCAAUUCUCAUUGGAUCACUUAUUCCUUAUCUUAUUUUUGGAUUACCUUAUUGGAUCACUUAUUCCUUAUUCUUAGAUUACCUUAUUGGAUUACUUAUUCCUUAUUAUUGGAUUACUUCUUCCUUAGUUGUGGGAUCUCUCACGCUCUUCAUUUGACUUGGCCAUCUAGUCGAUACCAGCAAAAAGAUCUCUAAGAUCCUAGUCUUAUGCGCUCGAAAAGGAAAGGAGGCCUAUUUUCAUGUCCAAAGGUGUGUGUGAAGAAAGAAACCUUCUCCACCCACUACGGAAAACAUCGAUUUCCUGUAAAGAUCUUAUCAAUGGAACCUGUACUUCUAGCAUCUUUAUUCACGGGGCUAAGUUCGAGUUACCAACCCUAUUACUAAAGAGUUAGACCUACUUCCUUGUUGGACACCAGACGCGUGAGCCCUGCUCUUUGAAAGGGAGUAACCCGAUGCUUUAUUAUUCCAUUUCUACUUACCUCGUCUCGUCUUCUCUUCUUCCCUCAAACAUCUGCAGAUCUGAGUUGAGUGCUUCUCUGUCGAAAGAACAGAUUCAUUGUUGGAAGCUAAUUCUUCUUCUCGCCGCCUUGUCUGUACACCAAUGCCAAUGGCUAAUUCUGCUUUUUCAUCCUGGAGCGAGUUAGCCGUCGCUUUUUCUUCUUUUACUUUACCGAGCCGAGCCAACCACUUUGCUCUCGUAUGCCGAGCCAACCACUUUGCUCUUGUAUAAAGAAUUCCUUCAUAGAACUGAGCUACAUACUCCCUAAGACUUAUGGAAAGCACAGACAUCCUUCCCUAAUACUUAGUGAAAGCCCAGAGAAUAACUCAUUUCAUAUUCAUUUCAAUAUGGAUUGUAAACAAAUGCUUUUCUACCAGAAACAGAUCCGAGCUCAUCUCACUAAGGAACAAACAGAAAAGAGUAAACGCGCCAUAGCAUAGACUCAAAUCCAGAGCCAUCAGACACAAACGAACAGAGCAGAAAAGCCACUAUAAAACAAAACAGCAGCCCAGAAGCCGAACUCACUGAUAGAGUAAACGAGGAAACAGCAGCAACACAAUCACUUAUUUCUACUGCAAUACCGGAUAUCGAGGGAGAGAUCAGCGCUACCACGCUUUUAGCUCCUGCCGCUCUGAACUCGCUACCGUGCCUAACGAGGCUUGGUCAUUAGCAGUGCCUUGGCGACCUUGUCUAGUAUACGCUUGGCCAUUUCUGUAUUCUUUGUUCGCUUGCGCGGCAGGGCCGCUCUUCAUGCACCUCUUUUCACUCUGUCUCCCCUUUCUUUAAGACUCGCUCUAAGACUAGGAUCCAACUUUCACUGACCUGGCUAGCGAAUAGAAUCAACAAUCUAAUAAGUGCUGACUUGACUGAUCUUGAUGUAGUCUUUUGAAAGCCUUAGCCUUGCUAGCACGCCCCAACACAGACCGAGAACUGUCUAGCCGGAGUUGUGUAAUUGAGAUGAUUCUUUGAUGUGUUUGUGUUUACGAACGAAUAGUCCACAUCCGAUGAUCCACAUAUUCUUUUUCUGUCCUUAAAGAUUGGCGUUGGGUGGUUCAUUCCCGACGUCACAUCCCUUCUAGCCGUUAUUCGUGAUUGAUAUGGUGCCUGUAAAUCUCUGUCUGUCCUAUUAAAGCAAGAAAAAAGAGUCGAAUGGGAAGUCAAGUCAGAAGGGCGCACUACCCAGUACUACCUUCUUGAGCUACACACUCCUUUAAGGAAGUUAUUGAAGGAAGGUAAAAGUACUUGCGCGGAAAAGAAGUAAAGCAGGCAGCCCAUCUCAAUGGAGUAGAAGCGGGCCUUCGCUGGACCAAUCCACUUUUCUCUCUAUCGUCUCGAGUUAGAGCUAGUCUAGUAAUCCAAAGAGAAGCGUAUUCCCCAGAAGUGGAUAUGAGUAACCUAGAAGUUGGCAAUCCAUUGAAGAUUGUCAGGGAAGUUCCGGCGAGCAAUAAUUCCUGUCUAGAAGCUGGUGCCAUACGAGUAAUAAACCAGCUGUAACCGUUUUGGGUUUCCCCUUUAUUUCCCAUAAGUCUGCCAUACGAGUAUACCAGAGGGGGGAGGUAUUGAGUUCUGAUGCUUCCUAAACCCUAAGCUAGGCGAAUCAAUAACAAAGCAAGACGACUUUCCCUCAGUACGGGCCAUAACCGAAGUCAGAAGGCUUUCAAUCCAAUAUGGUACGCGGUGCUUAUCAAAUCAAAAACCAUCCCUUCCAAGUGAGUUAGAAAGGUAAGAGUCUUUUACCUACCUAGUAUCACUUCUAACUUUCUAAUAACUAAUAAGAAAAAGAAGAUAAUAAUAAUAAGAAUUUUCUAAGAAGCGAGAGCGCACCUCGAGAAACUAGUCUCCGAUAAUAGAUUAAGCAGUACUAAAGGUAAUGGUUGUAAGCUGAUGGAUGGCCGAGUAAAGAACCCAGAUAUUAUAAGGGAGACCUUUACUUUGGUUCAAGGUAGCUAAAUUCAUGUUUCAUGAGGACCAGAAAGAAGAAGGUAAGGGAUAUUGGAAAAAGAAGUAAUGGAUUCCGCAAUACAAAGAAGUUGGAAGCUGUUUCAAAAUACGGCAGAUCUGGUGUGACAAGGGCGUGCUCUUCUAUUGAAGGAAGACCAGAAACGAAACAGCUCUCUUUGCUUACUAUGGAUCUCUUACGUGUAACAUUCCUUGCUUUGACUUUUACGAGCCAAUUGGUUGUUUACUGGUUCCGGUGCUUGGUUGUAAGAGUGGUGAGCUAAGGAUUGGUUGUAAGAGUGGUGAACUAAGGGUGAGCUAAGGAUUGGUUGUCAGAGUGGUGAGCUAGCUAGAUAGUUACCACAAAUAGCCCCUUUGAUGAAUUAGUCCUGGGUUUCGGUGACUUUCGAGUUGAGGCAAUCAGGUCUUUGCUAUUCGGCAAGGAACGGGCCAAGGGCCAAGCAACGAGGCAAGUCAUUCCGGUCCUCUACUAUUGGCUCAUAGCAAAUGGGGAAUAUCUCCGCGGAUCUUCUCUGGCUACAACUACUUAUUGAACUACUCGACUACGGGUUGGGUAUUCCACUCGCCAACUACAGGCUAGGCUCUGUCACAAUAAUUCCAUUCAUAAGAAUUCCACUAGCAACUAUCAACUCAACUACUUGCUUUAAGAAAAGAGUCUUGUAAGCAAUUCCACUCUAACUCUAACAGUAUCUUUUCACUCAGGCUCAUCCACCGGGGAGUAAACUAAUACUUCUUGAAACAAGCUGCUGGCAACUCUGACCAUAAAACCGAAUCUGGUAAAGAAAGGAAGCAUCAAUCCUAACCUGUUCCUUUGUUUGAUACCUGAAUUCUUACUUGCUGAAUGAGGCUCUCCAAUCUAUUCAUUCUGACUUUCCUACUUGAUAUCGUAGAAUUUAUAUCUUUUGUACUAUAUCUUAUGAUAGGAUCUGGCCAAGUCGACAACUAGUUGAAUUCACCAAGCAACAGUAGGAGUGAGUUCCAAAGUUCACUAUACUAGUCUCAGAAAGCGGGUAUCUCGGGCUAAAGUCUGCUAUUAAGGUAUAGGUCGACAAGGUGCUUCAAGCCUAUGUCUUUACUGAGUGUAAGAAAGGUGCUUCAAGCCUAUGUCUUUGAAUUGAACUCACUGGUUACCUCGCCUCUGGUAUUGAAGUGCAGAAUUGUAAUUCAGAAUUGUAAUUAUUAUUGAUGAGCUCGAGCACCCAUAAUGGAGGAAUGUCAUAACACACAUAAUGAAGGAAUAUCAAUACACAGCUUAUGCUCCCUAUAAGAGAUAUAAGUAACCAAACAACGCAUUGCUUUAAUCACUCAUAUCGGCACCCACCCGCAACUCUAGUCAGAAUUAGCACAACGGGCCAAGUAACAAACAACUAAGCUCAUAGCAAAUAGAGACACAGGUAUAAGAAUUAGGCUCCGGGUACAGUCUAGCGCUGGCUCAUUGCUUUUGUCCAAAACUCCCUGCCGCGCCGUAACAUAACUCCUGCCGCUAGUGUCCAUCAUCCGCUCUUUCCACUCUAACGUUACUAGAGGCCGGGGCAGAGUCCUGGGAUAGGAUCCUCAAAGUAGUGGUCCAAAGAGUAUCUACUGAAGUCGACCUAGACCUCGCAAACAGGAAUUGACUCUUUUUCUUACCCUGAUUACCUGCUUCCAUAUGAUCUCGGCUCGGGUAAUCUGAAAUUCUAUUCGGAUAAUGCGCAGAGCCCACUCAAACAUCAAUUUAUUAGCUGUAUGCUCUGUAACCUAGGACUCGGAAUUAAUUGAUUAUCGAACACCAGCUAUAGAACUAAGUAAAGAUCUAACUCCUAAUUCUGUUGAAACUACUGAAGAAGCGGACUUACUUUCGCCAACAGCUGUCAUUGAACUUGCUUGCUCUGCCCGCGUACCUUGACUUUAUUCUUACCUGAGCCCUAACUCGAUACCCGGACUUUCUACUUCACCUUGAAACCACUCACUACUAUCCGAGUCAAGAACUGAUAUCUAUGAUUCCACUCUUACUGAAAGACACUUUACUUCAGUACUUAUGGCUUCCAAGUAAGUCGAACAAAGGAAUGGAAUUGAUCACUUAAGUCCAAGUCGGGUUGGUUGACUUAACCCUGUUCCAAUCGUUCCAGAGAGGUUCAAAAAGCAGCAAUGAAUGAUGAGUUGACUGAAGCGUUAAGUAUUACCCAAUCAUUCCAUUACAGAGAGGUGGCAUUCCAACUUCAAUUCCAAUUCAAAAGGUGCACUUUAAGAACGAGAACGUCUUGUAGCUUCCUUUACGUACCCUGACUUUGAAUCGAAAACUCUACUUAUAUUGGAAUAUACUACCAGAUUUUCAUCUACUGCUCUCUCUGCUCUAUCAGCUUCCUUUCCUCGCACCGUCCCGGCAACUACAACAAACCCUUUCAGUAGUGGUCAAAAAUGUACUGUGGAAUUGGAAUAAUACUAAAUACAUACCCUUACAGUAUAAUGAAGAGCAUGCUCAUAUUCAAUUGCAUCUUGAACAACCAAUCCAUGAAGAAAGCAAAGGAAACAAUGAAGCCCCUGCGCAAACAAGAACACUUGAAAGCUCACUUGAACUUGGAGAUCGAGGCUUAUUAACCACCGAGAAAGGACAACUCAUGAAAAUAGUCCUUUGCCCUACCCCCCUUGUAUAGAAUUUAGUAAAUAUAACUUCACUUGCAUUGCGUUCAAAAAACCUGCCUUUAAUAACCCUAGUCCUUUCCAUUUGUUCUUUGCCAUCAUUACCCUAAAAUAUAGGUUAGUUGGCAAAAAUUCCAUUGUAACUGGGACGCUCUCUCUGGGCCUUGUAGAUUUGUUUAAUGUAGCGGCGUGGGGGGGCCUUUCAAUUCUCUCUAAGCCGAGGGAAGACCCUUUCCCAUCCAUGUAGAUGCUUUCGACCCCUUCUCACGUCUUUGUUGGCGAGUGAGUCAAGAAGCCCAACUUUACUUAAUAAUGCUGAAGCGCGGUCUACUUCAUACGAGUCUCUUUGCUUUCUUUGGAUUGGGUGCUAAAUCCGUUCAUUCCGUUUCUGUUCUCGUUGGCUUACGUGAAGAAUAUCUACGAUAGAAACAAGCUUAGGCAGCACAUACAUGACUAAGAGCUAACGACGGAGUUAUCAGAGUUCCAACAAGCUUAGGGUAGGAGAGUUCUUCCUGUCUUUAGCGCGUAAGGGAAAAGGGAGUUUUCAAUGAAACAAAACCAGGCGAUGCUUGUCAAGAGAUUCCAUUCUUUCUUCAGACAGUUGAGAGUCAAGAAAAGGGCGACGAGAGAGAUAGGUUUAUGUUGACAGUGGUAUUGUCGGUUCAGAAAUCAAGUAUAUAGUGAGGGGAAUUCAGAAAUCAAGUAUAUAGUGAGGGGAAGAAUAAAGAGAAAGUACUGGUUAAGCGAGGGCAGCUUUAUAGAUGCCUUGAGUUUAGUCUCUUUGUGUUCUUGUUCCUGAUCUAAGCUGUAUAGCUAACAAAGCGUACUCAUAAAGUCAAGGGCCUGGCCGACCCGGUUCAAUAAACUCCUUUAAGCGCUUCCUUUCAAGAAGGCAGGUACACGCCAAACUAAUGUUAACGCUAAGGAAUAUUGCUUGGGUGAACUCCCGCUUGAAAAGAAUAUAACUCUCCUCCAUUUGCUUGAAAAGAAUAUAACUCUCCUCGUAUCUAUUAAGUGCGGAACCAUAACAACCAUCUAUUCUAUAAGGUCAGGUGCUGAAGGAACCAUCUAUUCUAUAAGGUCAGGUGCUGAAGGAACUAUCUAUUCUAUAUAAGGUUUUGUAGUUGUAGCUUGCACUUAAUUAACCCUGGGCUGGAAAUGGAACUGAUUGUUCCCGCCUGCCUGCCUCCUUGUCCACGAGAUCCAGAGCUUUAGAUUCCAAGUCAGUAUCUAAAGGUUGCAGUAACAGGGACCUGUCCAAUCUUCAAUAAUUAAUGGAUUCUAACCUUCACCGAGCUUACCCGCUACACCUUAUAGUAUUAUAGAAACAAAGUCAUAUUACCUGCAAACAGAUCUUGCUUCUUAUGAUUCUUAUGAUUCUAUCGUAGACUUCACUUUAACUACACUUCCUGCUCUAACUGCUUCCGCUGCUGAUGAUUCUGUGUUGUUGAUGUAAACCUCCCUUUGGCUUCUAAACAAAUAGUUUCUACUGCGCUCUUGCUUUAAACGCUAUCACUUACUGCCUCCGUCUGGCUAAUGAUUCUUUUUAUUCCCGGUGCUCUAGAGUUAUGAGCAAGUCUGUAUAGUUGACUUUACUCGAACAGCUGGUUCUGUUGGUUAUGAUGCUACUCAUACUUUAGAUCCUAUUCUUACUGAAGGAAGACCAAUACUCUGCCAUCUACUAAUGUCUCUGCUCUACUUGACUUGAUAACAGCUUCUAUAUAGGAUUACUAAGGUCAAGCGCCAAGAACGGAUCUCUAAGAUGAAACAAGAACCCCAUCUGCUUGAGAUCCCAAUCUAUCUGUGGCCUAUGAUCCAUAUCUUUAAACAAGAACUGGCACUAUAUACUUUACUUCUGCAGUUGAUCAUUCAAAAGGUUAACUACUAGUUUGGUCUGGACCUGGCAAUACUUAACGCUAAAUAUGUACUAGAUUCGUCGGGAGCUCUACUUGAAGGGUUAAAACAGGACAGGAAUAUAUCUUUGUUAGCGCAAAGGAAGAAAACUGGAAUAUUUCUUGUUCCGAGUCAACUCUUCGAUUCAUUUAUUCACUGGAUGUUAUAUGAUCUAGGAAUUGAAGAGCUACAGUACAUUCUCCCCUUGCGAUAUCCUCUUCUUUUAAAGAAAGAUUCUACUAAAGAUUCAACUCAACCUCGCAAGUACUACCGGGAUGAUCUCUACGCCCUAACUAACCCUGCUUUGCUUCUUUAUAAGAUGAAACUCGUGGUGCCGAUAAGGAUUGAUGCAAUCGGUAACUCUGCUUCAUUCUUCUCUGUAAACUAAUACAUAAGUAGUUAACACCUCUGUAAGUAAGCAUUCGAUUCGGCUUCGGCUGAUGAUCCUUUUUAUGCUCCUGCUUAUGGUUAUCUACCACUUGCAUCUUUCUCUUUUCUCGGAGACUACACUUCUUACUGGAACUAUGUAUUAGUAAGUAUUCGCUAGAUCUAUCCUAGGGUUUCUUAGUUAUUAAAGGAAUGCGCGUAGAGGCGAGGUGGGCAAAGAAAUCCAAUAAGUUUCACAAGGCUAAGCUGCGGUCGACCACUACUCGGUAAAGCCUUUCACUCCUGGCAAGCUACGUAUACAAAGGUGAAAUUCUGUCCCUGCCCCAGUUAAUCUCAUCUAUAGGUCUAUAAGCUUGGUUGCUCCUGACUUUAAGAAUUAACGACCCUGUUUUUUAGUUAUGACCGGCCAGUCACUACGUAAAGAGAUAGAGAUGCUGCUCCUGCUCCGUCAAAGUAAAGAGAUAGAGAUGCUGCUCCUGCUCCACCAGAUUGAGAGGUUGUCAACUAAAGUUUAGUUAGCUGAGAAAGGAGACUGAUAGCAGAUAGGAUCGGGUAGCUUAGAGAGAAGACAGACUCCGUUUAUAUCCUCUUACAUCUUUAACCCUGCAUUAAGAGGCGAGGCAGAAGCAAUUGUAAACUCCUUAUACAACAAAGUAAGGAGCCCUGCCCCAUUCAGUGGAAAAGUGUUGUUUCGGGUGUCAGGAAAGCAGUCCGCCUCUAUCAGUUCGAAGAAAGUCUCUAGUUGUUUGUCCCCUUGGCGGGGGGCGAGUAAACGUUCUUCUAUAAUAAGAGUGGAAAACGGAAGAAUCAAACCAGGGCAAGCGACUACUAAAAAGGCAAAUAAGGUCAAUUGCUGACUUUUGAACUCCAAUACCGGAUUGAGAAGUCCUCUCCUUGCGCUAACAAACUAAGAUACAGAUCAAACUAGGGGCCAAUCAGACAAGCAGCUAAUAAAGAAAGGGGAGAUACCAUUGAAUCUAAUAGCAGAGAGGAGCCGAUACUUCUUUCAACAAGCCCUGCAGCUGGCAACUAUUAAAAGAAAUGAGGCUCAGUUGCUUGGCCCGGAGUUCUAAUUGAGCCCUGCUGUCUCUGCUUCACCUAUUCCCGCUGGCAAUUAUAGUAGAAGACCAUUAGUGGGGAUAUCCAGAGUAGAAGACCACUUCAUUGAAUGAAUACUAUCNNNNNNNNNNNNNNNNNNNNNNNNNNNNNNNNNNNNNNNNNNNNNNNNNNNNNNNNNNNNNNNNNNNNNNNNNNNNNNNNNNNNNGAGCUGGAGACUUCACUGCUGGAGCACCCGGCUUCUUCUCUUGAAACUUUCCACUUAUGAUUCUGUUGUCGAUGUAGACUUUCUUCGCCCAGCAAGAUGUUAGGAAGAAAUGCACUCAGUAGUAACAGUAGGAUAAAAGAGGUAUACCGAAUGAAGUGAAUAGGCUAGAGGCUCGGGUAGGGAGAAGAUAGUCAUAAAUAAGAGAGGUGAGCAAGGGAACCAGUUGCAUCAACCCAAGGAAUGGAUUCUCGAGCACCUGUUAUAGAAUGAAGUAAUCUUACACCUCUUACAGCAGAUGUGGUUAGUGACUUAGUUCCAAGAGCCAGAGAAGAGGAGACCCUAGAUCGACUCCGAUAAGAAUAUAGAAAGAGAAGAGGGAUAGAUCGACUCCAAUAAGAAUAUAGAAAGAGAAGAGGGUCUAGCGCAUAUAGAAUAUCUGAAUUCUUCUGAAGCACUAACGGAGUGAAAAGAGCCAGAGGGAUGGAAGCCAGCUGCUUGCUUGUGUUGAGAUGAGCAAGAGCAGAGGUGUUACCAACCGACAAGAGCAACUCCCUUAAGUAGACAAAAGCAAGAGCCUAUCUUCUACUCUUAAAGCUAGAUCAUAAGCAGUUGACAGAUAAUAAACAGAUUCCUAUGAUUUCCAGUUGAUUGGCGAGUUCAAUCCGAGUUUGUUGACGUUGAAAUGCCCUAGAUCAGACAUAUCCCUACUCAUACCAGCCCUAGGGUUAGCAUACCGUUUUCUUACUUGAUGAUUUGAUUAUGCCUUUCCUGGACCCACAUCUUAGUUUAGAGAAAAGUCCUAUGCCCUAUGCCUUAUGCCGAGUCCUAUUAAUGAUACUAGUAAUUCUUUAUUCUGAGUUCGGAUUCUUACUUAUUUAGUUUGAUUCCCUUGAUUGCGCUUAUGGCUCUUGCUUUCCCUAUAAAGAUGCUUUCCCAAGAAAUAUGCUUUCCUAAUAAAUAGAUUAGUCCAAAUGUCACUCUAACAUAACUGUAGGGGUUUGGAUAGCUAUUAGGAUACUCAAACUAUCAAUGCAGAAUAAAAGCUAGAGUCAAAGAAUUGAUAGCAAGCAAUAGGCAUAGGUAGAAUCAAAACCACUUAGUUGCAGAAGAAUCGAAGUGGAAACAAAGGCGCCUAUAAGGCUCUAACUACUGCUUCUAGGGCUAUACUUUACUUAGAAUCAAAACAGUGCCUACAAGGACUGAACCAAAUAGCAAUAAACUCCUCCGCGCUUUAACUCGCUGACGCCAAGCUCAUCAGCCGAAUACAACAGAGAGAAAAACAAAUACAUAAAUACCGAACUUCUCACUUAUUAAUAAAUAUACAUAUUCUAAUAGGAUAAUAAGAAGAAAGAUAAGAAUAAGGAAUGAAAAGAAUAAGCAAAAGAAAGGGACGAUAUGCUAUAGCGCGCAUAGAGAGAUAGAACCAAUCUCAUAAUAAUAAAAGAGUGCAAACAGUGCUUCCAAUACUAGUUCCUAUAACAAGGAAGUCACUGGCCGGGAGAAAAGAAUGGAACGAACCGGUGCUUCUCAGACCGGAGCUACUGCUAACAAGAGAACUGCUAAUACUUUGUAGAAUUAAGCUCAGACCUAUAAGAAUGAUAACACUACCUAUUAGAAUGGAACCGGGGCUUCUCAGACUGAAGUUGGGAGACCCUUUAAUGAAACUUGCAACUAUCAGAAUCGAGCUACUGACAAACAGGCUUACUUUGAUGGUUUUGAUUCCCGUAUCUAGGGGAGAGCUUGAACUCUUCCGCUACUAUAUGCGAGAUACUUUCACUUUACAUCUAGAUCCUUGCUUUGCUGUCUCUAGGCCUGGCACUGCUUACUCGCAUUCUUCCUUCCUACUUUCAUUAUUGAGGUUGCCCAUACCAUUCAUUUCUCUUAUGUUAUUAUCCAAAACUCAAAUCUGUAUUUCACUAUCAGGUUUCCUGUCUUCCAUUCUUGUCGAGGGUAACAAGGUAGACUGCCCCUCGUUAGUGGUAUUCCCUUAGUAGUAUUCCCAUUCUCGUGUUUAAACCUAGAACACUCCCUAAGAAAUAACAAACUCACAAUACUUGCUUAAAGCCCGCCACUACUAACUAUAGGUCUGUUGCUCAUUAGCUUCAAACCACCACUUCCUCGAUCUCGUUCUCAUACUAAUUACCUCAAUACUUUCAUCCUAUAAUAGGGAAGAAAACUCAUAAGUAAGUAUAUCGGUCUACACUACAAAGACCUAUAAGACCAAUAAGAAGGAGGUGAACCACUGCUUCCUAGUAAGCUCUUCCUUUAUCAUAGCCCACCCUACCGGAUCUAAAAUAUCUGUGAACUUUUUAGACUGUCUGUCCUUGAUUGAAACCUAUAACUACUUACUUCGAACCUCGCCCCUAGGCUUGACUUUCCUUUUAUUGGAUUAGAGGCUCACUUUAUCCGCUUUAAACCUAGCGCUACCGCCUACUAGUCUACCUCUCCUUCCUCUUAUUCUUAUUUCAAUGGGGGAUUCUCUCUAUUGAUGAGAUAUAGCGUAUACGGGAGAGAAUCAAACAAGUAAGGCAAUUACGGGAAUGAAAUCACUGCUAACAAGAUAGGAGCAAGCAAUAGGGAAUUACACCGCUGACUAAAAGACUGCUUUUCCUACCACUAAGGCUGCCAGCUAUUACUAUGAUAAAAGCCCUACAGCUAAUAAGGGGCGAGCACGGAAUACAGACUGACUCAUAGAAUACCGAGUUAAUCUCAAUACUACCGAUAAAACUUACUCAACUAACUGGGAAAUAAACUACCUACCUUGAAGCUAUACUGAUUCAUUGACUUCUGUUUCGACUAAAACUCCCUUUUCUUAGUAUAUGCUUGGCGAAGUCGUUUAUCAUCUUUGUUUCUCAAUUCCUUAAGUUUGAAGUCAACUCGAUUCUUUAGUUCACUACCGGUAUUCAACUCUAUCACAAGGAGCUAGAGCACCAACCCGAUACUUUAUAUCUUUAGGUUGAUACCUUCCCUUCCUUAGUAGCGGCGGUGAACUUGUCUGCUUGCCUGCUCUAAUUACUAGAAUCAAACUACAGGAAUUACAAUAAUCAAACAAAUAGCAAAUAUCAUAUGAAAACACACAUAUCAGUAUAAUCAAUAUCAAUAAACAGAAUAAGAAAUAUACGUCAAAAGAAUCCCCCUUGGUACGAUUGAAAAGAAUAGCGCAAGUCAUACUCCAACUAACAAAUAUGGCCCGUACCCAACAAGCAAUCAGGCUUUAUCCACCUUGGAAAGCGACCUUUGAACUCAAUCUGGAUUCUGCUUGUCGGACUUGUUCUGUGUCUUUACAUCAUUUUCUACUCAACGAGCAUUAACCAUAAGUGGCAAACGAGAAUGGACUGAUUGAGUAGUGGUCGACCUCUGGAACAACAUUCUCACACGUCACUGAUUGUUCCGCUCUAGCACCAAGCAACGGAGCAAGAAAUAAGAGGUAAAUAAGCCAGGGUAUAAAGUCAAAGUGGCCUUAGCCAGCUCCAGACUCGUUUGUGAGUUCCAGACAAGCCGUUACGCAUUCAUUAGUUUACCUUACAGGAUUUUAGCGUUGAGUAAGCUUUGUUUACUUACUUAUUGAAUGAAAGUCAGCGGGUUAGAAAGGACACUAGAAAUCUGGGUAUAAAGCUGGUUCCGGAAAUCUCUCUAGGUAGAAAGCCCGGAGUAGUGGUAGGUUCAGGAAAGAAUAAGGGCCAAGCAUACAACUCACUACUUAGGAAUGGGAUUUUCAGACAAUAACCCAUGUGUUCAGCAAGUAGUCAAAGGUAAGGUAUAGUUCGGUGCUCUAGUUUCAUCCCGCCGAGCAACCACAUAUUAGCUAAGAAUGGAGUGGAAGGGUUUCCGUUUUCCAGUUUUCAUUUCUGAAUGGAGUUUCCGGUAUGUUAAAUAAGAAUACCAGAAUAGAGCUUUCAACCGACAAAGUCUGAAUUUCAACCUCAACAUGAAAGCUAGCCAGAGUCGAGAUAGGUUCGGGAAGCAAUUCCAGUUAUUACCGAGUCUUGCUUUCGGCGUCAGUAGAAAUAAUAGAAUAGCAGCUCUGCAGGGCGCUGAAGACAUAAGGCCACUACUAGGAAAGCAUACAAAGGGAAAGCAAGCCAAUAAAGCUUAGACAAUACAAGCGCUGCCACUGAAACGUAACUCUCUGAAUCGAUUGCUGCUAAUGGACUUUAUACAACACCACCUAGGUUAGCUUACUCUUUCAUUGUUUCUUCUCGAGUAGCAAAGACAUCUUACUUGAGAACAGAACAAGCUAGGGCUUCUUGACUUCAUAACUUCAUACGUAAAGCAAACAUGCCACAAACUCCACCUUUUCGCUUUGAGCGUGAAGGCAGGCCAAUCAGAUAAGACCUUUUGCUAACUCGGGUAAACUCAAAUGAUAGGGAAUCACUUAAACGUAUUCCAAAAUAGAUUCUUCCCGAACUCAAUCCACUGUUGGCGACGAGUAAGCUGCUAUAAGGUAUGGAUAAACAAGGUAAGGGUCAUAUUACAACCUAUAUUACUAUUCUGAUUUCCUUACUCUUACUACUUCGCUUGCAGUUGCCUUUCGCCUUCCUUUCUUCUUAAAGGAGCUGUUUCCUCUCUCGCAGACUAAGCUCGAGUUCCGCUCUGCUCUUGACUUCGCCUUUGCUCUGCUCUAAAACAUAUGAUUGCUGUAUAUACCUAACAAAACUGUGAAACUCCAUUUAUGGGCUCUAAUCAAGUUCUUGCAACAGAGCUAGUGGUAUAGAUACAGGUCUGAUUACUCCUUUAUAUACUAGCUAGGGCAAGAAAGAAAGAACCGAUAGUAAGACUAGUAAAGCAUCCAUUCUGAUUCAAAGUCAUUUCACUAAUAGGCUCAAAGUAUAGAACUUAUAUAAGGAGCUACUUCAAAGCAGCGCAGCUACGCAGUUUUUUCCCUACUCAAACACGCUCUAACCCUAUCGCUUUGUAAACUCCGCUCCCUAUCUUAACUAAGAGAGUCUAUUCGAACCCAAGGAUUCGCAGCAACGACACUUUCCUUUGUUUUAUAGGCGCGAGUCACUUACUUAGCUUUUUGCUAGAUUUGGUUAUUCAUAAAUUCUUUCAAAAAACACAAAGAAGAUCGAACUGCAUGCUUAUGCUUCCUUAUGUAUCUAGUUUUGCUAGGAAGUGAAAACAUACUUAUUUGGCUAAGAAGCGCCAUGAGUCAAAUCAUUAUGCAGAGUAGGGAAGUGUUUCCGCGAGGAAGAAAGCCGGAAUAGUGCGCGGAUCCUUCUUUCUGUCUAUAGUUGGAAGACAAGAGAGCAAGGGAAUCACUAGUUCCAUGGGUCACCCGAAUCCGAGUAUACCUAGCAAACAGCCAACAGAUCCUUCUACUUCGGUAACAGAGGCAAAAUGGUUAUGGAACGCAUAAAGCUUCUUUUUUCUUUUCAUGGCUUUUCUUUAUAACCCACUUUUUGUGCCUCCCGUCAUAAGACAGCCGGCCGAUACGAAAGAUUGACUUAGGGGCCAUAGCCUGUUUGAAUAGAAUCGGAAACUACACCGCUCUAUCGCUACACCCGUCUUUGCCCGCUACACCUGAUCAGUUUACUUACUUAAGGACUCUUACUUAGCUAACGUGCCCCUUUGUCAAACAGGAAACAAACUUCCUAUCUACUUCUGCCGGGUUGGUUGCUAGGUUUCCGAUCUACUUCUGCCGGGUUGGUUGCUAGGUGGCGGAGAUGGCAAUUCUUUGUUCGUGCAUGUGGUCUGACACAGCCCCGUGCCGGGGUAGGAGUCGUUUUCCAUGACUAUGACUCCUAAAUAACAGUCCAUCAUAAGACUAUUCCGGGACUACUUUCAACGAGAUCUAGUGGAAUUUAGGAUAGGGUCAGUAAACUCAUCAUUUCUAUACCCCCAGGGCCAAGCAACGUAGACAAAAUGGAGUAGUUGUGCGGCAGGCGUGAAACUGUGUCCGGGAGCUCACUUACCCUACUUUCUCCUAACUCGUCAAUACUUCCGCGCUGAGUCUUUCUCCAAAGUCCAUUUCUUUGAUUUCACUGAUGCCCUAUAACCAUAGGAAUUCAUUGAAUCUUUCUUGUCUUGUGCCGCUCCGUUUGCUUGUUCACUUGCUGGAAUUGAAACUAAGUAAGCGAUUUACCCCAAGAAGAAGUAAGCUUAUGUGUAACGAACGGCGAGGAAAACAUCAAUCUCAAUUUCAAUUCGACAGAUGUUCUAUAUAUGAGGAAUAGAGGAGCUCCUUGCUUAACUUAAUUGUCAGCUCCGUAAGUGCCUUUCAAGCAGGAAUCUAUCUUGCACCUAGUAAAACAGUCCAAAAUGAAUAUGAUUUUCUCUAAUGUAGUAGGAAUUGACCAGUGGGGCACUUAUUGAGUCUUUCGAGCUUCGAGCUCCCUUGCUUGUUGAAUGAUAUUUCACUUAUUUUAUAUCUCUUGCGCACAUACCCUAUAUGAAUGAGAGGAAUGUAACAGCUCUAAACUACAUCCGUUAGCACUUUCUUUGAUCAACGAGCUUAACAUCAACUGGGUAUUCAUGGCGGCAGGAGUGAGAACUGGGAGUACUGCUCCUGUUCUGGAAACAAGGAUACAGGUUCGGUGCUUGUGUGAAGCUAUGAGGGUAAUGUCCAUUUGAUAGUUCAUUAAGUACGGAGUUGUGCCUAGUAGGGGUUGGGUUCUCUACUCCAUGUGUUCAGCAAGUAGUCAAUUAUGUCUUGUGGUAAAGUCGACAGUUGUAGCUUGGCGUGUUUCAGUUUCCGAAUGAUUUGUCUUUGUUGACCACUCGAAAGAAGAAAUCAAAGGUUUACAAGGCGUAAGAAAGAUUCCCGCGUGAGUUGGGCACUUCAGCGCAAACAAGUGAAAGAGAUCUGUAUUUGUUGCUCUUAUAUUAUAGCCACUAACUUAAUAAUAUGGAGCAGAAAGAAUAAGGAGCUGUGGGAGGAAAGUCUACUUUAUAAUAACUAGGAAGCCGAAGAUGGAGCAAGUAAAGAAGCAGCCUCAGGAGCUGGGAUCGAGAUCAGAAUAAGGAGAAAGAUCUGCAUCAGAGGCAGUACGGUAGGGUUCACUCGCUAAUGAAAAAGAGCAAGCAGUAAGGUCACUUUCUUCUAUAUCAGGUGCUCUCGACAGUGAGAAUUUUAUGGAACAGACAAACAUACGAAAACAGGACUUGCGCAAGUUUCAAAUCAUUGAAUGGAUGCGCCCCGAUAAAACAAUAUUAAUAAUCUUGAUUCUUAUUCUCAUUAUUGCUCCGUUGCUCGUGGAUACUCUAUUUCAGGUAUAUACUCUAUUUCAGCGCUCUAAGUCGUCGGUUCAGUUCAGUGAAGGUGCAGGCGCUUAUUUACUUGUGUGAAACGAAGAAACUCUGUUAGCGCAAUAAUCAACGUGUUCUCUUGCUUGUUUAUUUGUUCCUAAUACUUUAUCUAAUUCUUUACGCUUAAGCUUAUUUGCUUUAAUAAGACCCCACCUAUGCUUCUCGCCCUGGAUCCUAUUGCUAAUGCAGAUCUUGUGUCUAGUCUAAGGCUUAAAACCAGACUUGCUCCUUACUCACAGCUUUGCUUAGACUGCUUCCCUUUCUUAUGAAUCAGCCUGAACUUUAAUGCUUGGACACUGUUUCCCUCUCUUUGGAAUCUGAUCCGGAUCCUAGCUUAUGAAACUGCUUAUACUGACUUACUUUCGCCAAACACCAGUCAUUGAACUUGCUUGCUAUGAGGAGUCUCUCAGAUUGCCCGAACUCCCAUACAAUAAGCAAUGCUCGAACUACUUCUUCUAGAGUCUACUUUCCAUCUUCAGAUCCGGACUCUGUUUGGGUGGGCCUCUGAUCUAUAUCUUUCUUUUUCUUCUUGACCAUACUCUAUAUGAUACUCAACGAGCUUGGGAAUUCAAUAAUUUCAUAAUGGUCAAUGUAACUGACCUUACUUUCUUUCUGCUUAACCGCUCUGUUACGUGGGCAGAGAGCUUCAUUGGGUGACACGGAUUUCUCUCCCGCUGUGCUGACUUUCGCCUCUUCUUAUCUAUCGUGGACAACAACACUGGAACCCGAAACUUUGGAUCUUAUCUUAGAGACUUGACAAGCACCGUUCCGGCAUAGAUAGUAAGGAACUCAAUUCAAAAGAGAAAGGUUCGGUGCUUUAGUGGUGGAGGCUCAUCUACCUUUUCAUAACUAUUGAUUGCCCCUAGAUUGAAGUUGAACUAGACAGUAGUGAGUGACUGAAAACUGGAAAGAUAGCUAAAGUCAACGCUGCUGUUUUCCAAUAAGGGCUUUCCCACUAAUAAACUACUCAAUUCAGUAUUUCUCUUAUUAGAAGAUAUAGGUUCCACAAGAACAGGAGCUGUACUGCAUGAAACAAGGGAUUCGGCUCGAACAGAAAGAUACUCUAAGCCAAUAACUAUAUCAUUGCUUAACCGACAACUAAGGGAAAGCCAAUCACGGAUCUUGCAACUUCAACCAGAAUUCCGGACUCUAAUUACUCUGCUAUUUAUUCCCUGGCUUCUGAACUUACUGAUGCGGACUGACUCUGUGGAUGUGGAUGCUAACUCUACAGAUGCUGACGUAACAAGUUUCAGUGCUAAGGCGAUCUUUAUUCCGAUCCGUAUUCUGUGCCUGUACUCUCUCAUUCCCAACAACCCGCGUAGCCAAUGGAUUCUUUACCAGAACUUUACCCGCUCAGCUCACUCCUAUACAGGUCCUGGUCCUGUACUUUAUAACCUACUGCUUUUGUACUUGACCUCUUCUCCCACAAACUAUCCUUGAACUACACUUUCCUCUUACUCUGAUCCUGAACAAGCAGUAAUUGAAACGGAGUAAGGUGAGCGCAUAUCCAGUCAAUACUGAAUUGAAACAAGCCCCUCUCUGACAUGAAUUGUCUGUGCGCCUCUCCUCUCUUGUGGACUUAGGGCAUCAAAACCAUGAAAACAGGUGCAUUAAUUAAAGGCACUAGACCAGAGUGCUGAGCUAGGUCCGCUAGUGCUAGAAUAAUAGCAUAUAUAAGAAGAUACCAGCCUAACCUAAGGGGAAUGCCACUCAUAAGUCAGAAUAUACCUCCCUCGCCUCUCCUCGACUUCUACUUAUGCUCUUUUGACUCAAACUAACUAUACUUGAUUGAAACAAGCCCAGCAUGAGACCCCGCUCCGUAGUCAACUACUACAGUUAGGGCUCUGGACUACUACUUAAAGGGGCAAGAAUGACAUUUGAAUAACAGACCUCUGAAAGGAGAAGAAACAGACUCAAUUUGGACUCCGGGCCAAGCUUAGUAGCUAUAGCACAGGUUUGAUUCCGAUACUGCUUAGUUCUAUUCUGACUCUGUGCCAAACUAUCCAUUAUAGGACUUACUUGUUCCAUUCUGCAAAUUACCAGUUUGAUUCUUUAACUACUUAGUUGCAUCCCCUUACUUGCUGGUUCAAUUCUGACUUGCUUCGGUAUCAAAGCCAGGCUCCUAGUUUGUAGUUCAAUUAUAAGUAAUCCCCAGUAGUUUAGAGUUGAUAGUUGCAUUCUUAGUCGAGCUAGUAGAGUCUCCUUUUUCACUCACUACUACUGUUGCUCACCUGUGUUCAAGAAUAAGGGACCGGUCUUCUCCCUUAGUUACAGGAUGAUGACUCUAUGAGCUAGUAUAGUUAUCGGGCCAAGUAACGGAUAGACAAGUAGGCAAGUCGAACAGGGAUUGAUUAACGAAAUAGGAUCGCACAGACAUUGAUUGAAGUCUAUAAGCUUGCCUGACCUCGACUCAGGCUCCGUACCCAUACUAGCUACCCUUGCUUGCAUUCUGUGAUUGACCGGUUUGGUUCUGUAACUCACUAGCUACACUCUCGUACAUACUGGUUCAAGCCAACAAGACACUACUAAUGACCAAGCCUCGUUAGACGCGGUAGAGUUCAUUUCUUCCUAACUUACCCUCUUGCUCUGUAACUCAGGUAGGGAAAUCUACUUUCCAUUAUUGAAAGCUUUUGCAUCUCUUAUAACAGAACAGAAUGAGGCUCGGCUCCUAUUAACUUCUUGAAACAAGCUGCGUGUCUGCUAACUCUGGCUAAUUGUUCUCCGGCUUCUUUUGAACUCAUAUUCUAAAGGAAAGAAAGAAAGAACUCACUUGAAUUCAAUACAGGCACCAGGCAAAGCUACUACUUCAUAAUUUCAUUGAAAAGAAAGUAGGCCAGGAGCUCCAAGUAGGCUAGUUCCAGUUCAUAAGUCAGAAUUGCACUCAUAAGUCAAACCUAAGAGAAAGAGGAAUCAGUGUCCGAACCUGUACUUCCCGCUUCUUAUACCAUAUAAUUAGUAUAAGUCAGAUCCUACACUCCCCGCUUCGUCACCAAGAACAGGCCAUUCUUCUCUAGUAAACUAAUACAGAUGACACUCGGGAUUACAACUCCAACAGGCAAUUGAGUGUCCAACAAAGCCCUAAAUAAUAAGUUCCACUGAUUGACACCUCGCUGCAACUAGAAUGCAAGGAGGAGGAGCACCCCCAAGAUAUUUCUUUGCAAGGCAAGGAGAAAAGUCGUUCUGUUAUCUUAAGUAAUAAUACCAGAGCCAAGUUGCCAGAGCUAUAGGACAGAGAAAAGAUCUUCAUUCACGAAACCCCGGAAAAAGCAUAGCAAACAGUUCCCUUGACACUCAUCUUAUCUACCUAGUUCUCCUCUCCCGCCUUUAAGAAUAGAGGCCCAGCAACGUAGCCGCAACUCUAGUAUUUGAUUUGAAGCGAGGUCUACUUCUGUCUCGUCUUCCAGUCUUGUUCCAGAAGCAUAAGCAUCAGAUCUUAUCUAAAACUCUCCGGAAUACAGAAUUCAACUUCAAGUAAAGAAACUGACACCAGUAGUAGAGUGAGUUGGGGAAAUCAUCUAGUAGUUUCAUCCCGGUCUGAAGCAGUUACGUAUCAGUGCAAGCCAGAGUUUGGGUCGCCAUCCCUUGUCGAAUCUGUUAUUCUUAAUAAUAAUAUAAGUUUGUAGGUAGGAGCCAGAGGUCUACGGAUAAUAAUGAUACCUAUGUGGCCUCUGGAAAUGCCCCUAUAGUGCUUUUGAGUCUAGAAAGAUGGCCCUCCCGCUCGUCGUCAACAAAGAAACAGAAAACUCAUUCACAAAGAUGCUAGCACCCAACAUAUGAAGUAGACCUAGACCUCGCAACAAAGGCUUCUACUUACUGAUUCUAUUCUGAUAUUGACUACUGACUACGAGUAACUGACUCCCUUCUUCUCUAGUAACUAACUUAGGGCUUACUCAACACUCUAGCCUCUCCUUAAGACUUUACUGCUUCCCUUGGAAACCCUUAACCUAUAAUAAGCCCCGAGCUCCACUCCGUUAGUGCUUCCUUGCCAUCUGCCCCGACCUCUCUAGCCCGAACUAAACUUUCAAAACCGAUUGCAGCUGACCUGACACUUUAUACUCAACGAGCUUCUUUAGCACUGCUUCUAUUCCCGAAUGAUAUAUUAGGCCUUCUCUAGCUCCUGCGGAUUCUUUUUCUUCCCUUAAGCGCGUAGCUCCGUAGGCAUGAGAUUCGAUAUUGGAUUCGGCUUCUUUUCUUGAUACUCUACUUGCGCCUCUCUCUCUCUAUAUUCCACUCCUUUAUCUCAUUCUUAGAUACUGACACCAUAAGACUUGUUGGGGUAGUAUUUGUAAGAGGCUCGCACAUCUAGUAAUAGACUCAUAUUUGUAGUGGAAUGAGUUAAAGCAUCAAGUAGAAGACCUAAGCUGACAAACGGAAGAACUAAACCCUGUAGUAAGAGCCUGAAUACCUCCUCGAACAUUGCAUACUUAUUGCCUUGCCUUGUAGUCUUCCACUCAUUGAUUUAGUGCUUCCGCUCCUUACCCCAAAUCUUGAUACCUAACGAUAUAAGUCUCACUUUCCUUACUCCUACUUUCUGGUUUUUAGUAUUCCUUUCCUUGCUUUUAGUCUUACAACCUAUAACUUCAUUCUGACUAUCUUUGCUUUUAGUCUUAGAUGGCUAAGCUAGGCUUAGAGUUGUUGUAAGUAGUAGUCAGGAUUGCACUAAUAAGUCAAAAACUAUGCCUCGAAAUACAGAAUGAAGGGGGGAAGGGCGUAGGUUGGAGUCUAGGUGAGAGUUGAAGUAGCACUCAUUAGUAUAAGAAUGAAGAAGCUCCCCCGCCUGCCAGCGCUCUAAAGUAGUAAAUACAGAAUUCAACAAAGUCGUAAAAGAGUGCGUAGUGAAAAGAACGGAUCAGAACAGGACUCAGUAGUAUCGGAAUGACUAGCAAGUGGGUAAGUAGGUAAGUUCGAAUUAAAGAAAGAAGUCGGAAUGAAACUCUAAAGUAGGCGCACGGGCAAGUCAGAAUGAAAGUAAUAAGUAAUGGAAUAUAAGUAAAUGGAUAAAGAGUUAGACUAGUACUAGUCAGAAUGUAAGGAAGGAGUACCAGACUGAUGAGUUUGAACCCUAUUUGGAGUUUUCUUCUAUUAUGGGGCCGCCAGUGAGAUUAUCUAUUGCUAUUUUCGUUCUUGCCUGGAGUAUCGAUCCUUAUUAGUAGUGAUGUAAGUUUGGAAGCGAGCAAAGUCAGACUAAUAGAAAGGAAUGCUUGUUUAAAAGAAUGAAAUAGAAUACUGAUUGAUAUAGGGAUGGGCGCCUUAAAGGCAUUAGUUGUAGAAUGAGAUAAAGCAAAAGGAGGUUUAGGUUGAAAAGCAGUAAAGCAGUAAAGCAGGACUCAAAGCAAGCAGAGGUAGACUCGAGCUAGUAAGUAAGGAUCCAAACCCAUAGUCAAAGAAUCCAAGUCAGCAGUAAAAGAAUCCAAAUAAGGAGUUGUGGAAUAAAAUACUGGAAAGGCAGGCUUAAACAGCAGCUACAGUAUUAGAAGCGAUAGCUCCAUUCUUACUAGCAGAGGAAUCAGACUCGGAUGUAACGUACCCAACUUUCAUCUAAUAAAGGACAUAUAGGUCAGAGGUGGAAGAGAAGCUAGAGAAGUCUCUGUUUAGGAAGCAAGAUCCGAUCCGGGCUGGGGUUGGUUUAUUUACUUACUUAUGUGCUAGGCGAGAUAGAUUCCAAUUCCGUAGUUGUUGACAAGGCGCUUGAAAGGAAAGAAUCAAUUGGGUAAGCCUCAAACAGGACUUGGCGGACACAGGACUUGAGUAGAGAGAUCAGUUUCUAAGGACUAAGUGAGCUAACGGGAGCAAGAUCGGUCUACUUUGAAAUGCAUUAUUUAUCAUCGCCAAGAUGUUUUUCGAAGGUUUGUUUGAUUGACCAUUCAACUAAGAAACGGCCCUUAUAAUUAAUUGAUUCCUAACAUAUUUCUGGUUCCUUCCCUGAACUAAUUGAACAAGUUUACUUACCUCUCCUCUUGACACUAGCUGCCAGAAGAUCAACUUAUUUCCGUAUCUAUCCUGGGAAAGAAAAUGAGACAUUAAACAAAUUGAAGCAUAUUUAUAGCCCCUUCAUCGCCGAUGUCCCUGGACUCCACGUACUCCUGUAAACGCCGCUGGUUCACUCUAUGGCGAUUUAGACAAGAUCGCACUUGAGACAUCCCGGAGAUCAAAGAAUUCGGCUAGGUUACCGUGGCUAGCAAAGUUCAAUGACGGAAGGAUCGGUUCAUCAUCGGGACUAGCAGCAACACCUGCGUUCAAUUCCUCGUAAAGCGGGCAACCCUAAACAUUGCCAAACCAAAAGACGUGGUGGCGCUUUGGAUUCGAGUUUUCCCUCUCUGGAAUCUUAUGAGUAUGGGUUUUGCUAGUGUAGUAACUCCUUAAAUGUGGGCGAGGAACUCUCUUCUCGAGUCGUAAGCCACUUAUUCAUGUGGUAGUGUUACCCAAGGUGUUCUUUAAGGGCUCAUAAGAGUUUUCCUCGUCACGUCGUUCAUUAACGGCUAAGGCCUGGUAACAUGAAUGAACCUGGUAACAUGAAUGAACCCGGCGGCUGGUUAUGGAGGGGCAGCGCUUUCCAGUCGACGGAUACUGAUACAGAAAAGCGAUAUAACUCAAGAUCGGCAAUAGGCGACUCAUAGUUUGUUAAGUGACAGUUCAAAGUAAGGAUAGAAAGGUAAAAAACACAUAUGAAAGGAACGAGAGCAAGAGAGAAAUAGGCCAGCUCAUGUAGACCCGGACCAUGCAACGAGCAACUACUCUUACUAAUGUACCAAAGAAGAUCGUGGAGGAAACAAAGACAUGAGGAGCAUGAUACAAAUGGGACAUAGGAGGAAUCGAAGUGGUUUCGAAUCCAAGGUACUUACUUCACUUGUUAUGGUUCUCCUGAGGUUAAAGGAAGGGCUUAGUUCUGCGGGAUAGUUUCAGAGCAGCAAAUCUCUCUUACUAACUAGCUCCCUAAUCUAGCCCAGUUACCCUUACUAAUAGGUAUUUUGCCUAUAAUGAUGUCCUAUCCACCCUGUAGUUUUCUAUAUUCCAUUUGUCUUGCUUGUGUCUAAGUGUCUCCAAGUGAAGGAGAGGCCUAUAUAAGAAGUUGAGGCAAGGUCAGCAGUGUAUUUCUUUAGUUCUAUACCAAGUGUCAAAUCUUUUCCUGCACAAUCUGGAUCUUCUAGACUCGAAAGAAAGCAAUAAAGUUCUAGUUGAUGCGCUUGAAAGAUCUGUAUUUGUGUCCUCUGCGCAACAAGACUCAGUAUCAGUCAGCUACGAAAUUCCUAUCUCCGAAUGCUUGUGAAAGACAUUCUUCUUGAGGAGGCUUGCUCACUCGUCCGUUCUAACCCAUUGUGGAUUCACACUUAGCAAUGUAACCCUAUAACCCGAAAAAGCAGAAUGAGGCCUUUCUUACACACGCUUCAUUGAUUACACGGACUCAGGAACUUAAAGAGGCUUGAAAUAAGAGGCAACACAAAGUCAAGCAGAAAUCAUUACUGCAACUCAGAGAACUCUAGCAGAAACUUCCACCGGCGGGAAUGCUUAACGCGGGGAUCCAAAUAAAGCUGCCAAUGAUUUGGCUCAGAUGGCAUCAGGAUACAGAUUUGCUGUUUGCCUCUAUGAUCAGAUCUGAAGCGGAAAUGCCAUUAACAUUAAUAGAAUUGCGGGUAGGCCAAAAAAAACACACCGGUUAUUCUCUCAGCAGUUGGAAGAUUCAGAGGGGCUGGGCUGAGAAUGUCCAACCUGUUUAUUGCGCCUAUUCUUCUAUCCCAAUAGUUUGACAAGGCAAAAAGGCAAGCUGGAAAGUCAGAAGGCGUCGAGCCUAUUCUUGCAACAGACGUGGCAUAAUUGCUAAAGAAAUUCCUUCCAUACCUCUAAAAACGAAGUCUCCUCGUGGUCAUGGAAAGCCCCUUUGUCUUUGAUUUGGAGUUGCGAAUAGAUUACCCUAAAGCGAUCGCUAAGGGAUGUGGUUAGCUAGCUAGUUCCCCCACUACUUUAUUGAGUCUCAUUCUUUUCCUAAGUAACUUAGUGCAAUAAUUCCUAGUAAGAGCAAGGAAAAGCUAAUCUUUACUUACUAAAAAGCCUACUAAUUGAAAGAAUGUAGGAUCACUAGGAAAUUACCUUUCCAUUCUAUACUCAACACACCUUCAUUCUUCUUAUCUUGUUACUACUCCUUCACUAGCUUAUUGACCGGCUGAUUAUAUUUCUGCUUUUCCUAUUCCUACUGCUGAUUCUCUGGAAACGGAGUCUGGGCCUGAUCUUGUUCCAGCUUCAGAACAGAUAGAGUCACCUCGAACAGAACCUUUCUACCAUGGGCUUCACCUUGAUACUCUUCCUUUAUACUCCUCCGCCUAAUCACUACUUGGGAUGGGACUGUCAAUCCUUUGAGUUCGAGUCAUCUCGGCUUGGCUUCUUAAUACGAUUCAAGUCCACUUUCUCUUCCACCCUUCGCUUAGUCUUGGGCGCUGGCCAUAAGAAUACUUUGUGCGAUGAAGAAGGACUAAAAGAGAGACCUGAGAGUUAGUCAUACAUCGAUUCUUUCACGCCUUACUGAAAUUCCAUAGGACUUACAUAAGUAGAGCAGUACAUUAAUGAAUUCAUGAAAACCUCGAAAAACCAAUGGUAGAGGCAGAAGAACAACCAACGCCCGGCAGAAGAACAAACGGAACCUGCGGGCGGAUCGGAUCUUGCAACGGUAUCAAGUCAGCGGGAAGGAAAUAAGACAGACAGGAAUCGAUAAUAAGCUCUUUUCUAAACAGCUGGGGUGGUGUCUCCAGGAAAGGGAAAUUCAUGAGUUGUGUGUUGGGGAAGGACAUUCCUAUCUUAUUUAGAAUAUAUCAGUAAUAGAGAAAUUAAGCGCAUCAGUCAAAUGAACUGUUCUGUUUACGAGAUCUCAAUUCCUAGAUUCAAUUAAUUGCCCUCGAAAGAUUCCAUUCCUGUAGUUGCUGCAAGAGAUUCCCAAAAACAGGACUUGCUCAUGGCAACAUACUAACUAACAAGUCGUGGCUUGGCUCUUCUCUGUAUAUAGGAUCAAACAAGAACAGGAAAUUGAAGAGAGAGAAUAGGGCGGCGCUCUCCACUACAAAUACAGAAUGAAACAGUAAAUAGAGAAUUAGUGCGGAGGGUGCUCCCUGAAGAAAAGACGGAAGAAAAGAAUAGGGCCAAUACACUACUAAUGUUACGCGGCAGGGAGUUCUCGGAAAAGUUGAGGAUCCAUAAGGUCACUCAGGAGGGAAACCAGAGUCGCUGUCAAAAAUCCCGGUAAAACGCAAAAGUUGAUGACUUGAGGACCUCGUUAGGAGGGAAACCAUGAUUGCUACCAAAAAACACGGGGUUUCUUAAAAUAAUCUGUCUUUUGGACCUCGCUAGUAAGGAAAAUCAGGGUGCUAUGUUUUUUCCCGGGAAAACGCAAAGAUCAAGAUUUCCAAAACUCGUAUACUCGGGAUUAAACUCAUUCAAGUCCACCAGGCAAGCAUCUACUAAGUCUUUUGUUAGAGGCUUUGAAGCAGGGUUGCUAGUAGUAGGCUUGCUAGUAGUAGGGUGGAUUCUGUCGGUUGAUACCUUCUCCUGUGCCUGUUCGAGUUAGAGUGGAAGUGAGCCUACCUUUAAGGAUUGAUUGCUAGUAUCGGUUUUUAUUAGGGUUAGGGUUUCAAAUGAGCUAGAACUAGAAUACCUUAGGUAGGAAGGAACUGGCACCGAGAAAACCCUCUAUGGCUGGGUAAGAGACGGAGUUAACCUUUCAUAGUCAAAGGGCAAGCUAACCUUAGCAAGAACGGGAAGCUGUGUUCGGGAGCAAGAGUGAAAGCAAGCAGGGUGCAGUUCCGGGAAGAAGAAACAUUUUGUUCAAAGGAGUCAUCUGCCUCAAUUUGUAAAGCUGGGGUUUAUGGAAACAGGGCUUAUUAAGGCAAUAAUAUCAGUGUUGGACUCGGGUCUCUGUUAGUUAGCCCUAGCAUAGAAGGAAGCAAGUGAAAAGGCCAACAAGCAACAUAGUCAGUUGCGCGGUAGCGAGUUAACCUCCUUAGGGACAUUCUUUGACUCAAUAGCUCCAUUCUCAGUUGAUAGCACUGGUUCUGGUAGUUACUAUAUGAAGACUGGUUGGUAGUUAGUUGCAUUCUGAUCUAGUCUGAUAGGGUUCAAUUCUGUAACUCCUACUUUCCUACUAGUGAGUGUCAUUCUGAUUAUUAGCGGUUUCAUAUUAUAGGUGUGUGUUAUCGACCCCAACGCAACUCCUCUCUCCGUUACUUAUAGCUUUAUGACCGAAAUCAGUCACAGCUAAAAUGAAGCUCUUCGUUCUCAAGUAAGGUUAUGACCAAUCUUCUGCAUCUGUUAUGACCAAUCUUCUGCAUCUAGGCUAGUUUCACUCACUUACCCCUAUUUACAGCAAUUCCGCAUCUAUACCUCUGGCAACCUUACCUCUUAUUCUUAUCUUACUUACAGCAAUUCUUAUUUCUGAACUUCAAGUCCUUUGUUUGCCCCAGCGAAAUGGGAUUCCUCCCUUUGUACUAGAGCAAGAAACCCUGAGCGAGGUCUCGAUUCUCAGCCGGGUAAUGGGUACUUUAAAUACUGUAUUGGAGCCAAGCCAGAGAGGGGCAAAUACAGAUGUUGGAUCGGGUCGGGAGCUACAGAAUGAAAAGCAUGAGCAGGCUUAGAAGCACCAGUGAAAGUAUGAGUCCCGAGGUGUAGUCUCUUAGUACAAUAGUGGAUUCCUGCUAUCAGUGGUUCGACUCUUUACAGUAGUACCUAUUCUUAUAGUUUGUAGUGGUAGGCCAAUACACUGGGCAAUAAGGCUGGUCUGGUUCCAUUCUACCUCUAAUAAGUAGUGGUUUGAUUCUCUAUUUUAAGUGAAAGUCUUAGCUGUAGACAAAGGCCGAGUUCCCGUCCCGGACCAACACUUAGAAGUUGCAGUUUGUUUCCUAUGCCCCCACAUAUCGAUUCUUUGACUUGGCAGUUUGAUUCCCAGUUUCUAGCUCAAGCCUUGUUGUCGGUGGGAGCAAGUCUGACUUCUUAGUUAAAGCAUUGUAAGCAAGUAGUCCAAGCCUAGGGUUCCGUGUUUUUAUUCCUUAGGCGCCAUUCUGAUUUAUGGUAUUGAAAGUCUCGGUUUUGCUAGUGCUCUGUAGUUAACAGUAUAGUUUGACUCUUACUUUGGAGUUGAUAUUGCUAUUAUAACCUAUGUGUGUAGCAUAGAAAUCUAGUAGACUUAUAGAGUCAAUAAAUUCCCUCAAUUACGCUAAGGCAAACCACUAUUAAAUAGAAUCUAAAUUAACAUAUCAUAUGACAAUUGAAUACUCACAUUUGAGAAUGAAAAGCUGUAAAGGUAGCUUCGAUCAGUAGGGUUAUUACAUAACAGGAUUAGGAGUAGAGUCGUCGGAUUCUUAUGUAGUAGAGGCAAGUCCUGAGUUCCGAAUUGAGUGCUUUUUCAUAGUAGGAGUAGUCGCGUUCUUGUUAACGGUAAUUCACUUCCUUAUUAGAAGGUCAAAUAAAAGGAUGAGCUAGUUCAACUCUGACUUGUAAAGAUGGUGUUCCAUCCUAUUCUAUUAGCGCAGCAGUCGAUUCUUAUGACUUGUAGUUGGAGAGCGAAACCAAGGAGAGGUGUCGUUAGGGUUGACAUUGGUAGCACUCUUUCUAUUAGUAGUUCGAUUUGGUAGUAGGUUUGAUUCCCGCUAUUGGUCUUAUCAGCCUUGUAAGCACGAGACCAGUAUCCUCAAUUAUGUGUUUCACUCUUUCCAGUAGUAGGCGCACCUUGUUUGUAUUAGUAUAAUAAGUCAAUAGCUGGCAAUGAGUAAUGAAAGAAAGAGGUCAGAUAGAGGAAAUAGUCAAUAGAGAAUGAAAGGCAGGCUCACAAUUUCACUAUAUACCUUACUUAAAUACCUUACUUAAGUCAAAAGUCUAAGUCACAGUGGCAGAGGAAUACAAGAUUUGGAUGCCGGGUAGUCAGAAUAGCAGUUAGAUGCCUAUACUAGGUUUGGAUGCUCAGAAUAACGGGUAUAGUUCCGGAAGGUAAGUUUAGAGAGGGUAGAUCAGGGUUAAGAGUCAAAGUAAGUCAGUGAAGUCGUACAAAACCAAUUGUUAAUAUAAUGAUAAUUCAUUCGAACAAUAAGAAUAAGAGUUUACUCAACAAUAAGAAAUAAGAGGUGUAGUUCGGGGAAGAGUGGAAUCUGUCUUUGUUGCGCUAACAGGAAGGGAAUAGAGUGAAUCCGGGGAGUUUACGAAUGAAGCAAGUAAGAAAUGAGCCAGCAGCUUGUUGAAAUAAGAAUAGUGAGAAGGCCAUAAUACAUAGGCUAGCGAGGUGAGUCUAAGUCUUAGAAGCAGGCCCUAAUACAUAAUUGGUAGCGCAUUCCUUUCAUUACCAUUCCUUUCAUUACUAAGAAACCUUAGGGAUAGAUCUACUUAAACUUACAAUAGAGGCCUACCCUUGAGGAAUCACCGGGCCAGCUCUCUUGCGGUUAAGUCAGAUUCAAAAGUAUACUUAUUUGCGUCUAGUAAAGUAGCUAUGGUUAGUUACCGGUAUCCAUCAUACCUGGCUAAUGGCAUAAAAGCCUUUACCUGCUCCUACUUAUGAUCCAGCUUAUGAUACUGCUCCUUUCCUUUCCUAAGGUAUGAUCUAGACCCGAUACAGCACAGCAGAUGAUCUUUCAACAACAAACUUCACUGCCGCGUCCCCUUAUAUAUCAGUUCAUAGGACUUGCUCAAAGGUAUUAAAUAAAGGAGUCCUGAGUUUUUGCUUGGUUGCUCUUAAUUCUUCCAUUCUCCAUUCUUAUUGUCUGCCGAUUACUGCUGAGUUCAUUUCUUCCUAACAUCUUGCUGGCCUAAACUAUCAUAUCUUCACCUCUUCUUCUUGAAUUACCUGAAUUACCAAGCUAGAUCUAUACAAGAUACUACUUCGAGAGAAGAAAGGCCUGUUCGAGCGGAAGCUGGGUCAGAUGGAAUUAGGUCUAGAAAGAAGUCUGAUUAUACACCUAUAGCAGAUCUCGGGGGUUUACAAUUCAGAAAGAGUCUUGUUCCUGUUCAAGAAUCUGCUUGUUAAUUGGCAGUUCCGGCGGUAGUAUAGAAUAGCCUGUUCGAAAGUAAUUUUAUCGAAAAGAAGCAGGUAAUUCAAUUAGAUAAGAAGCUAAGCUGUUCGAGUGAAAUCAACGAGUCCUGAGUUCACCUGUUUUUGAGUUCGCCAGACAAGCCGACAAAUGUUCAUGGCGUUAGUCCGAUCUACUCUUGAAUAAUCAAAAGAGGGGCUCUAGAAUCAGCUGGAUAAGCAGCUACAGAUGAAGCAGCAUCCUUACUCAAUCCUUGGAGUUAAGGAUUCGUCUGCCUCCGAUAAGUCUAAGAAGAAUCCGGAAUAGUAAGUGCAUUUUCUCUUUCUCUUUAUAACCCCUGAAACUCCAAUGAAAUGGUAUGUCUCGCUUAGGCAGGAACAAAUGGUAUAUAUCGUUUAGGCAGGAACAAAUGGUAUGUCUCGUUUAGGCAGGCUAGGAAAGCUUAUAUGUAAUCAUAUCAAUAAUAAAGAAUGCUUAGCUUAUAGCUAAGAUUAGACUAGACUGAUUUGCCCGCCCCGCUUACUUCUUUUUCACUCCAUCUUAUUUCUACGACUUUCUGAGUGGAUCUCCUUUUUACACAAGAACAUCAAUUUCUUAACCGGGUCCUGGACAGCUACGCCUUUACUUGAUUCUUCCUCUCUUAAAACUCCUAAUUCCUGACCGACUCCUAGAACAAGCAUCUUCUCUUAUUACUACCCCGGAAACCACAAACAACUGAUUUAUCUCCGACUCCAUAUACUGAUACAUUAAGGCGAUUUGACAGUGAGAGAAAGAAUUAAUAUGUUGUGAAGCUGUCCGCUCUCAGUACUUAAGUAUCGUCUCUUUGGAUGCGCAAGUAAGCUAGGAGUUCUCAGUUCGAAUUUCAUUGUUAGCGAGAGAAUAAGCAAUGUAGCGGUGAAGAAGAGGUGUUGCCCAGGAAAGGUAUAUAUAAAACAGAGGAUAAGAAUUCCGCAAGUCAGAAUGAAGUGAUAGGAGCCGAAUUCCGUUAAUAGUUUUAAGUGGCCAUAGGUAUUGUAGCCAGCUGCUGGGCUUAUGUAAUUACUUGUUUACUGACUUAGUUGACUUACUUGUUAGGCAAGUUUACAUACUGAGUUUACUUACUUGGUUGGGUCGGGUGCUUGUGUGACGCUAUGAGGAAAUAGAGAAACUUAGUAGGCAUGGCCCCCUACUAAAUUCUAUAUUCUCUUUAUAUAGGUGAAUUGGCUUUUCCCCCGCAUCUACAUCUAGUCAUUGAACUCAGUAGUAACAGUAUCGGUGUGCUUAGUUGGAGGCUUUGAAGCUGGGUUGAUUCUUUUGUUUUCUACCUUCCCUUGCCCAACCAGUGGAGUAGUCGGAGUAGUGUAGUCCAGAGCAACAACUUUAUGAGUUGACAGAGGCUCGGGUAGUUUACUUACUUGGAAGAAAAAACAAUCAAUGAUCAAUCACAAAAAACACGAAAUAAAAGUGCUCAUUUUUGACUACCUUUUCUGUACUAGUUAGGAAGGGAAAAAUAGUAGAUAAUGGAAUAUAAGAAAACAUAAGUGACUUGGCCCGAUAACUAUACUAGCUCAUAGCAGCUGAAGAUACUGGUGAAGUUUCUGAUCUAUGGUUUACAGCACCAACUAGUAGUAGUCCUGUUUACAGGUAAGGGAGUCGAGGUCGGCAAGAGAAUAAGUCUCGUCUCUUUCUUUGGCUUUGAAGUUAGGUGGGGAGCUAGUAAGUGGUCAAGAGCAAGUCCUUUUGGGGGAGCUGAGCUAGCAAGUGAAGUUGAUUCAGAAAGUGCAAGUGGUAUUCGAGUUCUUGUUUCAGCAGUUGUCCUAUAUAAGAGAGAAAUGAGAUCCAUUGAGCUGGUCUACUUGUCCGUGAAUUCCCAGUUGCAUCUGUAUUAGUUGACAGAGGAGUAAGAGAAGAGGCAAGAUCCGAGGCAAGAUCAGAGGAGAGGUCCGGCCAGUCAGAUAGAGUUAGUUCGGGCAAGAGAACUAGAGUUGUUAGUUGAAAGAGCAAGAUCAGAGGGAGAUGAGAAAGCAGCAGGGCGUGUUGAAAGAAGUAUUGGUUGCCCAAGUCCUGUGUUCGGGUGCUCCUACUAGGCCAGUAAUACUUUAGCCUUAAGCGCUAGGUGGGAAUUCGAAAAGAGAUCAUCCUCCUUAAAGGAUUUAACUAGAACUGGCAAUGAUUAUAAAGACUUUAGCGCAUCAGAAGCACAAGGUGCUGAAAGCCUGAAGAACCUACACACCGAGAUAUCGCACCGUUGAUUCAUUUUCGUCGACAACACACGCGAAACGGCACUAGAAUAAGCCCUGACCUUAACAGCUACGCCUGGGCAAGCAAGUUCAAGUAUUGUUUCUUUGGGUGCUCGUGUAAAGCAUAUAAGCACUGUUAUGGAACUGCCUACUAAAUGAGAUAAUCUGUCUCUUUGAUUCCUAAUUCCCUACUACACUGGAUCGGUGCUCUCUGAAAGGGGUGAGUAAUCCGUUUGGGUGAGUCAUCCGUAGAGUAAGCUGAUUGGUUACCGCUAGUUGGGUAAUAGCAGUAAGAUGUGUUUUUAGUGAAUUCUAUAUGUGGAUAGCUAUAUGAAUUGAAUGGAGUGCAAAUCCUCUAUAAGUAAAGUAACAAAACACUCAACUUAUGAGAAAAGAAGAAAUAUAAGUGUGCACAUAUGAGUGAAUUGAAUAAUCUUACCAUUCAGAUAUACAAUACUAUACGGAAUCAAAUCAUAUAAUUGCACAUAUUUGCUUAUCCUCCUGGAAAAAGAGACUGCUACCGAGGCUAGGGUCCUCCUUCUUGUAAAAGAGACUGCUACGAAGGUAUUCCUGUAAAAGAGACUGCUACCGAGGCUAGGGUAUUCCUGUAAAAGAGACUGCUACGAAGGUAUUCUUGUAAAAGAGACUGCUACAAAAAGGUGUAAUUGAGUUGAAUGAAGAGUUUCUUGGAUGACAUUUGCUUGCUCCUUGAAUUACACUUGCUUGCUCAUUGCUAAUCAUCUAUGUGGGAAGUGGCCUGGCCUCCUUAUUUCAUUUUUCUUAUUCAUUGGCGUGCACACACAUAUUCUAUAUUUAUGUAACUUCACUGCUUACCCUGUUUAUGAUCCUAUUUUCUUAUCUCUUAUACAUAGCAUCUCUAUCACUCUUACAGUAGACUCCUUUACUCUUACAGUAGACUCCUUUACUUUUAAGAGAACUUUGAUUUGUGUGACGAAGAGUCCAGGAAAGAGCAGCACAGCAGGCGAUGUUACUAUAAGGUGGAUAACUCUGGAACUCCUCUAACUCAGGUGCCGGUAUUGAAUAUGGGCCAGAAUACAACACUUGCUAGUGCAUUCAAGUAAGUAAUAGAGUUCUAAUAAGACAAGUCAGAAUAUAAGUUCAGUAUAAGGCCAGAAUACAACACUUGCCUUGCCAUCGGAUUAGAAUAAGACAAGAGGGUAAGUAUAAGAGCCCAUCAACUACUGUCGACUUCGGUGUUAUGAGUGAGUUUUUAAGCAUAGGUGUUAUGAGUGAGUUUUUAAGCAUAGGUCAAAGCUACCUUAUUUCUCUAAGUCUGCAAGGAGAGUUAGAGUUUGUUGAGUUAGAAUCGGGUCGGGGUGAACUCCACUAUUGCUCUGUACUCUGGACUACUCCACUGGUGAAACCGGACUACUCUACUGGUUGGGGAAAGGAAGUAGCACAUACUACUGUCUGUAACUAAGGGACCGAUCGCCCGAAAGAUUGAGUUAUGAGCAAGUCAAGCCUGUUAAUAGAUGAAUUCCUUUCUGUAAUAGGUAAAACAUCCACCCCCCCUUGCGAAGGAAGGAAAAAAAGGAUGAUUUGGAAAAUGCUUCUUAUUAGUAUUGAUAGCAAUUGAAAUAGAUAACUGAAUAGGCAGAAUUCAGAAGUUAUGAAUUAAGGAGCAGACGAGGAGGAGUCCAAGAAUGGCUGUUUGUUGUAUUGCGGACAAAGUAUGCUAUUUUCAGAGGAGAGAAGAGAAGGAGUCCAAGAGUGGCUGUUGUAUUGCGGACAAAGUAUGCUAUUUCAGAGGAUAGAAGGAGCAGCGGAAAAAAGUGCCUCAUCGCGGACGACUCACCAAAGCACUACAGGAUCUUUCAUCUGCGCAAUCCCCACUUCAGAACUUCCGCUGCUUUCGAAAAACGGAAGAAAUUCUCAAUUGGAUUAGAAGAAGAUAUUGAUUCGAAAUGAUAUUCUAAGGAAUAAGAUAUUGUUUAUUUGACUUAUAUAUUCUAUGUGGAAUCUUAUAUCUUCUAUAUUUCUUAUUUAUUGCAAACCCGACACCUCUCCUCUUUUAUCUGAGCUUGAUUCUGUUGAUUACAAAAUCCAUCCGGAAACUGUGGAGAAGGAAAACCCUAGAAAAGCGCUUUGCCCUAGACCUUGACCUCUAAUCCUAUAAAAUGAAUUGAGCUUCCUCAAUAACUAAUAUGCCUCGGAGAACAACACCAAUCCGUUGCAUUUGAAGAUGGGUCUUGUCAUCGCACGGACCAUGACAAGAGAAAGGGCUGUUGCUAGGCUAGUGGAAAAUACCUGUUCCAAUCUAGGAUCGGUUGAGACUCAACACUCGGGGAUAUAUAUAUCAAAAGAAAGAUCUCGGCAUCCUAUAGUAGAAAAAGAAAGAUCUCGGCAUCCUAUAGCCAGGAAAUCCCCAAAUCGCUAGGGCAUAUACAUCUUGAUUCUUUAUCCCCCAAGAGAAUCCGACAAUAAUUCCAUUCCAUAUCUCAAAUAUAGGCAAGAUCCAUAUUCCAUUGAAAAUCCAUUGAUAAUAGAAUGCCAUCCGUAGAAAAGCGCAAAGGAGGAUUGAUAUGGCAUGAACCGGUCUGCUCCAUCUGCUGAUCCUCUCCGGAGGCGGGCGGGCAGGUUCUUUUUGUGUGAUUGGACGGACGUACUUUUGGGUCAUUCUCUAUUGGAAAAGAUGGGUAAAAAGCCCCCUCGGUAGUAUCCAUAGGGAAUCAGGUAUAUUCGACCCUUGAUCUCUUCCUAAUAGUUAGUUAGGCGACCCUUGAUCUCUUCCUAAUAGUUAGUUAGGGUGGUAGUCAAUCACUAGCCCUUCCCAUUUCCAUAUCAUAAAUAAGUAUCAACGGACACUUUAAGGUAAGGAGAAAGAAGUGAACCCGUGGGAAGGAAAAAGGAAUAGAAUAACACAAUCGAAAAAGCAAUCAAGUAAUGCCUUCUGUUGUCGGAAUGGGAGCAGCUAUGGAAUUCGCAUCUGGCUAUACUGCUGGACUGGAAAACAUUCUUUCCCCUCGCAUAGAAUCAAAAAGGGAAACGCAAUAAGUCGUUACUAAGUAAGCACGCCCACGGGCUAGCGAAGUCACUUACCAACUUCAAUUCUCUUAUAAAAGGAAACGAUCUUUAAACAUAACCAAUAGCGUCGACUCUUUUUCUUUUGCCCAGGAGUAAGUAAUUGAUACCGAGAAGAAGCUCCUCUUUCUUUAGUUCGGGUUCCCCUGUGGAAUGUAUAAGGUGGUAUGGGCCUUAUCCUAUAUGAGAAUAAGAAUAUCAAAGGUCAAAUGCUUGCUUUAGGGGAAAGAGAAAUAAUCCUCUAAAAGCAAUGUGCCAAGUAAUCUUCUUUGGAUUUUCGACUCAUUAAUUCCUCUUCGGGAGCAGCUAUUGAUUGAAUCCGCAUCUCUUGCAGGACUAUGGCUGUCGUCAAAACCUUGACCUUCCUUCUCUAACUAAUUGAUAGAUUGUGGGCGUAAGACCCUUCUCUUUGCCGAUCUAGGUGACAUAGAGGUUUAUAGCUCGUAAAAAAACAUGGCAAAUAUCUAUAUAAAUAUAGAAAUAGGAUAGGAUAGGACUUAUGUUCGGCCCUUUACUUAUUAAGGCAGCUUUCCCCUCUCAGUUAGGAGGAAUGAACUACAUAGAGGAAAUCGCUCUGUAUGAUAGAAAGAAGUCACCAAAACCCUACUCGUUACUUGCAGAAUGGAAUUCCAUCUUUCGAGCACCUACACCUAGUCUAGAUUGAUGUAAAACACUAUACCUUUUGCCUCUGGUCGCCUUGAAUAGAGACUUAUGUCAACUCACCACCGCCUGACUUAGUAGUUAACCUCUUCCUCUCUCUACAUUUAGUAGUUAACCUCUUCUUCUCUAUACAUUGAGUGCAAAAUAGGAUAGAUGUCCAGUCCACCCCACCAAGUCAGUAAACAAAACAACCCUAAUCAACUGAAGCAAACUAGGGAAUAAAAGAACCAAACUCUGAACUAAGACUUGAGAACAACUGUCUGAAUUCUUAAAACACAUAGCAAGUAGGCAAGCAUAUACUAGAGCCAGAAAUCAGAGAAGGUAGGGUAGAAAACGACCGAGACAAGCCCUCGCCCUCCUUAAAGUAGUAGUCCAAUCGAGACCGGCACCCCUCGUAGUAGUUGUUACUUGUAUGCUUGUUCUCUAUAGCUAUAGCCUUGGUAAGGCAGAAUAGAGGAAGCGGCUUACUCACUAUUCUUAUAUCAUGAUGGGUGCAUAUAUCGAUUGGAUUCAAUUCAGAAAGACAUAUUCGAUUCCGCUGUUUCUUUACUCAACAUGAGAGUAAGCUGUUUCUUUACUCAUUUCUAUGAAAUUUGAUAAGAUUAGUAGCUUUAGAGUUACUGAGUUAGACUUUAAGCCAUUACUGAAUGAAGCUAUCGGCACUCCUAGCUCGCUAUAGGAAUUCAUAAGCAAAGCACAAACAAGGUUUAGUCAAUAAGUAAAGUACUUGAGUGGAGUGAGGUGACCCCUUGACUAUUGAGGACAGAGGCCCCGUUAGAUAAGUUAACCGUAAUAACUUCUUCUACUUCGCCUUUCCUUUCCUUUCGGCCAUCCUUUGAUACUAUCUGUAUUGAGCUUGCCUUUCCUUUCGCUUGAAUAAUAGCCUUCUUCAGCGAACCUUGAAUAAUUGGACGAGAUUCUGGUCUUCUGUAAGCGCCCCGAAAACUCACAUUCGAACUAUCUUUGGCUUCUGGAUCUGUAACUCCACGAAAGGACGGACAAGGAGUGUAAGCUGGACAUUGACGACUUGGACCACUAUCUAUGAUAUGCCACUUGAACCAAAACAGUAGGGGGCGGCUUCUUUUGAGUGGUUUUCACCUAUAUUAACCAGAGCUCAUAGCAAAUCUACUUAUUUAAACAAUGUUUCUGUUCCUUGAAAUGCUUUUUGCCUAGAAAGAGAGUAGCUCGGCUCUUCACUGUACCGAACCUGUACCGUUUACACUUACUGGCAUUAACUCGCUAAGCCGGCAUUAACUCGCUAAGGCUUACUCUUUGAGCGCGCAUUGUUGAGUUCCGAGCAAAGAAGUCUUUGUUUAUUGUUGCAGGAUCGGGUGCUUACGUGAAAGAAUCUGAUGGGACGCAAGAACUAGUAACGGUGUUCUGCUAAUGUGAAGAUAGACGAAAGUCAUAACUGAGUCCAGAAGCUUUUGGAAAGCCGCAAGACUAAACAAGCUGACUUUAUUGCGCUAAGCACCUCUGAUUCUCGAGUUCACUUUCCUGUUUAAGAUCCUGUUCCUACUUGCUUCUACUUGAUCUGUUGAAACUGUUUCCUCACCAGAUCCCGGGUUAUCUACCUAUUGCUUGUUCCGAGUCAACUCAUGAAUUUGCAUUUCACUCUCCUACAUCGCAGAAUUCUAUUGAAAUUGUUAACUCCGUAGGGUAGGCGCAAGUCCAAGCCUUUAUUGAAUCUAUCGCAGUCAGGUCCACUUUUCACUCCCUUAGCGCAACAGUCUCUGCUGAUAAAGCAUCUAAUCAAGGAGACUUAGCGCUUGCUGCUGAGAUUGAUUUCUGAAUUGAAGAAUAUCAUUGAGUGCACUGAUCAUAAGUAACACCUGACUCUGAUUCUUAUGCUCCCGCUGGAACUACACUUGCAGACUGAAACACAAGAAAGACUAUCAUUGCUUAACACAAGCACUUUACUCUGGAAAGCCAAGUUGGAUAGCGAUGUACGAAAGAAUGGGUAAGGAAAGGCGAAGUCAAGUGUUUUAGGAAAGUCUCUAGUUUCAAGUGCUGUUUUCUAGGGCUUAAUAGGUUUUCAUCUGGCUUAAUCGGUUUUCAUCUUAUUAUUAAGAAAGAAGAGGAUAUCAACUAGCCCUACCCUAAGGAUACAGAUGGACCUACCCUAAGUAAAGUACCUAGCGCUGGUAGAUUAGCCAGAGCCUACAGUAGCUAUCAAGUAAGCUGAUGCGGAUAGGGGAUGCUUCACCGAACAAGUGAAUAAGCCGUAUAAAGUCCAGUUAACCAUAGGGGUAUAAUAGAUGUUAUGUUGGUAGCAAAUCCACCCAGUGCCCCCUCUCGCCAACCGAUAACUCUUAUACUCUAUUCUGAUCCUCAGGUACGUCAUCUAGUGCUAAGAAGGUACUUCGGAGAAAAAUGAAUUCCAAGACUCAGUGAAAAGAUCUUAAGCCGGAAGCUGGCUCUUAGCACCUUAUUUGUUUAGUUUACUUUUACUUAGGAUAGUUGUUAAGUAUUGCCAGGUCCCUAUCGUUCAAGAAAAUAAGUGGAGUAUUGUAAAGAAUUUCGUAAAGAGGAAGGAUCUUUAUAAGGAUCAGAAGUGUGCAGCAAUAUAUGAGUCUCCUCUUUCAGUUCUUGGCUACUUUCAUCCUAUAGAGGUCGGGGCAGAAUCCAGUCCUGCUUUAGCUGAAGCGCUAACGGGAGCUUGCUCGAGAUAGUCUCAAAAACGUUACUUGUUAAUAACUCGUAGGAGGUGAAGAAAGGACUACGUUGCCUGGUUGUUGGACUCGGCGCUUAGGAGAAAGUUUGCAUUGUGUCGAGAUUCACUAGUUAUAGAGCACCAGACCAUUAAAGAAAUUGAUGUUUGAGUUGAGCUUUUGAGUUGACUCUAAGCAAGAGAGAGAAAUUGAUUCAAUGUUGCAAGCAGGUCCGCAAGUGAAGGAGAGUUCGCCUAAGCUGCUUGUCCCGCCUCCAAGUCUUAGAGAUAAGAUGAAAUAGAAAGUAAGUCAGCUGCCCUAAGAAAGGAAAUAAGCUUAGGAACAAAAGAGAAGGAUGUUGUUAUAGAUAUAGAUAAUCAAUAGGUCCGAGUGAAGCAAGGUGUCAUGGAGAAUGGCCUGUUCGAAAGGAAAGUGUAGUUAUCAGGGAAGAAUAAGAUAGUAAUGGCCGGUAUUGGGCAGCAAACGGGUAAUCUUCAAGUUUGGUUCAGGGAAGAUAAUAGGAUCUUACGCGUUAGGUCGUGUAGAGAGGUUUCCAGUUUGCUUACGUAAAGAAUAUCUAUGAUAUAAAGAAGCGCACUACAUGAUUAAGUCUCAAGUAAGGAGAGAUAGACUUCAAUCUCAGAGGCCAGUAUACGAGCAAGCGGUGUCAGUUUCAAAGCUCGUAUGCCGCUGCUUGCCGAGUCAUGAUCCACUGUUUCAUAUGUUUUUCAUAAGAAUUGGAACCGCCAGCACCUUCUUAUAUGUAUAUGUAUGUAUGCCCUAAGCUAGAAAAUGAUUCCUGAAAUGGCUGUAUAGGCUAGAUCUUCUUAGCAACCGGGGAAUACAAGACAAGACUGCUGGGUGGUGCGUGAGAGAGGACGUGCUCGUACCUUGACUAGUGCUUAUGGUAGUUUCUGGUAGCUUGCUUAUUGCUUUCCCUUUCUUCAAAAAGGUGUGAGGGAUGCGGAGUUGUCAACGAUAAGUCACGAGUAUAGAGGACUAGAUCUGGCUUGCAUAAGACCUAAAUAGAGCCCCAUAUGACUAUGUUUUCUUUCCCUUACCUAUGUGGUUUUCCACUAGUUGGCUUAUUUUAUUAGAAGAAGGAGUCGUUAGCACUCCCUCCCAGGCGAGCACCCUGAUGGUUAUCGAUUCCUAGGCUCUUAGCACCUUUAUCUAAAUGAGGUAUCUGUCCCGUAGUGAGUUGAGUGUGAGACAGAGAAAGACAGAAGGAAGGAUUCGCUUAUUCACUUAUUCAAUCAGGAGGAGCGUAACGAUCAGCUUUUUUCAAUACUUUAGUUGUCAACCUAAUAGCCCCUUUCUUUUCCUAUGUUCUUUACGAAUGGGGAGUCAAGUCAUUCUUAUACCACUAUUGAGGUGCACAUAUUAGAAGCUUCAAUCCACUUUCCAGGUAAGCGUAAGCAAUUGUAGGGUUAGGGAAGGGGGAAGCUCCAGUCAACUGAUUGUCUCGCCUCAUUGUCUGCGAAAGAGGUUAUUGACGGAGCGGUGAAAUCGUCAGCAUAAGCAGGAGAAGCAUCAGGUUCAUUAGCCGUUCUAGUUUGGAGUGCAGGAGAUUCCCAGUAAGGAAAGGAAGCCCAAUCUCAAGAUGGAAAUUCAGCAUUCCAGAUCUGAGGCCCCUUUCUCAUUUCAUUCGAUAGAAUUCUUAUCAAUUUGAUCGACCCUCACUCACUAGGGGAAGCGCGGACGAGUGGAAGACUUGGGUGUAAUGUCCGGUAGUUCAGAAGACUUACAGCUUUCAAAACGACUCUUCCUCUUUCACUUCUUCUUGUUUAGUUAGUUCAGUAGCUCUUGAAGUUAGAACUUGCCGUUCCGAGUUGCUUCUCUCAGUUUCUGGCGUUAUGAAGUUGUAGAUCAGUUCUUCAUUCUUUCUUGAGUUAUAGUUUUGAGUGUGACUAGCUUCCAUGAGCGUAUAGGAUCCUCUUCUAGGGCUCGUUUCGGAGUGAAACGAACUAUGUUAUGAAUUGAUUUAUUCCCCCCGCCCCCGAGUUAGACUUUGGAAGAGAUGGGUGAAUAGAAACCUGUGGAAUACCUUAUAAGAGAGCCGAAGGAAGGAAGAGCACUAUAGAGCCGGAGGUAGGGAAGGUGCUAAGAGCCUCGAUUCCAGACAGUAUAAGAUCCCAGAGUGUUUUUCGAAUGCCCCUUAAUUUCACUGAGAUCACCAAUGAAGAUUUCGAUUAUGGUAAAGGUUGCUAAGCUAAAGCCUCUAUACUAUGAGGGAAAGCCAAAGAAGCUGGCCUUACUAGAGAAGGGGGCAGUCCAAAAAGGGAGAUUCUUUUAGUUAUACCAGUAGAAAGAAGGGCAGCAGCUAAGAUCCCCAAUCGGCUAGAUGCGAGUAGCUCAUGCCCGGCUCGGGAAAUGAUGUUUGAUAAGAUGGAUUCGUUCGUGAAAGAAAGAAAAUGCAAUGGUGGGAAAUGAAUGGAAAGAAGAGUUGGAGUCUUUCCCCUAAUGAGGUGCCGACAUCUGUGUGAGUUCCUAGGAGUUAUGUUACAACAUCCUUUCUAGUAAGAGCAUCUUUGUUAGUUCCUAGGAGUUAUGUUACAACAUCCUUUAGUAAGAGCAUCCGAGAUAGCCAAAGAUCUGAAGGCGAAGCAAGAACAAAGGUAGUAAUUAGAAUAAGAAGAAUGCUAAUCAAAUCCAGCUUAAAGCGCUAAAGGAACCCUAUAGAAUUUCGAGAUCCCUACCCAAAAGAUUGAUACCGAGUUUCCAGUUCCAUUUUGAUCAUUUUAUUAUAAACCAGCAUCAGUGACUAUCUAAGCACCACCAUAAAAUGACGGAACAACCUGUGGGGCAGUGACUUUUUUGAUAUCCAUAGUCUUUCUUUGGUUCGAAAGCGAGAUAUCCAUCUAGAUUUUCUAGAAACCUCUGACGGAACGGAAUGCUACUAACUUAUUCCUAUUGAUCCAGUUGACAUUAACUCAGUCAGUAGUUUGCCGUUGAUUUCAUUUAGUUGACCGAGAAUCCGGAGCUGCACCAUAAGGGGGAGGCCGCAUCAGAGCUAGUUGCAUCUGUCGAUUGAGUUGAAUCAGCAACAGAGCCGGUAGCCUCGCCAAUCUAGAUAGUUCUUUCGAAACCAUCCGUCUUUGUAGAUUGAUUGAAGAUUACCACUUAUAUACACACAACUCCCUAUUGAUUGAAGAUUGACCACUUAUAUACACACAACUCCCUUCUUAUUGCUUGCUUGUAGGCUUCUAUUCUAUAAACUCGCGUUAUAACUUCAUCUUGUUCCCUUGUUUGUAGAAUAUUCUAUGUUGUGCACUUCUUCAACUUCAUUAUGUAAAUGGGUAAGAAAACAGCUGAUAAAUAAAUAUAUGGCAAUUCUUUUCAAAGCAGUGGGGGUAGCUCAACUCUUUUCAAAACAUACUAUAACACCCCUAAACUCGCUUGUGUCAUUUCAUUUAAGAACUCCGCUAGGCAGCCCGCCAACCAAUAAUACAAUUUGGAUUCCUUCAGCUUGUUCCUAUUCUCUCUGUCUAACUAAAUAAUGCGCGCCCGGAGCUGCUAUUCCUUGUUCUCGGCGACCUUAUGAGUAGUGGUCCAGCAUCAAAUAAGUAAGGGGCAUUAAGGUUAAGGUAAGGCGCCCCCGCUCAUAAAGGCUGUAGAACAUUCAUUGAAGCCUAAACUUCCUGUCUUUGACUUUUACUUGUUUAUUGCAUUAUGAAAUUGCUUAUGAAGUUGACUUAUGUUAUAUUAAUUAGUAUUUGAUUAGCAAAACCAGAUCCCAAAGAAAGGGUUUAUUGCUUUUCUGUUGAACGAAGGGGCUAUGGUGCCAGUGUUUAGUAUACAUUAUUCUGACUAGUAUUGGUGCUAAGCUCUACUCUAUUGGAAGCGAACUCGGCAGUAAGAGAAUUAAGUACAUUCAUGGAAUAAUAUAACUCAGUAAUAGGAAAAGAGCGACUACUAUUGGGAUCCAGCCUAAGAAAUGCACUAUUCUGACUCGGUAGCUACUUACGUUGAUUCUCUCACUGCGGAUUCGGAUACUGACUUCUUAGAUAAGAGUCUACCUCUCUUGACUUUCAUUCUCUGUGUUGCUCCUUUGAUCCCUUAAUUCAAGUUAGAUGCUUCCUUUCUUUGAUUUCCGCCUGUCGUUCAUUAUCUGGUUUGUUCAUUAUCUGGUUUACCGUACUGGUUCCCUGGUUUACCGUACUGGUUCCCUGGCUUACUUUACUACAACUAAGUCUACCAUUACUCGAUCCAAGGAUUGAGAAGGAUCUCCUUUCACUAAUAUCAAUAAGGGAACUGAGCUAUAUCAAUAAGAGAACUGAGCUAGUAUAUAUCAUACUAAGACUAGAGUAUUUAGUAGACUAUUCAUGUUAGUAAACUAUUCUGAGUAUCAGGACAGUGACUAUAGUGAUAGUAGUAUAAUAAAAAGCAGAAGAAGAAUAGGUAAAAUACGGAUAUGAUAUCAGUAGUGGCAGGCUCAAAAGAAGGAAUGUAAGACUAAAAGACGGGAGCACCAGACUCGGGCUUAUCCAUAAUAGAAGACAGUAGUUGGUAAUUAAGCCUUAAAACGGGAGCAGUAGAAGGAUGGAAUAAGGCAUUUAAGAGCUAGCUACGAGAGCGAGAGACUGUAUAGUCAGAACGGAAGACAGGGGUAGUCAAGUCAAGCCUUAGAAGCGGGAGAGUCGAGCUGGUAGUGCUAAUUUCUACUUCAAGUAAUAGCUGGGAGAGCUAGUUGGUGGGGGCAGAGAUACAGCUUAGGUGCCCGCAGAGCAAGGUAAGGCUCGAGAUAUGGUAAAAGUCAGUCUAAAAGACAGUAAGCAAGGUGCUCUAGCUAAUAAACCAGAUUCGGGAUCAGGAAUAGCAGUUUUCAAGUAAUGAGUAGGGCCUGUUCCCGUAUAUGAGCAGUAAGGCUCGGCAAUGAGCAUAGGAGACAAGAGUAAUAGGGCAAGGAAUCAUAAUCCAACUUCUUAUUAUAAUCAUAAAGACGUAGCGGGCCUGUGCAUUAGUUAGUUAGGAUACCGGGCUAAGUAGUCAAAGAAUGGCUAAGCUGAGUGAAAAAGACAGAACAACUGCCCAGUAGAAAAGAAUGGCUAAGCAUUGGAGGGAGUAAUUAGAAUAAGUGGUUUCGGUUUGAUAUCAAGUAAGGAUAUAUGGAGGCAGGCCGAUAGAGGAGAGUACUCAACAUGGGCAUUGUAGGUCCAGUCCCGGUAUAAGAAUAAGAGAAAUAAGUAGUUGACUUAGAGGCCGUUUCAAAGCAAGACAUACGAGAGUUGAACCGAGGCAAGUAAUAUUUGGUUUCUGUGUUGGGUGAAUAAGGCUUGAACAGCUUCGUUCUAUUCUACGAAGACAUAAGCAGCAAUACCAAAUACAAAAGUGCAAAUACUAAUAAACCACUAAUAAAAGACUAUCUAAUAUUGUAUAUGAAAACCCAUUCUACUAUAGGUGAUUUAAUGUUCUAUUAGAUUAUUAUUUAGUGAACCGAGCUGUAAGAAUGAAAAGGAGUAGUACAAUACUAAAGCUACCAAAACAAGUAAGGGCUUUGCUCCCAGUGAAUAAGGCAAGGCUGGGUUUACUAAGUGCAACUCUUAUCGAUAUUGGUUCGAGUCUGUUAGCAUUGUUGUUGGAUUAAUGGACAGUAGCGGCAGUCUUUCUAUCCGUAGCUCAAUUACAUCGAACCUGAGUUUCUUGUUCAAUCCUUAUUUCUAGUGGUUUCAACCUUUCCAGUGCUAGUUUAGUUUACCUAGUCCUGACCGACAGGGUAUUAAGAAUAUGAGUUAGGCGCCUUGUCAGCAGCAGUUAAGGAAUCGGUUUGGCUAGGGGUAGGUCUAUUCUUUUACUUAUGGAUUGAGUUCUUUAUUUACUACUUUCAGAAAUAGGGGUGACAAUUUCAGAGUCAAUAAGUCAACUGGGAAUUAAGAAACCGUGCAUAGAGCUAUGAAAAUCCAAUAAGUAACUAAAUAAAGUCAGCCUAAAAGCAAGUAGAGGACCCAUUCUUGUGUAGUCCAUACAGAGGGAUAGUAAGGAUUUGGAGAAUUCAAGCAAAUAGUGUUAGGUUGAGUUACGAGUUAAAGUGUCUUACUUACGCCCUUGCUUCUUAGAUAAAGUAUCUCGCUCUUGUACUUUUCACCUGUCUUUAUUUGUUUUGAUUCUGACUACCUUUUCUCCUUUUAUGAGAGCUAUGGUUUUAAGAGUGACUUUUUGUAGGCGAGUGCAGACACUAGUGCAGGAGAGCCUGGUUUAAUAGUAGCAGGCCGGGUGCUCAGUAGGAACCGGGGCUUACUUUACUACAGCCAAGGAUGCCCUUACGACUAGACUAACAAGGGGCAAACCCAUAUCAAAACCAGACUUUCCCCCCGAGAACAGAGAAUCUCACUACUAUCAAUAAGACCUGAACAACCAAUGGAAAGAAUUGGACUUAGCACUAACAGGGUGAAACACUACCUAAUAGAUUGCACUAAGUGCCUCUCUAAGCUCAAAAGAUGAAUUGAACCGGUACUAACAAGCCCCGAGUCUUUACCACUCAUACUUAUGCUCUAAACACACUCUUCCCCUACUGAUAUAAACCGCGUAUCUUAGCCUAUAUCUCUUUUCUUUCAAACAAACACGCAUACCCUUGACUCUGAUUUUCAUAGGGCUUACGGACAAACAGACUUGAAACCAGUGCUUCUCAUCCUUUAUCUUAUGCUAAGGUGCGGAAAGCCUACUGGAAAACAGACUUUAGUCAGUGCUUCUCAUCCUUUAUCUGACAAUAAGGAAUCGAACCAGGGCGCCUAAGCCUACCUUUUCCUUUAUCUAAUUCCUCAAAUCUAUACCUUCAUUCCUUAACUACCGAUUUGGAGUCUGCUUUCCUUUAUAGGUAUUACUUUACAGCCUAGCUUCGCCGCCCCUAGCUUUGAUUCUCUCUUUUCUUAUUAUUAAAUUCAUAUGUGUUUUAUUGUAUAAUAUGUUCUAGCAUUUUCCUAGUAGUUGAUUAUAGAAACUAAGUCCCAUAAGUACAAUGGCUAUUCUCUUUUGGAAGGCAAAAACGGCUCUUGUUUUCUCUUAUUUAGUAGGUUUGUUUUGCUAUGACACCUGCGCUACCUCACCCAUGUGUCUGCGAUCCCUUGGGCUGAUGCCCUGACCUACUCGACCAGGUGCCCGGCCUCUACAUUGAUACGAACUCUGCUUUCUACCUUAUACGAACUCUGCUUUCUACUUAACGAGCACCGACACAAACACCGACACAAACACCGACACACACCUAGAUCGGACAUGCACAUAGUCGUGGAGUUGCACCUAUCAGCCUACGAGCGACCAUGGACUAACUCUUUCAAGUGGCUAAGCGCAUUCAAUUCACUGGUCGAAACAACGGCACGGGGGGCAUAUGAAAAAGCUGGUUUUUUGGAUCAAAACCGAGAUAAAUAACUUGUGGUUUUUGGACUGGUUUCGCUAAGCAACAUAGAAAGAAGUUUUCUUAUACAAUCAAAGAAUAAUCGGAUAAAGAGAUAGGGCCAAGCAUAUACUAGAUGCGAGCCAAGUCCUAGAACACAACUGUCAUAAUAAAAGGCCAAGCAAGCCGACAAGUCACCACUAAUAUCAAGAAAAGGUAUAAAUUCUCUCCGAUAACUACUAAUACACUAGUCAAGGUAUCAAUUCUCUGCAUCUAGUAUAAGAGGGUAACUUCGCUCUCCACUCUAAAGUCUUAAUUGAACUCCGUAGUCACAGUAGGAUAAGAGGUAUACCUCAUUCAGUUCAUCGUUUUAGUUGCCAGCGUGAAAAGAGACGAGGUCAACUCUUUUCAUUCAGUAAAGGGAUACUCAGAAGCAGUCUUCAACUCUAUAGUAUAAGAAGUCAGGCAGCUAGCGCAUCUUUUCCCUUAUUCUUAUACAUCUACUUACCACCCUUAACCAACUAGUGGUGCUCUUAACUAAACCACCGGCGUGCUCUUCAAAGUAUGGAUUGAAACCUAAAGUCAGAAUGAAACUCGAAGUUAAUAAAUAGAGUAAUUCGCCGAUGGGGUCUAGUCUAAUAGAAAGAAGUAACCAAAGAGCCAUAGGUACAGGAGCAAUCAAUGAAUAAGGUCUUAUACUCUUGAUAUCCCGACUAAUGGUCUUAUACUCUUAUAAUGACUUGGACGCGGUCCAGGGCUCCUUUAGCUAUUAAUUAGGACUUGGGCCAAGCAACCUUUCUUUCCUUCCCUAUACACCCCUUUAGCCAACAAACACAGAUGAUACUGGGGAUCCACUCGGAGAAUAGCGACCUUUGAAACUACUAUACUACACCUCUGGCUCUGUCAACUAAUUAAGUUAGGGCUCUGUACUCUUUACUACUCCCAGGUCUGGUCCUUGUAUACUCUGAUUCCGGAUUCUUUUUCCGACUUCCCCGACCAACUCCAUAUUCUUGUUCGUACUUCUUUUCUAGUCUACUCGCACUACUUAUUAUUGAGUUCCUACUAAAGAGAAAGAUAUUGAGACUUCUCCUACUCCGGAUAUUGAUACAAACGACUUCCUUACCUUAUCUUGCCUCCGCCUCCGUUCUUAUAGUUCAUAAUAAAGGGAACAAGUGAGCAGCUCCAUUCCCGUUUUGGCCUCUUCUUGCUUUUGUAUAAGUUGCUUUUUGGGGUAUCCAAUUUCAUAUAUUAGCUAUUAACAGAGUAACACAUAGGUUCCACUUGUAUAAAUAAGAGGGCUUGAAUGCCUUUCCCUCAAACACGGAACUCCCCCGAACCCUUCCUUGAUACUUAAAGCGCUUAACCUCACUGAUACCAAAGACUGGACUAGUAGACAACAAAAGUCAAGCGCCAAGAACAGAAAGAGUAUCUACUGAAGUCGACCUAGACCUCGCUUCAAACCCAGUAAUUGCGGAUGAUGAUCCUGUUGAAGAUCCUUAUUCUGAUCCUAGAACUAUAACAGGCAAUUCUUCUGCCGGAGCGAGGUUAAGUGGAGUACGGUGGAAAGUUUACAGUAGUCCGCUCACUAACGCGUAGCAGAAGCCAAAUCCAGUAUUGGCUCGGUGUCGUGGACAGUGGAGAAUUUCCAGUUCCAGAAGAAUAAGGAAGGAUAAGAAGCCGAGACGAAGCAAUGCGGUAGAAAGGAACAGGCGCAAGGGAACAACCAUCAAGAAGGGCACCCUACUGAUUAUAGGAAUAAAUGCACUCUAACAGCCAAGACACUACUAAUGUGUCGACCAAACAACUAAGUAAGACGUUGCGCGGUAGCAACAAUAAUAGGCCAAGCAACUACUAACGACCAAGCUUAGGCGUAAGACUAAGUGCGGUAGCCCCAAUAACAGAUAUUACAAGUUAUUACAAUAGAUGUUUUUGGGGCCGCUCCACUCUUUCUAUUACAAUAGAUGCUUUUUGGGCCGCUCAUCUGUGCCCAUUUUAUGGCAAAUGACCCAGGAAGAGAUCAAACCUGCUUCAAAUGUAAUUCAAAGAGGGUUUCCUCCGUUUCCGACUCCCCGGAUUCUGUUCCCAAGUCCUGUCUUUGUUCGUCUAGCACAUCCAGUAGUUUACUAGUAAGCUCUAGUACCGGAUAAGUAGAUAGUUCUGAAUUCCAUUCCAAGAUAAGAAACGGAAUUGGAAGCAGUGCCAAAGUAAGCUGCUGUUCGAGUUAAGUCUAUAGGAAAGUUCUACUCGCCCUCAAAGAGACUAAGGAGAUUUCACUGCAGAGUUUCGUUCUUAAGUAGUCACUUGUCUAGUAGCUUGGCCCCGGCAUUUUGGAAAGCAAAUAGCUUGAUACAACAAACACUUUCACUGCGGAUUCUGUUAGGGAACAUCAACUGGAGCUUAAAAGCCUGUAAUUGGUGAUGAUCCUACAGACCUAUUUUAUAGAUGGAAUUUCCUGCUACACCAAUCUGCUACACCAAUUCCGCUACUACUAAGUGAAGUAAUUCCUCUGGGUUCCGUUUUUGUCUUAUAGUGCACUGCAACCAAGAGUUGUUUGGUCUGUUACUGAUGAAGUUCAUUCUGUAUUUACUACCACUAUAACAUUGGUAUAUUCCCCCACUAUGCAAUAAAUGAAUAACUAAUUGAAUAAUCAAAUACUCAAGUCAGAAUAAUAGUCAUUAGGGCCACUAAGAACGGUAUGGGGUAGUUUAAGAAUAAGAGACCGGACAGUCAGAGUGAAAGAAGCAAGUAUCCGACCAAGAGGUAUACUAGUACUACUGGGGUCAUUUACGUAUGGAUGGGUUCACAAAAAAGGAGUAUAAGAAUUAGCGGAGUGUGAGCGCACUUAAUCAGGAAUGUUCCUCUCAAGUCAGGAUCAAACAAGGGUCAUUAUCAUAAUGGUAGGUGGCGAUACAGAAUUUCAAAUAAGUAUUAGGUCGGGUCCCUCUCCCUCUCAGAUAAGAAUUGGACUAGUGCUCUAUAAGAUCGAAAUAAGCAACAGUGGAUUCCACUGCUAAGGCGAGUGCUGACAAGACUCAUCUAUUCACUAGGAGAUCCGCUACCAAUAACAAGAAUCAAAGGUACUUCUCACUCUUUAGCUCCUGAUAUCUCAAGGCUACCUUUGCUGUAACUAAGUCUUUGGCUCUUCGAUCUUACUCUUUGACUGCCGAUCCAGAUCUUUGCUUUUAGUAUUACUUGGCAGAGCGACCCAGGCAAGUCCAGACUAAAGGUAAAGGUAUAAAGUGUAAUAGUGGUGAGUUUCAGAAUAAGGGUAAGUAGCGGCAGUCCUGUUAUCAAUGGCCCUUUCCGAGGUGGGUUAGGAGAAGCGCUAGUUCUAUUCUUCCCAGUAGUGGUAACAUCCUUUCUAUUAGCGGUUCCGUCCUUUCUAGAUUAGCAGCUCCCGAACACAGCACUUGCUCUCAUCUAAUCCAACUCUGGCUACAAUUCAUUGAACCCUGAUGUCCGCUCCUAUAAAGGAAUUCUGAUUGGCUGUGGAAUCUGUUCUUAUUAAGGAUUGAGUUUCGAAAGAGAGAAGCCCUUUCUUUUUGGAUGCAACUCAACAUUACGAAUGGAGGAUGUGCUCGAGAUUAUCAAAUUGGCUACUACCUUCCAGAAGGAAGCUAUUAUUUGACUUUACCGAGGUUAGCUGGUGAAGAUCCUUAUUGCUUGAUAUCAAAUAGAAGGUAGUUUCGUCUGGUCUGUAGAUCAUGUUGAAUAAGUAGAGCUAGUAAAUUACACUAUCAGAUUACUUACGUGAGAGUUGGAAUUUCUUUCCCAAUCCUUUCCUUCCCUUAAGAAUAGAGUUGACCUCCUAAGCUUCCCUACGCCCAUACUGGAUUAAGCCUCUGAACCUGGCAUACCUGGCAUACCUCUCUUAUCUUGCCAACAACAAUCACCAGAACAGGAGCAGUACUAAAGGGAUUGCACUAACUACUACUUAUGAAACAGGACCACUACUAAUAGUUCUUGAAACAAGCCCUGCUGCUGGCUCUUCAUUCUGACUUGAAACUUUCCUUUACUCGCUUCAUCGCUUGCUGCUGACCUCCGCUCUGACCUUACUUGCGCCUUAACAGCUUUACCGACACUGUAGUAGCUUGUCUGAGGGAAAGAGUACUCGGUGGGUUAGCAAACUUUAGAGCGCCUGAUGGGUUAGUGACUUAUUCUAUUCUAUUAGAUUGAGUAUCGUUCUUCCUUUUUAGAGCCCGCCGGUUAGUUACUUCUUCUAUUAGGGUUAGUGACUUAUUCUAUUAGACCCCUAGCUCAGCUCCACCCUCAUAUUCCGUUUCUUAUUUUUCGACUUACUUUCGAACUACACUUUAUGAAUAGACUACUUUAGCACCCGAACUAUACUAUAAGGUUAAGCCAAGCACCUUUCCGAUACACCUAACUUCAAAAAGUCAACUCCACUAUAUUACCUUUUGAGCUACAGCGCGACAAGAAGAGAAGGCCUAUUUUCGUCCUUGUUCCUAUGUGUUACUCUGCUAAUGGCAAUUCCAUUCACAACUAAUUAAAGAUCCCUUGCCACUGUAUAAAUGCAUUUGAGCCUACUAAUCUAAUCCACUAUAGCAUUUGUUUCUUGGGCCGAAGAUCAGAGAAGAGAAGAGAAGAUUGUAAGAAUGGGGUUAAGCGCAUAAGCUAAAGCAGAAGAUCGGAUUGCCCCAACUCGGUAUUGAAGCGGGAAGUUCUGCGCUAAGGGAGUUUACAACUAAAGAAUGAGUUUUGGUUUGGACUCCGCUCUCAAUUACUGUGACUCUGCCCUCCAUGCGUAGGCCUUGGCGCACUCAAAACCAUACUGCUAAAUGGGAUCCUUGCUUAUACGCUUGAGGCUUCCACUCCUUUAUCCUAUUCUGACUAUCCCGACCCCAAACCUAACUAAGUUCUCCCCCCCUAUCUUAUUGUCUGGGGCUUACUUGUUAAAGGCUUAUUGCAUAACAUAACAUUGUCUAAUCUAAUCUAGUAACUAAGGGACCGAUUGCCAACCCAGUAACUCACCGGCAAGCUACUAAGAGACCCCAAACUCGACUCUCAGUUAAGAACCACUUCUAGACUAGCCUGUUGUUGGCAAGAGAGAGGUGCGAGUGUCUUUCUCAACUUUCUCCUUACUAAGAGAAGAUAGAAUUGAUUUGGUUUUCCUCUACGGUGUCUGUACUUAGUCGGUAUAUGAGAAAGAGAACCCGUAUAUCACCUGAAGACAUAUACGAGGACAGGAUUGUUCGUCCGCCUGUAUUCGCCCUUCUUUUCUUCUUCCCAACCAUUAGACCGGGAAGCUAGCUUAACCUCAUCCUCAGGUAUCGUUCCUGAACUGACUGUUGCCGCGUCAUCGAGCCUCUCCUUCGAUCAUCUCUUUUUGCCAAUGAGCCAGCCCCGUCUUUUCUGUUGACAUCUUCAGUAGUUUCACCGGGUAAAGUCACCCACCAAAUCUUUUCCAGGCCUAGAUGCCCAAUUGAAUCAAGAUCAUUGUCAUGUUUGUUCUAGUCUUUAAAAGGACCAAAGAGUCCAGUCCAACACCUUUUUCUUCUUCUUUUGUAAGUAAAUCAGAUGCUCCUCUCAUAUCGUUUAUGGUAUGCUCCUUUUUAAGCCCGAGAAGGAGACAGCCCGAGAUGGUAUCCGUUGAUUGUCAUCCGAGAUAUAAAGCUAUGAGAUGAAUGCCCCCUAUUUGAUUAAUUACCCACCGACCGCCCUUGCUAUUUGAGAUCUACUUUAGACUCUUAUACGAACGAAAUAAACAAGUAGGCAUAACUCGUGAAUGUAGGCAUAGAAAGCAUAUGCUAAGACAGACCUAAAAGACCUGAGCAAGAAGGAAGCGUCAAAGAGCUUUAAUGUGUUAACUGAUGGAACUAGACAAGCAAACGGUUACUAGUUAUGGGUCGAAGACUCUUAGUUUGUCUCAUAAGUUAUAUUCUCGAAAUCGACUUCCUUACAUAGAAUUGAUAAUAAAAGAAUCGACAAAAAGAGGGGAUUCUAAUCUAAGAAGAAAAAGAAAGAGAUGAAGUGACUAGUAUUCUAGGCUUGAAUCAUAAAUGGCUUGUCUCCUCUUUCACAACAAGAUGGGGUACUGCUACAAAGAGCUAUAUGAUUGAGAUAGAUAUAUGCUUCUCUUUUCUAUGAUACAGAGUGGUGAGAAUCUCCCUAGUAUUUCAUAACCGACCUUGAAAGCUAAGCUUGCUUGUUUCACAGACCCUUUUACCUAACGCCCUUUCACCUAACGGCCGUUGCUCCGUCAGCGAGUUUACCCGAGCUUGCUUAUACCGCUAGCAAGAAGCAAUCCUUACCUUACAUACAGUGAAAGAAGGCUACACAGUAGGCUAAGCGAAGCAACUAGUUUACUUGCUUUAAAAGGUGCGGCUAGUAAGGAGUCGAACAGAAGCAUGAGUUUAGUGGUGAGCUAAAGAGCUGGGUAGGGAAACACGGAACGGAGACGAAUCCAAGCCCAGUAAUAGCGUAGAAUAGAUCCGCCCUUUACAUUCCCUCAUAUCGGAUAGCCCACGUCUGACCCCAUUUCUCGUGAGAAAACCAGUUUCUUAUUAGGUUUGCCUCGUUUAAAUUGACAGUGAGGAAGAGGUCGGGUUCGGUCUCUCAGUCGCCCCUGGAGUAAAGGAAUCAUGGUUUGGUUCUGGUAGCCUCAUAUCUCCGGAAGGUGGGUCAAUGGGUGAUAACGUUUGUGCUUUCGGUGAAUCGCCUGCACUCUCUUUCUUUCUAUGAGAAGUUUCUCCUUCCGCCGGUCAGCCUUUCACUCUUUUUUCCAAAAGGGAGGAAAAAACACUCCUCUUCGGAUUCAGCUCCUUCCUCUUAAAGCUAGGGCAUCCCACCGAUCAAAAAGAAAAGAGUGAGCCCUUCUUGCUCUGUUGUUCACUGAGCCAUUCCCUUAAGAAAUGACUAGCCCCUUGAAUUCUUGUGAGUUAUUUGAUUCAUCAAUAGGUGGCCCUCCCAUACAAUCCCUUUUCGCAUUUCAUCUCCCUUCCUUUCUCCUUAGCUUCCCUUACUUGUCUUAACACUUCAUUCCAGUCAUAACCAGUAGUGGAUUCCAUUCUGCAGAAGGCAUUUCUUCUUUCAUGGCCGAGUCACUCCUAUUCUUCUUUAGAUUAGGGUUACUCCUGCUAAGAUUAUAUGGAAAUUGGAACCUUCCCAUAGUAUUCAAGAAAGCCUGAACUUCAGAGGAAGGAUAAAGGUGCUUGUAGUAAGUAGAGUGUCAAAAAAGACCUUGACUAGGGCCUUGCACGCCCUCAGACACCUACUCCUUUCGGACUAAGAAGAAGCUAUCAGAGGAUCUCCUUAACCUUCCAUUCUUAUCUCCUACAAAACAAUACCUUGACUAGGGUACUGAAGUAGACUAGGUAAAGAAGCUAUCAGGAUCUCCUGCCCCAUUCUUAUCUCCUGCAAAACAAUACCUUGACUAGGGUACUGAACUAUAGAGAACAAGUGGCACUCUACAAGCAAGGGAACAAUCAAAGAAUGUUGCGGCACAGAUAAGAUAUUCACAACUAACACAGAGCAUUACUUCAAUACUAACGUUAGCAGCUAUAGUAUUGAACUCGCGUGCAUUAGCACCCGCUACAGAAUUCAAGGCAGUAGUGAAAGCUUAAUUAAGUAAGUAUUGUUUGCUUGUUGUUCAAUCAUAAUGUGUGUUUGCUCUUUCCUUGUUCAUUCUCUAUCGCCGGGUUAGAGCUAAUUCGCUGCUAUUCAUUCGAGUUCUGUCGCUGGGAGCUGGUAGGUAAGAAUAAGAAGAAUAACGGCGAGGCAUAGAUGGGAUAGACUUCAAAGAUGAGGAAGACGUCAGCCCUUGCGAAAGAUAUCUUAUCUAACCUCUAAAUCAUCCCCUUGCGAAAGAUAUCUCACCUCUACUCUUAAUCCUCAGACCUUGACGGAAAAGCUUCCAAUUAGACCAGUAGCUGGCCGAGUAGCAGAUAGACCAAAUAAGCACAGUAGGCUCUCUGGGAUUCUAUUCGAGUAGCAGAUAUAGACCAAAUAAGCAUAGUAGGUCUAUGGGAUUCCAUUAUUAUUGAUUUAUAGAUUCUAUAGCCUACGCACUAGCCUUUAGGGGAUCGAGUUGGCCAGUGCUUCCUUCCAUCGUCCCAUCGAUCUACGUACUUCUUAACACCGAUCCCGCUCAGAACCAUAGAAUGACAUAUCGGUACAAAACUCCUACCUAAUACUAUAACAAACACAAGCAGCGAACCCAUACAAUGAAAUAAGUGAGUAGAGUCUAGUAUAUUAUUUGGAAGUAAGUAAGUAAAUAAGUCUAGUAUGUAAGUAAGAUGAAGUAUUAGAAGUAUAUUUCUUUGAAGUAAGUAAGAUAAUGCUCUCUUAUAUUAUAUGUUUCAAGUAAGUAAGAUAAUGCUCUCUUAUAUUAUAUGUGGUGUCAAUCAGUUGAAUUGGAAAUUGGGAUAGCGGUGCCUCCGCCUCUCUGUCCUAAUGUGCAUAGGGAACAAGCAAACAUUAUAUAAGCUUUAACGACUUCCUUUCCGUAAGCGCUUAUACGUUGUUGGCUCGCUAACGCUUAUUGUUGUUCGUUGUGCUAACGGGAACGGAGUGAUUUAAAUUGACAGAAGUAUUUGUUGACUUUCGAAUUCUAUAUUAGGGGGUAGCUCUCUUCAGUAGAUAAUGAGUGGUGAUCCUCUUACUUAAGAACAGGUAAAGGAAAGGCUAAGUAGAAACAGUUCUAAUAGUUCCUCUUCCUCUGUCCUGCAAGUGUAUAGGGUUCGAAGCAAGUAUAAGCUGGUGCCUCACAUUCUUCCUCUAUUUUCUCUUUCUAGUAAGCAAUGCUGGUUGUUUACUUCUGUCUUUCUAUACUAUCUAUGGAACAAUGAAAAAGCAGCGAGUUUUUGGUUAUUCUCUCAUGUUUAUCCAAUUCUAUAUUUAAUGAUAAGAUACGAGAUUAUUUACUUCAAGCAAUAAGUGAGCAGGGCAUUAUAUCAUGUGCACUUUUGUUAUCUUUCUUUCUCUAUUAUAUGUGACUAGUGAAUCAUAACGAAGCCCUCGUUCGGCCUCAAACUAGUGAACAUCCAGGAGUAUAAAGCAAGUGCUAGCCGAGAACAGUUUACUAGAAAGAGAGUGCUCAGCGGGAAUUGUGAUAGUUGAAGUUCCCUGGGUCCUAAGGAAUGCCACAGCCAGAGAGAAGAAAGAAGUCAGACACACUCAGAUGCAGAGAAUCUCAUUCCGUCAUGCUUACAUAUUGGAAUUAGUGAUCAAAUGUCAUAUCCAGUUUACCGGGUCGAACUAUCAGCAGUGGAGAAGGCAAGCACCAAUAAUAGGGCGGAGAUAUCACCAGCGGCGGAGGGAUGGGAAGUCGAUUGCUCGAUAGCUUCUCGGUAGGAUAGGAUGGAUUUGAUUCUCAUUGGAUUGGUCGGCCACCAUAGCACUAAGACGGAAAGCCUAGUUUGCAGUCUACACAGAUGGGAAGUAACCAAACGUAGGAAAGAAUACCUAUGACUCGAAGGAACCGCCACCAUUAGAUUUCAGACAAGGAUGCCUUUUUACCCGCUAAGGCUCUUACUCGCUAAAAUCAAUCAUGGAAUUACAGAGUGCCUUCCAUCCAUCAUAUAGAAUGAUGCUCUUAUAGGCCGGGAUUGAUAAAAGGAAGCGUGGGCUCUUUUCUCAGGUGCGCUAUAUCUUCUUGAGUAAGGCGAGUAUGCACAAGUCCUUAUCUUACCAAGGAAAGGCUUGAUUACCUACCAAUGAUGCCCCAAGCAAGGAAGCAUACAAGAUUCUGGUACCGGAAGGAAAGACGUUAAUGACUGUGGUAACUUCGGCUACCAACGCAAUUCCUUUCUUUGACUUUGUUUGGAAGCAGAUGGAGAAAUUCGCUACGUGAAAGCUGCUAUUCGAACUAGAGCGGGAAGGAUUGCAGUUAGACUAAGACCGCUUCUUCCUAAUUCGUAAAGAUGUGGUAUCCAGUUCGUUCUGUGCUGCUAGUGAAACUAAUGAUUUGAGUUCUAUCGUUGAAGUGAGUUGAGCUUAGCUGUGCUGCUAGUAAAACUAAUGAUUUGAGUUUUUAAGCAAAGGAGGAGUGAGCUUUAUCUUCAGCUGGAUAAGGUAAGGAAGUGGAAAUAAGAUCAGUAGAAGUAACUCGCUAACUAAGCUUAUUAUGUUUGUUCAGUUCUAGUGUAAUCAUGCGGUUCAGAAAAGAGAGUUUGUUUGAGCAUUGGCAACGAGGAGCAACAUUAUUCUAAUAUAAGAGGAUCAAACUCCAAUUGCCUUCCAGCCUUUUCAUCUUAACCCCGGAGUAGAAAGCAAAUAAAUUCAAGCAGCCUUUUAGAAACUCGAAAGAUAGAUUUCCAGCCCCAACUUCUUAUUAUUUAGGCCUAUGGUUGGUAAAGUCACUAAACGGAUUGAUUGUCCUAUCUUCUUGAGCGCUAAGUACUCUGAUGGCCUUCUUCAGUGCAUCUGUCCUUCAGUAGAGUUCCAUUGCAGUUAAGUGUUUGCGCAGUCAAUAUUAGAGAUUGGUCAGCUUCACACUUCAAGGAGAAUUCGGGGAAGGGGCAUAAUAUAGUGGUACUUGCUUUUAUUUUAUGCCAUAAGUCAAGAAUACGAAUAUCUUUCUGCUCGGGGAAAGUAUAUGAGAGAAGAAGAAAAGUAUCUGAAUUCAAAAGGAUGAGGAAACAAAAUCCAAAGAAGAAUCCGCGCGCGCAAGCUGCCACUGGUCCCGAAGAGUAAUCCCCAAUAGCUCCUUUUGUCCCCAAUGGAGCUCCUUUUGUACUUCUUACUCAGAUCUUUGUGUGUGAAAGAAAGUCUCCCGGGAUAAAGUCAGCAGCAAGCAGAGGUGUUACCGUUAAGUCUGAGUUUUUGUAGCAGCCCAAUAACUCCCCAAAACAUAUGGAUUCAGAAUCAGAGGGAGAAAUGCACUGGAGUACCGAUGUCCACCAUGCACCUACCUUAAUCUACUUAUUCCAAUAGUGAAUAUGUUCAUUAUUAUCCGAUGAAUUUAUUGAUAUUAGCGGGAGGUCCGUGCGGAUAUAGUAGUGAGUUAGUUUUUCGCUCUACAAGGAUCAAGAUCCAAUGAAUGUUCACUCUUUUUCUGUCAAAGAAAGAUAUAUCUCUGACCUAUCAAUGACUAAUGGUCGAAUAAGACAUAAAUUGUUGGAUACUUCUGGUAAUAAGGAGAAGCAAAUUAAUGACUAUUCAAUAAGACCAAACGAUAUCUAAUGGUCAUUGGAAUUUCUUAUAUACCUUAUCUAUUAUCCUAAGGGAAUUUGGAUUUCUUGGUUCUAAAGCGAAGAAGACGAAAGAGAGUCUGAAUCCCAUUACUAUAUGAUCAAGAACGAGACAAAGAACUAAUACCCUGUUUUGCACAAAGGUAUUUGACGUAGAUAUUGUCUUCUUGAAUGGAGAAAAUGGGAUCUAUGUCCUAACGCCAAGAAAGAGUACAAAGUGCGGUUCGACCCGUAGUAACACAUGAAAUAGCUGAUGACAUCAAAUUAGCAACACUUUUUCCUCAGGAUCUCUUACAGCGCGGGGAUCUUAUUCAGGAUCUCUUACAUGGGGGGGAAGAAGUCUCUAUGGCAGAUUGCUACGUAGAACAAUAGGCAUGAAUGGCGGAAAUAAGAGAAGAGCCUAUUCCUCUCUAUCAAACAUGGGGGCAAUGGAAUCCUACUUGCUUAUGGAAUUGAGUUGAGUGCUCCCUUACUUGCUUAUGGAAUUGAGUGCUCUCCCAUAAUAGAAAGAAGUCACCCAACAUCACUCCACUCCUUGUUUAAACCUCACUGCUUGUUCGUUUUGUUACUUGUUCUUGCAAUGGAAUCUAGUUAGCUGUAGUCAAAACACUGGAAACUAACUCAACUCCAAAGCUCACUCACUAUCCCCGAUUACCAUUAAAUAGAGGCAUUAGAAUUCCCCGAAACUCUCUAUCUCUAAACAAACAAAAGCACAAGGGUUCAAUUCAGGAAAGAGUAUAUCUUCGCAUAUGAAUGAUAUAAGAGCAUAACAAAACGGAGCAGAGCUUCGAAACUCACUAAGGAACUUGGACUUGAAGAACGAAACUCGCGCUAGCACAAGGGCGAAGCUGGCAAACACUAAUUAGCACUCUUUCGAAAUCAUAGAAUCUGCACCUAAACUAUCCAAAAAUAUCCAAAAGGAAUCUCACUAAUAUCAAAAAGGAACUAAACACCUAUGACUCUCGGGUUGGGGCAACUAGAAACUAACGCCUUGAAUUCCAUCUAGCUAGCGGAGUAUAGAAGUUAUUAAUGAAUCUAGCUUUGUAUAGAAUAGCUUGUUCUCUCGAGCAUAGCAUAUAAGAUAUUCUGAUUUUCUAUUGCAUCGCAUAUAAGAUAUUCUGAUUACCUAUUUAUAUACUUGGGCUCCCUUAUCUUAUUGUAUAGCUUGCUAAUACUCCCUUAUGUUAUUAUUGCUUGCAAAUACUCCCUUCCUUUAUCUUAUGGCUUGUUCCUCCUUACUCCUGACUUCAGUAUUCAUUAUUCCAGGAACGGUUUGUUUCCUUUCAUCACUCAUAUCGGCAUUCAUUCGUAAUAAUGCAUGUGUAUAUAUAUGUGGAUAUAGCUGGUUUCAAAAAGGAUUAGUUCAUAUUGAAAGUGUCAAUGUAUCUAACCUACUACUCCUAAUGUUUCACAUCAUUAUAGUGCUAGUUGAUUCAUUAUAGUGCUAGUUGAUGAAAGUGACUUUCGGGGUCAAGAAAGGUAAAGUGCCACGGCGCUCAAUUCCAAUUGAAUGCAACUGGAUCCAGAUCUAGUAUAGUAUUCAUUGGCGAUCAGAGCAUAUAUAUAGAUAACACUUCUACCGGGAUGGUGUCUUGCUUUAAAAACUAGUCAUUUCUGCUGGGGGGCCUUUCUCCUUUUUUUAGGUUAACUAGGAUUCUUAGUGGUUGGAACAUCCAGUUCUCUUGGUAGGAAUUGAAUAUCCAUAUUUCUUUCUAUCUCAGCAAAUCCAUUUUCUUCCACAAACAAUGGAUCGGUGAUGUCUUUCUACGGCGGGUCUGUCUAUUCAUUAGCUCGUAUUUCCACAAUUUCCUGGAAUGUAGGUAGCAGACCGAUUCGAUAGACAAAAAGGAAUUGUUUGUGUUUCUUUGUUGAUAGCUCUGCGCUCGCAAGUCCUUUUGGGGGGGGAUAUGGAUCACCAUCAGUUCCAUUUAGAGUGCUUUUUUCCUCUUCGAUAAAAGGAAGGGGCCAAGUAGACAAGCUACUACAACUAACAUAAGGUACUCGAAAUACAAUAUAUCUUUACUAACAGAAUGAGGCUAAUCUACCUCUGUAAACUCAUACAGAUGAAACAGCUUCCCGACCUCUACUCUUUAUUUAAGAUGAGACCUUGCCGACCUCCACUAAGACUUCUUUGCAACUAGCCCCCAGUAGUAGUAGAAUUCUUUGUGUACUUAAGAUCCACUGGUGCCAAGUCCUGUAUCCGCCCUUCCACUAGUAUAAUAGUAGUCCUGUGGGAGUGGGCCCGCUUCUUCUCUUACUGCUUCCUUUAAUUCAAUAAGUGUUCGAGCAAAAGGUGAACAAUACCUGCUGUUAUGAGUGACAGAUGACCUCUGACUUGCUUGUUAAACAUUGAAUGAAUUUUCUCUAUCUUUAGUAAGGAUUCCAGAUUCUACUCGGUCUUCAACAAGUGGCUACUUAACCGACACAAGAACGGAAAGAGUACACGCAACUGGAUCGGAUACAGAUGAACUUCCAGCUUCAAAGCCUUCUACUUACAACUCGAAACUCCCCUUCCUGCUUCAAAGCCUUCUACUGAUACUAGAUGCGGGCAAUUAAUACCUUUCCGACUAGCUCACCUCCACCUCUUACCUAUGGCUCCGAUACCUCUGGCUACAAUAGCUAUAUCCCUUUCCAUUGAAUCUAACUCUGGCUCUGCCAAGCUACAACUACUGAUGCGGAUUCUCUUUCUUCCCUUGCUUUUUCUUUCCAUUAAUUAAUCAAUCGUUUCUUUUGCACUAGGCAUAGAAAUAACAUCCAGUAAAGAAAGAUGCUGCUGCCCAAUAGAAUUUGGAACCUAAGUAUGGGAUUAGAGAGUAUUGGAUUAGAUGCGGGAACAGUAUAAUAGGUAGGAACUCGAUAAGAUGCCGAAGCGGGAGUGGGAACAAGAGAAGUGAUUCGUUAUAAGUAAGGAGCUGUAGUAAAGUAAGGCUUAGCUCUGGUCGGUUAAGAAAGAAAGGUAGUUAGCCCUUGGUGGCUUGGCUACCAAUAUGGAUAAGUAAGAUCUACUACUAGGUGGGUCAGGCUCGUAAGCUAUGAAGUAAGGCAAUAGUGGGCUCGUAAGCUAUGAAGUAAGGCAAUAACUUAUUAUACAGAAUUAGCACCUAGGUCCUCUGUGUUAGAAUAUGAAGUAAGGUAAGCCUAACAAUAGAGAUAAAGAAUACAAGUAUGGAGUUUCAGAAUAAGAUAAAGGAGAGGCAGACCAAUAGUAAUGAUAGUAAUAAUACGAUAGUGUGGCAGUUCAGCCUGAAAGCGUUGGAUAGUUAUAAUCAAAACCAAGGAAAGGUAAGAGAAGAUCUGAAUUAGAUUAAUGGGGGGCCAAGCAACGACUUUUCGAUUUCCUCAUUGCUUCACACAAGUCACACUUUACUAUACAAUUAAGUACAACUUUCCACUACACUUUCUGAAUCGACAACGAAUGAACUAGAACAGUACUGGCAUCCGACCUAAACUAUGGCUCCCGACCUAAACAAAUACAGAAUUCCACAACUCCAGUUAGCGCACUGAGUCUUGUUACCGAUGGGCACUCCGCCCUUGUUUCUGUCUAAACUAACUACUAAUAGUGGAAUGAAGAUAAGAAUGAGACCUAUAUCGCCUCGCAUCAAAGGCAAUACUUUACCGAGCCUCAAAGCAAGUGGACUACCCCUAACUGCUGCCCUUGCAGACCCGAACUAACUCUAUCUGAAGGAACUUACAAUAAGGGCCCUACCUCUUCUACUGGUUACAAUUCUCUACUCCCCGCUUCAAAGCAAGUACCAGACCCAAUGGAUUCUCUCUCUCAUCUGGCUACCGAACCUACCCUCGUAUAGGAAUGACACAACUACCUUAGUCUCAAAGCAAGUACUCUCUGGAACCACCCAACCAAGUAAGUAAACACAAAGUCAGGAAACCACCCGACCUAGUAACAGAGGAAUGAAACCACUACACCUAGUUAAAGGAAUGACCCAAGCCUACCCGAGUCACUGAAGUCCACCACCCUAGCUGAGUUCCCAGACAGGCAAGAUAGGGGCAUAAAAGGAAUGAUGUCGCAUCGCCAAGAUGUUUUAUGGGAAAUUACCUAUCAUCUUCUCUUACCCGUGCAAGAAAUGAAUUUAGUGCCUAUAUCUUUAGGGUUCGACUAUAUGUCAUUAUAUAUAAAGAGAGUCAAAGUGAGACUAUGCUUUUUGUUACUGUUUGUGUAGUGAGUAGGUACAUGAGAAAUCAGAGUGUCUUUUCUGUGAGACAAGCUAUUCUUACGCUGUUAAGUAAACUAACUACUACUGACCAAGGCCUACCACCUUAACUGGUUCUCUUACCGACCCGACCUAUCUACCACUACCAGCAAGAAUAAAGCUAGCAACUAGCAACUACUGGCUCUGCUCUGUCAACAAUACCUUAAUUCUUAUCCUCUGUUUGAUACCUGGCCACAACUACUGAUGCAACUGAAUCCGGCUACUAUACCUCUGCUAUGGCUCUCAUCUAAUCUAACUCAGGCUUAAACUGUCUCUUUUCACUCUGUCUUCUAUCUAUACCUAUGGCAACUUCCAACUAUUAACUUCAUUCGGCUAAUCUAACUCUGUUGCUUGGCCUUUAACGACCUUGUUUCAGGCUUAGAUGCAUCGGUUGGAGGUCUUAGAUGCACUUGUUUAAGGCUUGCUGGCAAUGGUUGAUUCACUGGUCUGAAACUCUUAUAUUCCUACUUAUGGACUACUUUGUUGGAUUCUUUACUUCAAUACUUAUAGCUUAGCUUCCCUUACCGACCGCUACCUCUAUUACAAGGGGAAAGCCCGGUUGAUAUAACACUAGCACCUGAACCGAACUCUUCUCACCAUACUUUAUCACAGGAACUAGCCCAGGACUCUUAUCUAACCCACUUGCAACAGGCUCGGAUCCAGUUUACUUAAUUGGUAACUCACUUCUACUUUCUACUCUCAUUCUUUAACCACUUAGUUCUCUUACUUUGACUACUUAGUUGCCUUAGAGCUUUGGCUUGACCCAUUAACAUCAGGGCAGUAACAGGAUCGGUAUGACACUCUAACAAGAACAGGAUCUUUUCCCUCUGGCUCAUCCACCUCUUUUUCUUUGAACUCUAUCUCCCCGGGCUCCUUAGCGCAACUAACUACAAAGCUGGGCCCUUCCCACGCCAACACACCCUACCUGGCUUUCUCACCAGGGCAGCUAGGGUCUCUAACCAGUGCUUCCGAGCCUGAUGCCUGGUAGUUAAUAGCUUGAUUCUUCCUUUCCUACUUUCUUGUUGAAGACCUAGUUGACUCCGGUUUCCCAUAUAAAGAUAGAGAAAAUGAACCG
rnacentral:lncRNA from 1 species